rnacentral:lncRNA from 1 species
UUUUUUUUUUUUUUUUUUCAAGAUUUAUCCUUCUAAACAAAAGACUGAUUUACUAUUAGUAAAAAUGUUUGAAAAAUAUAUUACACCAUGUCCAAAUAAAAAAUUGCAAUCCUAUAAUUAAAGUUUGGGUAAUGGGUUUAAGGUGGAAGAUUGAUGGAUUCCUAUCAUUCAGCCAUAUAGGGAGGGUAAUAUUUGUGCGGAUUGGUUGACGAAGCUUCAAACCUCCACCAAUGGUCUCUUAUUAAUUUGAGAUGAGUGUCCUUCUCAACUAUCUCUUAAUUUGUUUGCUUAUGCUAUAUUGGUGAAGUAAGGAUUAUGCGUUAGUCUUGUCUUUUCUUUCUUGUUGAAAAAAUAUAUCACCAUUAACAUAAUGUUGUUAUAUCUAAUAGCUACUUUCAAACAAACCAAACUUUAUCAUCAUAUCUUAGUAGUCUAUUAACAUUACCUCCUCUUGUUUCUUCAAUGAAUCGUGAUGCACAUAGACACAUCCACACAUUAACAUGAUGUUGAAAUGCACUUUGGUAACAUGUCCCAAGUCAAUGCCCAACAUAAACGGUUGAAAACUUCAACAGAAUAAAAGAGAGAUUAUUUUGCUUAAAAAAUGGGUUUUCCAUGUCAAAAACCGUAACAUACGGGUCCCUAAAUAACAUCAGAUAAAUUGGUUGAAAUUUGUUUGGAAAAUUGAUUUGAUUCACAUUAAGCAAAUGUUUGUUUAAGUGUUUUUCUCACAUGAUUUGGUCAAAAUUUAAUAACCGGCUCAUAACAUAAUUACAAACUAAGCAAUUGUUUACUUAUUAUCAACAAAAAAAAAAAAAAAAAAAAGCAAUUGUUUACUUUAUCUUCUUGAAUUUAGAUUUUAAUACUCAAGCAAGCCUCUCCUAUGCUAUUGUCCUUUUCUUGUUUAUUUUGAUGUAAUUUCUUAGUGAUACAUUGAUUCUCCUCCAUUAACGGACCCGUAUGCUAUACUCAAGGAAAAUUUCAUAAUUCAAAAACACAACUUGUGCACCAUAUCAUUAUACUCAAUCCUUGGUAGCCCUUAAUUUGACUAGCAAUACAUUGAUUCUCCUCCAUUAACGGUUGCAUUUGAAGUGUCCAUUGAGUAGCUUGAUUGGGUAGUCAACCUCCAUUACAAGGGACUUCUUCCAAAAGUUUGUGAGAGCAAGCUACGGUCAAUCUCAAUUUUGAGCAGUUGAAAUGCAUAAACAAAAAUACAUUUGUAUAUCUUUAAUUAAUUAUGCAGUGACAAAAAUUAAUUUUAAAUAAAUUGAAUUGACUUUAGUUUAAAGAAUGUUACUCAACUCUUUAAAGCAUAUAUAUAAUCCUCGAAUUAGAUGUGUUUAGGUAUGUCCGAUUUCGAUACGACAUCGACACAUAUAGUUAUACUGAAUUAUAUGAUUUUUUUAAAUAAUUAUCGAUAUCAACCUGUUAAUGUCUAUGUUGUGUCUAAUAUCCAUGUCAGUAUUCGUGUUUUAUAGCAAUUAAGCAAGUUUUUUAAUCCAUCCAUGUAGUAAAAGUCAGUACUCUGAAAAUUGGACACCCCAUACCGAAAAGCAUUAUGAAAAGAGGGAUUUGUGCAAGUAAAUCUCUUGAUAUUAGUAUAAUAAUUUGAGCAAUUGUCCUCUUCCAACAUGGACCAAAGCAUAUUAUAUUGAAUCACUAAACAUAGACCAUAAUUUACCCGCAAAAGGUAUCCACAUGAAUCAAAAUAAAGGUAUUAGUGGAGUAUUCCUAGGAUUUUCAAACCUUUGUCCAAAUCUACUUUGUUUCAUUCACUUUUUGAUAAUUAAACAACUGGUGUCUAGGGUAUACAAAUAACAUGUUAGAUCGGGUUGCAUGUGACUCGAAUUCAAUUCUAACAUUUGAUCGGAUAAACUUUUAAGACUCUAAUCCAAUUUUAACUAUGGUCGCCCGAUGAAAUAUUGGUCAAAUAAGAAUGCGACAGUAUAAGGACAUAACUAUGUUGGUCACAAGACAAGUCAUCAUUCACCAAUACAUAACCAUCUUUUUUUUAAAUAAAAAUAAAAAUUAAUAAACAAGUUCUUUUCCCAAGAGAGGACGUAAAAUUAUGGACACUUUCAUGCUUUAAAUUAUUAAUAAAUCAACUAACAUAGAGAAAUUGAUAUAGCAAUUGAGGAAGUGAUAGUCACUACCCGCUAUAUAAUUUAUGAGUUGAAGUUCAUUACAUGCAUUAGACUCCAUCAUGUUGUAGCAUAUCAUCAAGAUGUAAUGAUACAUAAAAAGUGCAUAACUAAUUUCAGUAUUUUAUAAUCAUUUGGAUGUGUGCAAGCCAUUUCUACUGAUUUUAUCUACCGGUUAAUGUGUGUGAGAGAGAUUAGAAAAUAAUACCAAAAUCAUGAGAUUAUAAAUUAAGCUUUUAUCAUUGAGUUAACACUCUAAGUGUAAAAUGUUUCUAAAGCCGAUUAAAAGAGUGAUCGAAAAAUUAGAGUGUCCUUUUUUUUCUUUUCAAAAUCUUAAACUACACCAAGAUAUAGUCUUAGCCCUCUAAAACCAUUCCCUAUAAAAUCCAACUAGCAAAUUCUUUACAUCUAAAAAUAAUCAUCUCGUUAGUUGAUUUCGACAGAUAGACUAUUAGGCAAGGAAGCCUCUCAAUCAAUGGAAGGAUAUGCUAUGCUAAAGCAGCAGAGCGAGAGAAGUUGAUUAUUUCUCAUAACCACUAACUUAGUAUGCGGGUCGCAAAUGCCUCAAACUGAUUCGAAACAUAGUGAGAUUGGACAAUGACGCAAGAAACUCACAUUCAAUAUUUUUAACAAACUAACCGCAUGAAGGGAUGAGAUGAGACAUAAUCUCGUAAGAGUUGUGCUCUAAGGACUAUGUGAACGCACCACACCGUGAAGAAGGAGAUAACAAGCGUAUUUAACACAUCCUUAAUCAAAUAGGCGUAUUUGAUAUUUCAUCCAUUUACCUUUAUGUCUUUAUUUUUAUGCAUUUCUUAGUGGAGCUCAAAAUUUCCAAAACACAAUCAUACUUAACGCUCUACUUGAAAAACAAAGGAACCCACGACCGAGGUAUAAAGUUAAUUCGCUUGAAGAAGAUGGAAUCACAAUUGAGGAUAUUCAGCCGAACCUCGACUGAAUUUUUGCGCCACUAACAAAUUUGGCAUGCUUAGUGGGGCAAUAUGAACUUUACCACUGAAAAAUCUAGUACACCAAGUCAAGACUAAGUUUCUUGUAUGCACCUGAGGUCUGAAAAGAGUCUCAACAGUAUGAAACAAAUGUGAUAUUCAACAACUAGAAUGUUUGGACAACCUCGACCUAGUGAGCUCUUGCAAACGUUGGGAAAGCCAACAUCCAUGGCUGCUUCUAGCGUUUUUUAUGUACGACCGAUUAAAAUACAUAAGUCUCCAUUAGUAAUGGCAACAUCUUUAAUUCAACAUCAUAUUGACAUGGUGAUUCAUGGUAUCAUGUAUCAAGUCUUCAAACAAAUUGAUGAAAUUAUUAAACUAAUGGCUUACAAUAAAGUUCAACAAGCCAAGGAAUUGGAGGUUGUACGAGCCAAUUCUGGUGAAAAUUUAGUCACCAACGCUCCAUAAAGGGUACAAGGGACCCAAAAUCAAACAUGUCUUAUUAAUGAAAGCCAAAUGAUUAUUGUAUCAGUAGGAGCUCAACAUGAUCAUUACAAUAUGUACUUCCUUCUACUCCUUAUUCAUAACCUAGUAUUUAUUCCACAGCUAAACCUAAAGUGCACCAAGUGAGGAAUUUUGCUUAUAAUCAGACCAAUCUUCAAGAUGAACAUGUACAUAUGGUGAGGAGACAACCUGAAGCAGUAUGAAACAUUGGCCUCCAACAAAUUUUGCCUUAUGGAAACAAUAUGUAGUCAAUCAGCAUGUCUUGCACUAGAGGAUACGUCUGUUGCCCAAUAGCAAGAAUUUAAUGUCCAAAUUUGGAUUAUCAUAUGUAAUGGCCAUGUGUGAAUUAUCCAUAUGCAUCAUCUAAACAUGUAACAUACCUUCAACAACUUGAUGUACUUAUACCACCCUCGGUGGGUUGACGAUCACUUGGGCAAUAUGAAGUUGUACAUAUGAGCACCCAUGAAUCAUGAAUCCACUUCACCAAUAUAGACUUUGUUGGUUCCUUAGACUCAAUGGAGAAUCAAUGGUGAUCCAAACAAAUAGAAGUCAUGGAGAGUUCCCUAACCUCAAGUUCAAGGUCAACCAUGACUCCAAAGUCAUAAGAACAUACAUGGUGUCUGCUAGUUGCAGUCGAGGUAAGAACUUCAAAACUGCAAAUGUUGGAUCCCAACCUUAUAGUCGAUACAAUCAAGAGGUACUUCGGUAUACAACAUAAAUGUAUGAAUAUACAUGCUUAUCGGAAGCCAUAUCCAUAAUGGGUUGAUAGAUUGAUGCCUUUACCCAUUUUUUAUAAGACUCUAAAUUUUGCUACCUUUUAUAGGGGAAGAUGGUUAAUCGACAAUCAGAAGAUCUAUUGCGUAGUGCAAUGUGCGAAACCAUAACAAAUUCCACAAGUUACAACUAUUCCAUUUAUCAUUGACAUGAACAACUUUCAUGUGGUAUUCUUCUCUCCCAUCGUUUACACCUAAAAAUAAUCAUCAUGUUAGCUGGUCUCGACAAAUAGGUGAUUAGACUAAUAGGCUAUGAUACCAAUCCUAGUAAAGACCGAACACAAGCCAUCAUAUGAAUCCGACAACUAAAGGUUUAUGGGAAAUUGUUCUAGAAUGAACCAAGACUCAAUCCCUCAACGGAUUGAGAUAUCCUUAAGUCACCAGCCAUUACAUAGACCAUCACAUAUACUCACCCUAAAAACACCAAUUAUCAGGGUCGCUCAAAAGCAAUAUGGAUAGUCCUUUCCAAAUCUUAAGAUCCCAUGCUCUAAUAUGUUUACGGUUAUGAUCAAAUACCCCCCUGAAAUUGCAUAAAUGGAUACAUACGUUAUGCUUUUGUCUAUUUGUAUACGUAUGUAUACAAACAUAUUAGAGCAUAACCGUAAAGUAACCGUAAACAUAUUAGCGGGGGAACUACGGUUAUGAUCAAUUACCCCCAUGAAAUUGCAUAACGUUAAUCAAUUUACCCCCUCCGUCAAAUUUUUCUGUUAACUGUUUACAGUUAUGAUCAAAUACCCCCUGAAAUUUUGCACUUAUGUGCAAAAUGCCCCAUAAACUUGAAAAUUUAUUUAUAUUUUUUUAUCCUUGACUCAAAAAAUAUUAAAGGCAAACAAUUAACAAUUAUUGAUCAUAUAAAUCUUUAUGGAAUGUAUGUUUAUGCAGCUAUUGGUCAUAUAAAUCUUUAUGGAAGGUAUGUUACUCUCAUGUGUUUUAAAUAUAUACAUAUAUAUAAGAAUUUUUUUUUACACAAGUUGGUAAUUAUGUUAGAGUAUGCAGUCAUAAAGUACACAAGUCUUUGAUAAUUGUGUGUCCAUAAAGAAAAUUCACAGGUUAAUAUCUGCAGAAGGAAGAAGAAACAUGGCUUAGGUUUGUGAAUUUGAAAUUUAAUUAAUGAUAUAAUUUUUAUAAUGCAGGAAAUGCCAUAUCUAUUAGCUGCAACAUGUUAAAUAGAUUUUGUCAUAGACCUUCUGCAUGAAGCCAGUAUAUCACAUUGUACUACAAAGUUAUGUGAUAUAUAUCAAUUUUUUGCUGCUAUGGCAUUCUUGUCUUGGUUUAUUUCAACAGUUUAAUAUCUUUUUAAUGUUUGGUUUUUAGUUUUACCUUCUUUGUAAAAAAUUUAUCUUGCUCCUUGUUGAUAAAUAUGAAAUAUGAAUGAAAAGGCUGCACAUGACAAAACCAUGAUUUUUUUGACAUAUAUUCAUUCAUUUUCUUGUGAAUAGAAUUUUUAUGACAAUAUGUACAAUAUACUACUUGAAGAACUAAAUGUAUGAUUUUUUAUAAGAAAAAAAAUCUAAAUUUUUAAGUUUAGGGGGCAUUUUGCACAUAAGUGCAAAAUUUCAGGGGGGGUAUUUGAUCAUAAACGUAAGAAGUUAACAAAAAAAUUUGACGGAGGGGUAAAUUGAUUAACGUUAUGCAACUUCAGGGGAUAAUUGAAGUUUUGUUAAUUUCAGGGGGAUAAUUGACGAAACUUACCAUUUCAAUUUCAAGGAUAAAUUGAGUGUUUACUCAAAAAAAAAAAAAAACAUUAUGGUCUAAGAAAUCAAACAAGUUUCAUUAAAAAAAUGAUAUACCAUAUAUAGAAAAGAGAGAAAUUAAUACAUGCCCAUAUUUAGAUUAUGAGGUGGGACCAAAAGUCAUGCAUGUAGGACUGUGGGACCCACUCAGAUUUUUGAGUACAACUGGAUUGUGAAAGUUUAAUAGAAGAAGAAACUCAAUGAAAGGAAAUGUGACAGCCAAACGCAGUAAACACACGUUCCCUGUAAUCACUUUCAUGCACAGUUUGGCAUUACCCGUUAACCAAUCAUACUAGUACUACAAGCAGAAUUUUAUUUGAACAUGAUAUUUUUUUUUAAUUGGAAGUUGUUAUAUCAAAAUAGAAAAAUGAAAAAAUAAUGUCAAAAAUAUUCAAAGAUAUUUUAAAAUUGUAUUAUAUCAUUAAAUGUAGUCACUAUAGAAAAAAAGAUCAUUAAAUGCAGUCAAAUCCUUUUAUAACUAAUGAGUCAAAAUUCCAAUAUUGAAAUUUUCCGUAACAUGGAGAGACUAAAAUUGGAAGAUAGAUCCUUUGUGACAUGUUUGGACGUCUCAUUGUGCAAAAUAAGUUAUUUUCCGUAAUAAAAGGUUUGAAUAAUUGAUUCCUUAUUUGUAAGAAUCAAAUCAAAAACAAAAAAUUGAAUAAGGAAAUAACACUUUUUAUUAAAUAAAAAAGAAUCAAAUAAGGAAUUGAAAUGAAUAAAUCAAUAAUGCAAUUUCGCUUAACGGAGAAGAAUAAUUCAAUCAAUCAAAAUGAAGAAGAUUUUUCGUUUUGACUUGAAAAAUAUUCAAAUAUUUUUUUUAUAUGGAAUCCAUUUCCUAGAAACAUGACAAAAUUUUGCCGUUUCGUGAACGUACAGCACUACUGCAAGCAGAAAAAUUCUCCUAUAAAAUAAGAAAGAAAAAAAAAACAGUUUUCUGGAAUUUUUCUCAAAAAUAUAAAAAAUAAAUGUGACAUUAAUUCUUGAGUUGAACAUUUUUACUUGACAUGGAUUUUUGGGUUAGACUUGAUUGUUUAGUACUCUAUAAGUAAAGGAUUACAUCACAUGUACCAAAAAAAAAAAAAAAAAGGUUUAAUUGUAUUUUUGACCCCUAUCUUUUCAAAAGUUGCGAUUUUGACCCCUAAUUAAUUAAAAUACAAAACAGCCUCCUAUGUAUUGGAUCUUUGGCUGUUUUGGCACCCAAGACCAACGUUAACAAGGUCAAAAUUGGUUUUGAAGGCCAAAACUGCCAAAGAUCCAAUACAUAGGGGUCUGUUUUGUAUUUUAAUUAGUUAUCGGGAUCAAAAUCACAACUUUUGUAAAAAUAGGGGCCAAAAGUGCAAUUAAGUCAAAAAAAAAUUAUAAAAAAAAAUAAAUUCACACUUAAGCAUAUUUUUUUUCUUUCAAAAACAAAACUUAAGAAUAUUUUUCUUAAUGAUAGAAAAUUUAGCAAUUUUAUAAAAUUCACACUUUUAAUAAGUUUUAUUUAUUUAUUUACAAAUGAGAAAAUAAACCAGAUUAAUUUGAUGAUGUGAUAGCUUAUUUAAGCAAUUUUUUGUAAAAAAAAUAGUUUAUUUAAGCUGCUUCAACCAUUUUUUUGUUAUUCACGUUGUAUAACUAACGUUGAACACGCUCCAUGUAAUUAACAUGAAUAUCUUUGUUGAAGAUACUCUUGGGGGAUACCGGAUAGCUGUAUGUCCAAACUUUACACUAAUUUAUGAGACGAAUAUUUUUUUAAGGUCUUGUUAACAUUAUUAAUAUUCAAUAAUCAAUAGUUAAUAUUAUUAUUAUUUUUUUUUUAUAAAAUUACAACAUCAUUUCAUUUAUUAAUAACUUUUUUCAUUUGUGUCAGUCACGUGAGCUUAACUCAUUUAGUAAGGAAUAAUGUAUAAUAUAUUUACCUCAUAGUCGAAUUAUGAAUUACCAAUGUCGUAUUUCCUUGAAAUCAUAGGGUUAAAAAUAAACUAACUAACACAACCGUAAUUUCGGAAUGAAAGUAGUUAUUACAACAAGUCACUAUUUUAUAAAAAUAAUAAUUUCUAUGCAAUAAAAGUGUAACACUUUGUUUUCACAUCAAUACAAUUAAAUUAAAUCAAAUCAUAAAUUGUAGAGAUUUUUUAGGAAUUAAUCUAAAAAGGGAGAAUCAUAAAUGAUUUGAUUUGAUGAAGGUGUAAAAAUGUUUUAAUAGAAAUUAAAUUCUUUUUAAAAAAUAAUCAGAAAUUAAUCAAUAAAAUAUUCUGAACAAUCAGAUCCAUCUUGCUAAUUGACACAAACAGAUGUAUUCUCCUGUAAUUAAUUUGGAUAAAAAAACAACUUUCUAAAAGUAUAAUUAAUUUCGAAAUACUCUUAUAUAGAAAAAACUUUACACAUUAAGCAUCGAUCUUUAUCAAAACAAAAAAGUAUCAAAUUAAUCCACACAUAAAACUACCUUUUUAUGUUAAUUCUUAAAAUAUCUUUAAAAAUAUUUAUUUUAUAUAAUUUGAUUGAAUACAUAUAUAAAAUAAUUUUAGACGAUUAUGAGAAUGCAUCAAUAUUCGAUCUCUUUACGAUCCAUUAUGGUAUUAAUUUAUUUGAGAAAUUAAUCUACACGAGUGCAAGAAAUAUACUAUUCACACAAGAAAACAAUUAAUAUUUUUCAUGCAAGACACUCAAUAUAUAAAAAAAAUUGGCAAAAAGAAUUUUCAACCAACUCUUUUUAAGAUCUCAUUUUCAAUCAUCUUUGAUAUCAAUUUUGAUGAAUUAAUCUAUAGAGAGUUUUGUUCUGAUUUUAAUUUAAAUCAUAACAAAUGAACAACGAGCUUAAAUCAUUUCGAUUAGUCGGUUCUGAAUCGGAUAUUAGUUUUCAAAAAGAAUUUUAAAGCAAUAGAAUAUCAUUGAUUAAGGUACACUGUACUAUGUAGUAGUGAGUGUAGUACCUAAAUUUUCUCUCACAAAGCAUUGUUUUGGAAAUACAAAUAGCCGUUUUUCUCUACACACACACACUCUCUCUCUCUCUCUCUCUCUCUUGAUUUCUUUCUGUAUAUAACCACAUUCAUUCUCACAAGAAAAACAUUUGCACUAUACACAUUCAUCCAUUCUCAUAAUUUUCAACAAUGGGUCUCUUCAGAUUCUCUCUCUGUUUUUUCAUCCUCAACAUUGCUCUGUUUUCAACUCUCUGUUUUUCUGGUGACCCAACUGUUUCCACAGAACUUCACGUCUCUUCCACCACUGUUUCUCCUCUUGGUGUUCCUCAAAAGGUUCCUUCUUUGCUCUUCUGAUUCCAUUUCGUUCUUUUAAGCCUGUUUUUUCAUCUGGGUCGUUUUCUUUUGGCAUAAAAAUCAUUCCUUUUUUCUUUUCAGAAAAGUUUUUUUUUUGGGUUUUGUUCAUAAACCGUAAAAAUGAUUCCUUUUUUUGUUUGUUUCUGUAGAAAGUGGAGUAAUUGUUUUCUUUGUUUUUGUUUUUGUUUUAAUCAUUCAUUCUUAUCAUGCAGUUGUAAUAGUAUAGUUUUUUUUGUUAACCUCUGUUUCACUUUGUUAUAUGGUUUGUUUCACUUUGUUAUAUGGUUUUUUUCCAUUGUAAUGAUCAAUUUUUUGUGUUGGUGUUUCAUGAAUGUUGAGAUUGUAUGUGUAAAUGGCUUAAUUCUGAGGUUGAAAAAGGGUCUAAUCAAAUGUUUUUUUUAUUUUAUUUUGUUUCAUUUAUGUAUAUAUUCAAUUUUGCAUGUUCAUUCAAUUUUUGUUGUGUUUCUUAUGGUUUGUUUUCUAUGAAACAGUCCCUUUCAAAUAUGUUUAAAAAGUGUAAAUUUGAAAAAGGUAUCAACUUUUUAAAGUUUCUGCUUUAAACUAUCUGAUUGUGAUUUUGUGACUGAUGGUGGACUUGGCCCUCGUGUGAUUUCAAUGGAGAUUAUUGAGAUUUUUCAUUUGUUAAUUUUUUACCCCAAUUUUAUUGUUUGUGCCCUAAUUUUUUAAUUAGCUAACAUUUCUCAUAUAUGAUUAACAAUUAAUAUUAAUAUUAAUAAUUAUUAUUAAUUAAUAAGUAUAAUUAUAAGAUUAUAAAUUUUAAAAGUUCUAUAGUUUUGCCACCUACUGUGGUAUGAAUCUGAAUUAGUCUAUGUAGUUGCGUGCGUUUCCACUAAAAAAUGUUCUAAGAAUUUAUUGUUGAUUAUGAUAAUACUCUAUUAUGGUUAAAUUCUGAUUGCAGGUUAUAACUAUCAAUGGGAAAUUUCCUGGACCUGUGAUUAAUGUUACAACAAAUAACCAUGUAAUAGUUGAUGUGUUUAAUCAGCUGGAUGAAGAUCUUCUCAUAACAUGGUUAGUUUCAAACUUUCACUGUUACAUUGCUAUAUUUUACUAUACUUUUCCGUUGUUCAUAGAGAAAUGAUAUUCUAAUUUGUCCUUUGGUUUCUGUAUGUUAUUUUGAAAUGUGUGGAAGUUGUACAAGAUAAAAAAUAAGAGAUAGGUAGUGUUAUACACACACUAUGUGACAUUCGGUUGCUUUAUUUUGUUAGAAUAAAACCAUUCGGUGGCUUUAUUUUUGAAAUGUUUGUCGUAGGUCUGGUGUUCAAAUGCGGCGUAACUCGUGGCAGGAUGGAGUUCUUGGUACGAAUUGUCCAAUUCCUUCGAAAUGGAAUUGGACGUAUCAGUUUCAAGUGAAGGAUCAAAUAGGGAGUUUCUUUUACUUCCCUUCCACUAAUUUCCAAAGAGCUUCGGGUGGAUUUGGUCCCUUUGUUAUCAACAAUAGGGAGAUUAUACCGAUUCCUUUCGCGCAGCCCGACGGUGAAAUUUUCAUUAUGAUUGGUGAUUGGUAUACUCAGGACUACACGGUUAGUUAUCACCUUUCAUUAGACUUUCUUCUGUAAAUUCUGAAGAUGUUGUGAGUUUUUAUUGAUAUUUGAUUGCUAUUUUGUAUGUUUUUUUGAUAAAUAUAGGCUCUAAGAUCAACACUUGACGGUGGAAAAGACCUUGGAAUACCAGAUGGUGUUCUUAUCAAUGGGAAGGGACCUUAUCAGUACAAUAAUACUCUUGUACCUAAUGGGAUAGAUCAUGAAACAAUUACUGUUGAUCCAGGUAUUAUUAUCUCCAUUAAUUUUUAUUGUCCAAUGUGGUAUUAGUCUUCUUCCCAAUGCCAUUUUCACGCUGUACAAAUAAUGUUAAGCUAUGAAACACCGUCACAAAUCACAAUACCAAUGCCUACACACAAUGUAAACCACACCCACUUUCAAUUUUUCCACUGGUUUAUUGGUUUGACUUGUGACUGGUUCUUUCAUCACUCUCUGCAAAGUAAUUUGUUUUGAUUAUCUCAAAGAACUAUAUCUUUAUUCUUCACCUCUUCUCAUUCAUGAUUUCUACUAUUGUUCCAUACUUUCUGUUUGAACAUCAAACUUUGAACCUACUUUCUGUUUUGAUUUUCUGAAGUUUUGAUUUAGAAGCUAACUAUAUCAUAUAGAAUGGUAUUAGGUAGAUUGCUGUAUUUGUUUCAAUUGACUAUUAAGUUUUAUUAUACAGCAAGUUGUUGGAAUUGGAACAGUUUGAAUUCUGACUGGAACUACAAAUAUAUUUUGCAGGCAAGACUUACCGUAUUCGUGUCCAUAAUGUUGGAAUUUCAACUUCUUUGAACUUUCGAAUUCAAAAUCAUAAUCUAUUUCUGGUAGAAACUGAAGGGUAUUACACCGAUCAGGCAAAUUACACCGACUUUGAUAUUCAUGCUGGCCAGUCCUACUCUUUUCUGCUCUCCACCGACCAGAACGCGAGUACAGACUACUAUAUUGUUGCAAGUGCGAGGUUUGUGAAUGAAUCAUUAUGGCAGAAGGUUACAGGUGUUGCUGUUUUACACUACUCAAAUUCCAAGGGUGGAGUAUCUGGUCCUCUGCCACCACCACCGGAUGAUUUUUAUAACAAGGGCGCAUCAAUGAACCAAGCAAGAAGUAUCAGGUUUGUUUCUUAGAAUCUGAUGUCAUAGAGGAUUAUAUCGCAUGGAAUAUAGUUCAAUAUUUCAUUAUUUUUUAAGUAUUUUUUGGAUCUUUUUGGGUGAUAACAAUUUCCCUUGUGAGGUUGACAACUUCAUUAACAUAUUGGCAUGCUUCGCUUCUACAUUGAUACCUUUUUCAGCAGUGUUGUUAAAUAGGCAACGAGAUAGCGGAAUUCGAACAAAUUGUUAUUUUGUAAAAAAUAUUGUCAAUUAGUGACCCUAGCGUCUAUAUAACAAUGUAACAGAUUUUGAACAAACCGCUAUUUUAUGCGACUGACAACACUGAUUUGCAAGAGUUAAGUGACAACUCACGUUGGUUGAUGGAGUGUAAAAUAUAAAUGUGGAGAGUUUUGCUAAAAAGAUUAUGGCAUCUUGUUAUAUUUAGUUCUAAUGACUCGGAAUGAUCAAGGGAAAAGCUAUAUGUUUUCUGUAUUUUGUUGUUAUAUUUUGUAGCACCUUGAUGUUUUCCCUUAUCAGCUGGCUAAUAUGCAUUGUUUUUUACAUAAUGAUGUUGAGUAGGCUAAACACAUCUGCAAGUGGAGCUCGUCCUAACCCUCAAGGGUCCUUUCGGUACGGCUCAAUCAACAUUACGGAUACUUACUUGUUAAAGGUUACAGCACCAGUGGCGAUCAACGGCACAACUCGAGCUGCAAUUAACGGAAUCUCAUUUCUAAAACCCGACGUUCCGUUUCGGCUCGCUGACAACAAUCAACUAAGAGGAAUUUAUAAGCUUGAUUUUCCAAGUAAGCCGAUGAACAGAACACCAGUUAUUGAUAGAUCAAUCAUCAAUGCUACAUAUAAAGGGUUCAUUGAGAUUGUGUUGCAAAACAAUGACUCCUCUGUUCAAAACUUUCAUCUGGAUGGGUACUCAUUUUUCGUUGUUGGGUAAGAAUCAACACCUUUCACUUUCUCUUGUUAUUAAUUACAAUAUUGUUUAAUGAUCACAUUUGUAACAAUUGAUUUCUUGGAUUUAGGAUGGACUAUGGUGAUUGGUCCGAAAAUUCAAGAAACUCUUACAAUAGGUGGGAUGCAAUAUCUCGCAGCACAACUCAGGUGUGUGAUCUUCUUCUUCUUCUUCUUAUUAUUAUUUUAUUUGUUAAAUUGUAUCAGUUCUUUGAUUGAAAGUUUUGCUCUAAAUUUUGUAAUAUUGAAAAGUGACAACUAGCUAGAUUUUCUAAUGAUUUUAAUUUAGGGCCUGUUUGCUACGAACAUUUUUCAUGGUUUAAAAGAUUUAUAUAGGAAACAAAAAUCUUCUCCACAAAUUGUUUCUCAAAAUGGAAACAAAAAGUGUUUACUCUAACGAAAGAGUACCUUAGGUUUUUUUCAAAUGAUUUGUACAUGUUAGCAAGCUUAUGCAUGGAGACAUGUGCUUUUUAAAAUAUAUUAGGGACAUAAUUUUUUCUUGUUAAUUAAAUGGCACUACUAUGUAAUGAAAAAGUUACAAGCAUUUGAUCUAAAGUUAGACCUAAUACAUAAACACCUUUGAAGGGAGUAUUUUACAAUUGUUCAAUUCAUAGGGGACUCAAUCAAUCAUUUGACUAUUUUACCACUAUAACAGGUUUUUCCUGGAGGAUGGACAGCAAUCCUGGUGUCUCUAGACAAUGUUGGAUCUUGGAAUCUGAGAGCAGAAAAUCUGGACAGGUGGUACCUAGGUCAAGAAACUUAUCUGAGGAUUGUCAAUCCUGAAGAAGCCGGCGACACAGAGACUGGUGCACCAGAAAAUGUUCUAUAUUGCGGCCCUCUAAAAUACAAACAAAAGUAACAUCUCAUUUUUCCAUUGACAGUGUUUUUGUACCCGAUUUUUCCAUUGACGCUGUACAAAACAAGCCUAUUUUUUUAAUUUUUACUUUUUUUAUACCUGCAGAAAGCAGACACCUUCUUCAUCGUCUGCAGAUUCUUCUUUGGGAAGUGGCUUCCUUUUCACAUUGUUCAUGGGAAUUCUUGUGAUUUUCACAUCUAGCUAAAGCUUUUGCCGGCAUUUUUACAUUUAUCAACUAUGAUUUUUUAGACCUGUCAAGAAGUGUGAUUAGUAAUUUCUUGGUCUGAGGAAAACAACAUAUGCUUUUUGUUCUUUUAGUUAUGGCUUACUUUGUACACAUUUUCUGGUUGUUUAUAUGCUAUUCAAAAUGUGAUUAAGGCUACUUGAAUUUGGUAAUUCAUAUUCUUAAUAGAUGAUUACAGUAGUUUAUCAAAUUUUAAUAUAUUUCGAUCAUGUACUUAAAUUUUCAAUCCUGUGUCAAAAGUUUUGCUUGUUCUAUUGGUAUUAUUAACUUUUUGUAUUUGAAUUCCUGACCUUAGUUCUUCGGAACCGGAUGACCCCUCUGCUGAUGGGUGAGGACAUGUAGAGCAAACUCCAUGAAGGCCUGGGCCACGUCAUCUGCCGCAAUAAGCUCAAUGUCUGUAGGAGCCCUCAGAAUAGUCUGGACAUACCUGUACUGCCUAAGAACCCGCUUUGGCAAGUGACGGACCAUCCUGUCGCUGCUGGCCAUGAUCCAUCCGGAGUACCAGCAUAUGUCCUGAAAGGGCGUGAUGUGUCGUCGUCUCUUGUACGACCUCCAGGUGACAUGUGAACGGUCCAACAAAUCGAUGGUAGCUAUGUAGUGUCCAGAAUUAGAAAAGCCCCUGGGAGGUUUCCAUUGACGCACAAACGGGGAAAUAACAGGGUUGUAGUAAUCAUCAUCAAUUCUCGGAAUGAUGUUUGAGAAGCGCGCCAAAGUCCAUGCCUGCAAACACAAAGAAACAAAUAUUUAUAUUAGCGCAAGAAUUAUACAAACAACUAAACAUUUACGAUCCAAUAAGUAAAAAAGAAGAAAAAACAAAUAUUACCACAAGCAAUAUCAUGUAACCACCACAGGAGGCCACAGAUGAGUCGGAGGCAAGAGAUAGCUGCUCAUAUAGGAAAACAAGUCCCAUCCCACCCCAUGACCAGCUGUCCAACUCGUCCAUAUCUUGCAGCGCAAGCAGCCAAAGAAGAUUAAUGUUUUUGCUGUUCUUCCCGGAAAAAAUGGUCCAUCCAAGCAAAAGCAACAUAAAUGCCUUAAUGCAGGCCAGCCUAACUUCAGCUCGCUCGUCUCGCUCCUCCUUUGUGCCAGGCACAAGCAGCUGAUUACACCUAUUCAAAAGCUCCUCGUAGCGCUCCUCUUAAGUACACCAAAACUGAUGUGAGCAGCACCCUGUUUUGUCAGCUCCUUAGCGGCAACCUUCGCUGUAAAAAGUAGGUCUGCCUAAAUCAUCUCUAGCCCCUCGUCUCGGGUUAACUCUCUAUCAGGAAGGAGCCUUCCAGUGAUGGGGAUGCCUAGGAGACACGCCACAUAAUCUAGUGUGAUGGUCAUCUCCCCAAUAGGUAGAUGGAAGUUGCUGGUCUCUGUAACGCCCACUUUCGUUUAAUUAGUUAUUUAAUCGAGUUUAGGCGAUUAUAUUAUAUUUAUAUAAUAUAUGUGUGAGUUUUUUGUUGAUUUAAUAUGAUUUAAGUUAAUUUGAAAGAUUUGAUGUGUUUUGGUGAUGAGAUAAGAUUAUGAGACUUAUUUUAUUGUUAAAUAAAAUAAGAUUUGAUAAGAAAAUAAAAAUAAGAAAAAUAUUUAGUUGAUGGCUGUUUUGAGAUUUUAGAGAGUUUUGGGGGAGAAAGUGAGAUAAGAUAAGAUAUUAGGAAGAGCUUUAAAAGAGAUAGACCUAGUUUAGAAAAAAAUAUUGCACGUACGAUCAGUUUUUGGAAAAAGGGAGAAAAAGCCAUAGAAGGGAGAAACCAAGAGGGAGAGCUGCGAUUCUGCAAUUACAAGGUAAGGGUGAGACUAUUAAUUUAGUAUUGUUAAUUGAUAUAGUUCUAAUGAAUAAUUGACAAAGUUAGGAUGAAUUUAGAAAAGUUUUGGAAUUAGGUUAAAACCUAAAAAUUGAUGAUCAAACGGUAAAACUGAGUUAGAUUGAUGUAGAAACCGUCCUAUAACCUUAGAAUAUGUUUAGGAUGAAUUCUGGAUGUGAAAUUAGGCUUAGAACCUUGUUAGAUGAUGAUUUUCGUGUAGAAACUGCAUUCUUCCCGUAGCGACAUUCAUCGCUCGCCUCCCGAGCAAUGAUCCUCGCCACGGCGAGUGAUGAACUUCAUCGCUCGCCACGCGAGUCAAAGCCCCUCGCCUCGCGAGUUACAUGUUGUAGCUCGCCACGGCGAACUAACCUACUCGCCAUAGCGAGCGUGACCAGAGUGUAUGUCAUUUUGUGAGUUUUUGACUUUUGAGUUGAACCUUAGAUACUUUUGAGUACCUUUAGGUGCCUACUAUUGAUUAGUGAAUGAUUUAGAACGAGAUUGAACCUAGAACAACCUUAGUUGGGAUUCUGGCUUGUACUCGCCAUGGCGAGCAGAUGCUCUCGCCUCGCGAGCACUUCCAGAACUGAGUGCUUUUGAGGAUUGAGAGACUUGAGCUGUUUGGAUUGAUUAGAAAAGGGACUUUAGGUGCUAAUAUGACCUAUUAGGGAUAAUGACUGUGAACUGUGAUGAUUUUAUGAACUGUUAAGGGAUAAUGAAAUGAAAUAUGAAUUUGAUUGCCUUCACUUGAUUAUUGUUAAUUGAUCAAGAAUUGUUGAAAAUGAUUUGUUAUUUAAGCUUGAUGUGAUUUGAUUAUGCUGCAAUGUUAUUUAACUAAGUUGCAUGUCUAUGUAUAAGCUGAUGAUGAACUCCAAAUUAUUGGAUGUAUAUGUGAUAAGUUGAUUAAGAUGUUUUAUUGUUAGAGUCCAUGCAUUAGCGUUCAUUGAGCUUUGUCCUCACCACGAUUAGGAGCUUUGUCCUCCUCACGUUUAGGAGCUUUGUCCUCCGCACGAUGAAAGUAUAUUAAUACUUAUGAUGACGAUUGGUACCACAUGCAUAUAAGUGUCUAAGUUGCAUUGUCGCAUUUGUAGAGUCUCAAAGAUGUUUAUGUUGUUGAUGAUGAAUAAGCUGUGAUUAUGUGAUACAUGUUUAUUAAAGAUGCAAUGUUGAUUAAGAAUGAUUAUGAUGUUAAUUAUGAUUUGUAUUAUAUUGAUUAAUAAUAUUGUGUUAAGAAAUCUCACCCCUUCUGCUUGAAAAUGUUGCUCUUCGUAUGAGUAACUUGCAGGUGAUCGUGCUUAAGUGUGCAGUUUGCUGUUGUGAGUGACCUUGCCUCACUGUGUCGUCUAGGUCGCUCUGAUACGUAACGGGAUGGGGUUUUGAUAUGCAUGCUUCAUUCUAUUACGUGAAACAUUUAUGUUAUUUUUAUAAUGUUGAUUAACUUUUGAAAUACUUGAUGGGGCCUACGUGCCAAAAGAUUUAUGGAUUAUGAAAUAAUUUUCCGCUGCAACGUUUAAGUUUAUUUGGUUAAAUUGUUAUUUAAUUGUUAUUGGAUUAUGUUAAAUGUGAUAUCCCGUUUGUUAAGUUGUUUACUUUGAUAAUGUUUAAGAAAUUUUCAUAUUGGGAAAACUGGGUGUUACAGUCUCCUCAUGUCAUCUCUCUGUCAUCGCACAAACGAACCCGUGAGAGAUGUUCUAGUACCCACUAGUCAGGAGGGGAGUAAGACCGGACAUAUUCACUUCUGACCAAAACCACUCAUUUUGUUCCUCCGACAUAGGCAUGGUCAAGUUUUUAAGGCUCAGCUUUUUCCCGUGCGAGAUACCUUUCACCCUAUAUUUUUUUCGAAAUUGAAGUACAAAAAAAAAAAAAAAAACACCGUUAAAAUAAGUAAAAUAAUAGUUACAUCGACAUUAAAUAAGUAAAAUAAUAAUUAGAAUAAGUUGUAUAAAUAGUAAAAGAAGUAAAAUAAACAUUAAAUUAUACUUACAUCCGCAUGGACCCAUAUCCAGCAUGCCACAUGUCCACCAAAGUGAGGUAAAAGCGGUAGGGAUGGCAAUUGGAGCCCGAUGGACACCCGCAAAAAAUACCCGUAAUGGAUAGGAUAAAAUCCCGCUUUUAUGGGUAUGGGUUUGGGUUUGGGUCCGGGUAAUUACCUGCAAAUUUAGAUGGGUACGGGUGUGGGUAAUGGUACUAUAUUAUCCAGCCCUGCAACCCGCAUAUAUACAUAUUUAUAUAAUUUAAUAAAUAUUUUAUUUAUUUUUGGUGUACAAAUAUUUAAUUUAUUCAGCUAUUUAAGGAUAAAACUAAACCUAAAAACUAAUAUGGUAAUCAUUUCAUCCUUACCUUCAUAAACUCACGAGCUACAAAUUUAUGAUCCUCAUACUGAUGCUGCUGAUACGCAUCAAACUGAUACAGCUGAGGCUCCUGAAAAUGAUAGGCCUGAUCCUGCGCCUGCUCAUACACCUUAUAAUCCUGCUGAUACUGUGUCGGGUUCACCGUCUGGAUGGACCCGUAUGUGACGUUGACCCCUCUGCAGCAUCAACUCUAGCAAGUAUCGUUCCCCCACCUCUCCUUCGACCAGCCAUAGGAGGGUGUAAUGCUUGUUUCGACAAUUUUUUUGCCGAAAAUUGUCGAAUGCAAAGGCUGGAAAACCAGUCAAAAUCGCCCACCGAUUUAUCCAAAUCGGGCCCCUUUUUUGCACUUCCAGAAAUCCAAUUAUGAGUCACUUCUGCAACAAGGUGGAUGAAGAAGAUCAAUAUAGACAAAAGUUUGGAGUGGGUUCUAGGUUUACACCAUUGUAGAAAGAAAAAAAACGCUAACGAGUAUUUCAGGACACUCUUUAAGGAUCUUAAAUGGUAAACUUUUAUGAAAAUUUGUGUAUUCCAUGUAAUAGAAAUAGAAUUUCUUUUACUGAAUAUUUUUUUUUAAUUUGUAAUCAUUAAUAAAUGUCCUGAAAUAGUCGUUAGCAAGAAAACAAUUAUACCAGGUAUGAAUGCAUUGAUAGUUUAUGAAAUUCUGUGUGCAAAAACCUUCAAAAACAGUAAGGGAAAAGAAAACUAACAUUAAUUUUUUUCUUUUGACUACAUUAAAUUAUUAUAUUUAUUCAUUAUUAACCGUAUUAAUUUCUUUUGGUCAAGGACAAUAUUAGUUAUUUUAUUAAAAUAAUAAUUAACAUAAGCCUAUAAAUAAGUAGAGUAUUACGCUCUCCAUAAACCUAAUCAUCUCUCUCUCUCUCUCUCUCUCUCUCUCUCUCCCUCUCUCUCUCCGUCGCAUCCUCAACUUAUAUCUCUCUUUCCGUGCCCCCAUCACCCUCAAUUUUCAUUUUCAAAUCAAUGGUUUUCAAAUUAUCCUCCAAUUUUGAAUGCCAUAUGUAUGAAAACGGAAUUGAUUUGCUUGGUUUAUGGUUGAACAGACAAUGCAUAUUGCCAAUUUCAUUUCGAAAGAAUAUUACAACAUGCGUAUUCAUUGUGGAUUUGUCUUGCGAAAUGAUUGUUUAACCCGUUUCUUCUGUUUUUCUGCAUACAGGUAUCUCUAUAAAUUUCUGGAGCUAUUAGCUCACGAUACUCCAUUAUCAGGUUUUAUUGAAAAUAUAGAGUUUGAGAUUUUACAAUUGAAUGGAAAUCUCAAACGGUGUUUUGCGGGAGCAUGGUGGUAUGAACUCGAAGCCUUCUUACUCUAUCACGAGAUGUAUAUCAGGAUAUUUGUGGAGCAACUCGAGUGUAGUGAGAAACUCUUAAUGGAAAUAUCUGAUGAUAUUUAAACUAGAGAACAACAAGUUCUUGCGGAGCAUAGAGGAAUACGGGCUCGAUGAAAUGGUUCUACGGAGGGAUCUGAACAAGUCUUGAGAUAGCACCUUGAAUACUUGGCCAUGUAGAAACAACAACAGGAAAGCGAGUUUACCGAUACCUAUCUCAAGACUUGUUCAGAUCUUUCCGCAGAACCAUUCCAUUGAGCCAAUAUUCCUCUUUGCUCCGCAAGAACUUGUUGUUCUCUAGUUUGAAUAUCAUCGGUUAUUUACGUCAAGAAUUUCUCACUACACUCGAUUUGCUCGACAAAUAUCCUGCUAUACUUCUCGUGAUCGAGUAAGAAGGGUUCGAGUUCAGACCACUAUGCUCCCUAAAAACACCAUUUGAGAUUUCCAAUCAAUUGUAAAAUCUCAAACGCUAGAUUUUCAAUAACAACCGAGAAUGGAGUAUCGUGAGCUAAUAGCUCAAGCAAUUUAUAAAGAUACCAAUAUGCAGAAAAUCGAAGAAACAAGUUAAGUAAUCAUUUUGUAGACAAAUCCACAAUGAAGAUGCCUGUCGUGAUAGUCUAUCGAAAUGAAAUUGGCAAUGUUCAUUGUCUGUUCAACCGUAAAUCCAAGCAAAUCAAUCCUAUUUUCAUGUAUUUGGCGUUCAAGAUUGGAGGAGAAGUUGAAAGCCAUUGAUUUGAAAAUGAAAACCAAGGGUGUUGUGGCUGGCAGGGAAAGAGAGAUAUAUGUUGAGGAUGCAGCAUGAAGAGAGAGAUAUGUUGAGGCAGAAUAUUUGAGUCCCUUUAAUGUCAUCAUAUUAGGCUUUGCCACAUUUCUAGGUAUUUUGACGUCGUGUGAUAUUAAGCUGGAUGUUGUGAAUUCUACGCAAAUUCAUCUCUUAUGGUUUUAGCAAUUUUUAAUUUGUUCUCGAUUGAUGCUGUCUAUCAAUUUGAAUGAAUGAAUGUCGUUGUUUUAGUCAACAAAAUAAUUGUUUUUUAUUUUAAUUAAUUCUUAAAAUGUAUUAUCUAUUUUAAUUUUUAGCAACCAACACCUUUUCACUUUGACACAAAUGCCCAUGUUUUUGUUUUUUGAGAAAACUAAUACCAAAGGGUACAAAUGUAAUUUUCAUUUAAAUGUUAAUUUUCUUUUUAUUUUUAGAGAUUUAGACAGGUCCACCAUUCUCGUUCUUCCUUCUCUUUGCUCUUCUUCUUCUCUCACUAUUUUACUGAGUUUAAGAUUCAUCCACAAUCUCUUAAAUUUACAUAGUUGUUACCUGCAUCAAUUUCUUUUCACCAAACAUAGGUAAUGACUAUGAUUUAUUAUCACAAAUCUCUAUCAUGAGGGCUUUUUACUCUUCUUCCUAAAAGUUUGAUUAUUGCUGAGUAAAAAAUUGAGGUUGAUGGCAUUUGCAUUUCUUUGUUUUCUUUCUUGUUGAAGUUUAGAUUUUUAUUCACGUGGCACUUGCAAUCCUCUACCAAUAUAGUGUUGAAAAAAGAGGUUGUAUAGUUUUGUUUUAUUGAAUUUUGAUUCAAUUGAAUUGUAUCGACUUGAAUCUUAAAACAUUAUAUACCUAAAAAAUUGAAGAUACUUCAUCAUAUACAAAUUAUAAUUGCUGUGUCUUCAUAUUUUAAAAUUAUUUUUUAUCCUCUAUACCAUAAAACAAAUGAGUGAUUGUUGGAACCACAAUCUGAUAAAUGAACUAGUACAUGCUAAUGAUUUUAUUGUAAACCAAGCCCUUUUACUUUGAGAAAAUGUUUUAUUUCAUUUUUAUCUAUUCUAAACUUUCUUUUCAGCUAUAUGUUAUUUUUUACCAAACAUAUCCUAAAACUAAGGAUUAUUACAAGCUAAUGAGUUAGUUUUUCAUUCAUUAUUGACUUUUUGUCCUUAUAUACAUAUGAAGCACAAUGUACUAGGCUAGGCUACCACAUGUUCAUUAUCCUUUAGGAUAAGUUAUUAAACAAACUAAAAAGAGAAGAGGCGAUGAGUUUUAUAGGGCAAACCAUGUUAAUGGCACUAACAGUUACGGUAAACAAGUAUACAUCAUCCAAUGUUCAAGCAGUUCAUAAUAGAAAACAAGCAAACCCAACUUUGAGAAGCACCAACAUGGAAUUUGGAAGGAGAGGACUCGUCUUAUCCAUUGUUAUCGCCGCAACCGCUACUCAAGACCCUGAGUCAAGGACAUUGCUUCUUCAAAGUAUAUAUGCAUAACUCUUUUUUGUUGUUAUUAUGUGUUGCCCUAUGUAGCACCACUACUUCGGAAUGUAUGCGUGUGUCUAGUGUCCAACAUUGACAUGACACACACGGCCACAUUCAUCUUUUUAAAUUAUUAUAGUGUCAUGUCUUACCACUUGAACAGGUUUUUAGUGGUUAAAUUGCUAACUCAAAAAAUGUUGUAAUGAAAAUGUGUGAUCAGAAUAUUUGAAGAAAACACAGGAAAACAAGGAGAAAAAUGACAAAGAGGUAAGUAACACACUCAAAGUGGUGUAUUUAAUUUUAUGUUGUAGUAUGUCAUAUUUAGUAUUCAAUUUAAUCACAGUUUUUGUGUGUGGCAGAGGGUUGAUAGUAAUUACAAGCGUAAUUACAAAGAUUACUUUGAGUUCAUAGAAGGGGGUUUGCAAGCAAAGGAGGAGGGGAAGCUUUCAGAAGCAGAAAAGGGUAUCCUUGAUUGGCUUAAAGCUAACAAGUGAUACAGUAUUGUUUUUUCUCAAUUGCUAGAGUGGCUAGCUACUUUUCAUUUUUCUAACUGCUGCUCCAAUGACAUUCAAUUCUACACCUUAAAAUUGGACAUUAUAUCCAUGUAGUUGCACUCACCACCUAGCUUGUAAAUUUUGAUUUUCUGUUGGGAAAUUCGGAUAUGGUACAGUUUUUUUCUUGCAAGGUUUUGUAUGAAAUUUGCUUGCAAACCCCCUUCUAUGAACUCAAAGUAAUCCUUGUAAUUACGCUAGUAAGAUAUCUAUAUUGUCGACUAAAGGAUAUUAGGUUUAGCGAAAAGUGUUAGGUGUGAAGAAUCUAUUUGAUAUGAUUUCAAGUAUUUUAGAACGCGUCUAGAAUUAUUUUAAAAUUUUAAUAUAUUUUGUUUAAUUUUUUGAUUUUCAACUUUAUGUUUAAUGCACACUACAACAUGAAUUUUGUUUUAUAUAUCAUAGUUCAUUCUGAUGGCCCAUCCAAUUUUUUUUUGGCUUCGCAACUAAUCAUAGUUCAAAAAUCUAUCAUACUCUCUAUCAUAAUUAAGUAGUAUACGUCAACCAAAGGUAAACCUCUCCAAGGAUUUCCACAUAUCAAAAAGAAAGUCGAAAACUUAUGGUGCAACUUCCAUGUUGCAAGAAUUUCGUCAAUUACCAACAUUAUCUCAUGGCACGUCUUGCAUCAAUGUAAAUCAACUCUCAUGUACUAAUCAAUACCAUGUAUAAUCUUGAUUGUAUUAACCCGUCCUUGACUUGAAAUUUCCACAAGUCAAAAUUCAUUCUUCCUUCAAUUUUCUAUAGCCCAAACUUCAUAGCGAAAGUAGUAAUUGCAACACUUUCAUAGUACCACUUUUUUUCCCUGAUGUGGAAGAUCAAACAAUGUUGCAACCACAUCAUAUCAUAAUAAUAAUUUCUAUCCUUAUCCUUGGACCAAACCAAAAGUUCUGAUCCGGUUGUUGGGGAAAACAAGCAUAGAGAAAAGAAAAUAACACAACAGAAACUCAAGAAUAUAACGUGAAAACUUCAAAGCGGAGAAAAAACCACAUUUGUUUUCAACAUAUAUAUCUAGUUUUUUUUUUACAACAUAUAGAUUAUUCUCAAACACCAACAGCCACAAUAUACACACAACACCCAAAGAAAAUACCUAACUACAUCUCAUAACACUCUAAGACAAGAGUAUAUAAAAAAAAGAAAUGAGAAAGAUAUAAACUAAAGUGUUUCUGACUAAUGCACCUUGUAGCAAAGAGAUAGAACCUAUAUAUUAAGAAAAAACCUCGUGGCAUGCAAGAUUUUCUAAGCAAGAAAGUAACCAAGUGAAGGAACCACCUUGCUUGUCUUGCACUUCAAGAAACAACCUUAAUUGUCUUGCACACUACCUCUUCCUUUACAAUUCUAAGCAUCGUGGGACUUCUUCAACAUGUAUAUUUUCAACCAACACACCAUGUUAAAAUUUUGAGGAUUUGGAGAAAUUGAAUGAAAAGAGCUUUAAAAGGUUGAAUGAGAAUAAUACACGAAGAGAAUCAUUUUGAUAAAAGGUAACUUCCUAAUAAUAAACUCUAACUAAUUUUGUAUUUCACACUUACCAAAUAAUUGAACUAAUUACUUACACUACUAACUAUCAUUAUUCUUAAUAGCUUCCCUUAAACUCAAGAUAUGAUUUACAACGAUAAUGUUUAUAUGAAUAUGAAUAAUAUUUUUUUGAGUAUAUGAAUAUGAAAAAGAAUAUCUCUCGCAGUGUACAAAAGAAUAUGAGCAUGCUCUUACAAGAAUUACAAUGAACUUAAUUACAAAGAAUUAAGUACAAUAACUGAGGCAAUGAAGAAAUAGCUAUAGCACAACAUAAAUGAUCAAAGACCAGAUGUAAAUGGCACAGUAGUUGUAGCCAACCAUGUUGGUCCAGCAAGGAGUCCAGCAACCGUAAACUUUGAUGCUUCAUUAGGGUUUGAUAUCACAUGAUAACCAGGCCAUUUUACUCUAUUUGCUGUUGAUGAACCAGGUCCAUAAUUCUCAUACUCUCCAUAAUACAAUGUGUCUUGAGCAAAAUCAGUGUCACCCCAUGGAGACCAACCCAGGGGGCUUACUAAAGUGUCCAUGAAAGUUUUCAUCACCAUAACUCUUGAAUAUUGUUGCCAAGGCCUGCCCAAGAAGGUUUUGUACUUGUCAACAACAGGCUUUAGAUCUGAUGCAGCCCUAAUUUGACAAUUGUGGAAUGAAAUUCCAGUGUUUUGGAAUGGGUCACCUCGACCUUGGGCUGUGAUCAUGUUAGCUUGACCAUCUAAAGGUUUUCUUGCGAAAAUGUUACAAUUUUGGAAAACCACUGCGGCAUUGCCAAAGAUGAAGUCUACGGUGCCAUAGAUGAAGCAUUGUCGAUAAAAUUGACGUUGUGCAUGAGCCAUCAGAGUGUCUUGAUAACCUGAUAUGGCACACCGAUAGAAAACUGAGAGAUCGGAGGCUGAUCUUAGCGCCACUGCUUGACCCUUGUGUGGACCGGCGGUAUUUUGGAAGGUUAUGUCACGUGCAAUGAAGUGAAGUCCAUCAAUACCUAAAUUUAAAUGAUCCAAGAGAAAUAUGUAAAAAAUUAGAAACUAUAAAUAACAAUCUAAACUCUAUAAAGUGUUCGUGCUACAUAAGUUGCAAGAAAGCCAUUAGACCAGUAUGAAUAUCAUAUAUACCUAUGAUAUAAAGAGCACAUUUCCGUGACAACUAGUUUUAAACACUGAUUUAGUAUUGAAUUUUAGGGCUUUAAAAUUAAGUUUCGAAAAAUCACUUAAUGAUUGUAGAUUUUCAAUCAAUUUUUUCUCUCUCACAUCUUUUUAUGUUGCAUAAAAUUUACUACAUCUAGAAAAAACUAAAUCAGUGAAGAAAAUUUGGAGAUCGAAAAACAUUAAAAUCAUCGCUAUUCCACCACCACCUACCAGAGUCGCCAACUCUCGUUGUUAGUUAAACUUUUUCUAGCAGUGAAUAUUGUUUUUCUCUUAUAACAAGAACAUAAAACAGGAAAUGAAAUAUAAUUCACCUGCUGUUGCAGAGCUAUAAGUGGUAAAACCACCUUGAACACUUCUAGAACUUGUUAUUAUGGUAUUUUGCAUCCCAUCACCAACCAGCAUAAUAUUGUCAUUAUGAACAGCAACCUCAAUGUUCUCUCUAUAAACACCUUUCUUAACAUGUAUCACAAACCUUGUCUUAUAUUUUCUCUUAGCAGCAGCAUUUAAAGCAGCCUGCACAGUCUUGUACUGUCCAGAACCAUCUUUUGCCACCACAAGAUUGUACUUUACUGGACCCUUUGACUGCAAAAGCUUCCUUUCAUGCACAGAAAACCAAUUUGGAAAUGACCCUUCUUCUGUUUCUGCAAGUGACGAAUCCAGAAAUUUUGAUUAGUAUGACUAUAUAUAUAUUCAUAUAAAAAGUACAUAAGCGAUAGUGUUAUGACAUCAAUAUUAUCAUAUGAAUCAAAUUUAAAUCUGGAGAUUACAAAAUUUUAACAUUUUUUUUAAGAAAAAAUUAAAACAUUAUAUACCUAAAAUAUUGAAGAUACUUGAACAUCUACAAAUUAUAAUUGCUCUUUGUGUCUUGUUAUUUUAAAAUUCAUUUUUAUCUUCCCAUUUUCAACCCUAUCAUAUUUAUAUUACUCUAUGUAUGUCACAAAAUAAACAUUCCAUAAUUUAUCUUUCAUUUAAUUCUUCCUAAAUAAAGUUAUUGAAUAACUUUUUAGCAGCACAAUACUUAAAUUUUAAAUAGAAAAAUAUAAAAUCAUUGUUAGUACCUUUGCUAUGUUUCAGGAAAUGCAUAUUGAUGGCUAAGAUGUUCCUUAUCAUUUCAGUGACAUUGGUUUGCAUAAUGAAAUCGAAAUCUUGAGCAUUGAGUUCUAAAGCUCCACUUUUACAUGUUUCAAUAUUUGUGAGAGAAGUUGUUAGCCAUGUUUGUGCAUCAUUUGGUGAACAAUUUUUGCUAGCAUUGUUUAAGCCUUCAAGUGUACGGUUGAGAUGAAAAAUUGUGUUUUCAAAUAGCUUCAAACAAUCACCAUGAACCGUUUUAUGCACAAAUGAGUUUUGUUGUUGUUGAGAAUUUUCUUGUGCUUCUUUUUGCAUGGUAAGAGCUUGUUUUAAGGCUAAUUGAACAAGCAUUUCCCUGAAUUCAACUCUAUGUUUGAUUUUGAAAUGAUUGUUCAUUUGUGUUGUGUAGUGUUUGCAUGGCUUUGGAUGUGGUGUUAAAUUGCACCACCAAUCUAUGUUGCUUGAGGAAGGUCCUUUUCUUGAUGAGGCUAUUGAGAAAAUUGAUGAUAAGAAAAAGAGCAUAAACAAUGUUUUUCCAAUGAUUGCCAUAAUUCAAUUGUAGAAUAAUUGAAGAGUUUAAAAAAUAAUAAGAGUUUAUGUUGCAUAUAACAAAUGUGUGAUAUAUGAUGUUUUUGUUCACUUGUUUUUGGUUUUGACUUAUGAGAAUUAAACCCUAAACUCUAUAUAUAUAUAUACAUAAAUUUUUGUAGGCGGAGUGUGAAGGUGAAAACGUGUGGAAUGAAUUGCAAGUGAUAAUGAAAAAUGACACAGAUACAGACAGUGGAUGCAAAUGCAAGAAAGAAUUAAUUGAAUAUAGGAAUAAAAUAUUAUCUAUUAGAAAAAAUGGUAUUACUUAAUAAUCCAGAAAGUUGAAGCCAAAUUACUUGUUAUUGCAAGAAAAACAAGUGUCUUAAUGUGGAUUCACAUAGCAAUAUUCUUAAGCUUACUUAUAAAUGCACUAAUUUGGAUUUUGCGGCUGUGACUAUAUAUAUAUAAAUUAAAUUAAUAUGUUGAGUUGGCUAAGUUGUGUGUUUAUUUCAUAUGCAUGCAUAAUGUUGUUAAAAAAAUUGAAUAUAUUAUCCUUUUUAUUAAGAAGACUUAUUUUAGGGUGGGGUGAAGGAUAGUUGCUUUGAACAUAGUAACCUAAUUCACCUGGUAGGGUUUUGUGAGCGUUUUGUUCAAGCAUAUAGAAGAAAUUUUAUUGUACGUACUCCAUGUGCUUUUAGUUUGCAAAUUAAGCAAGAGAAGGAAAUAUGUAGGCGAUUUUGAUAAAAAUUGUGUCAACAUAAGUUCAUAUUUCGAAGGGUCAACACACGUUUAUGUAUAUAAAUUAAUUGGUCAUACCAGUAUACAAAUGAUUAGGGAGUGGCUCUCGUUGAUCUCCUUAAGCUUUUAGGUUUAUGUAUUUCUCAUUUGGUAAUUGAUUUUCAUCCAUUUCAUGUUGUAAGAUGUGUUCAUAAUUAGUGUUAGAGAUGAUUGGAUUUAUUUCUAGGUCAAGUAUCUCUAUAUGAUGGUCAUGUUCAUAUUCAUUGGUUGCAUAAGGUUCAGUUUCAACAUCAGAGACUAUGAGAUGAUUUGAGUGAUAUGUCCAGUGGAAAGGUAGAUUUGGAUUUCAAUAUGGUAAAAUAUAUUCAUGAUAGGUUAGUUUCUAGAUAUAAAAAUGGUUUUGGUGUUUAAAUCAAGAAGUAUAGUACGUUUGACACUUUGCUUAUAACCCAAGAAAAUGCAUUUCUUAGUUCUAGAAUCUAUUUUUUUUCUUCUAUGAACUUGUAAAGUGGAUGCAUAGCAUAGUGAACCAAAGACUAAUCAAACCUAUGAAAGAAAGGAGACUUAUUUUGCAACAAAGGACUAUGAAUACAAUUUAUGAGGUAAGUGGCAUGUAAAGCAACCAGAGGUGGAUCUCUUUAGACACCGGCGGGGGCCACGGCAUCCCCCAGAUUUUGCUUAUAUACUAUAUUAGAUGUGUUUUAUGAAUUAAAUUCUGGCUGUUGUAGUUGAUAGGGGGUGCCACAGUAUGCUAAAGGUCGCGGGUUUGACACCUCCAUGGCUUUUUUUAAUGGGAUUUGAACCCACAUUCUCGUGCUACUUUCAAACAAUUCCUAGCCAAUUAUUAAUUAUUACUACUUCUUGAAACCAUUUAAUAUAUAUUCCAUAAAAGUUUGGCACCCCCAGCAAUUUAAGUCAAGAUCCGCCACUGAUUAAACAACACAGGACCAAAACUGUUUAGGAAAUUUUGACUAAAAAAGAAAAAACUCUCCCGACAUUUAAAAUGUGUUGAUGCUUCGUUUCUACUCUCCCAUUUUGCCGGGGAGUCUCAACACAACUGAUUUGAUGUUCUAUCCCUUUAGCAGAAUAUAAUUCAAUCAUAGAAAACUCAAGACCAUUAUCAAUUCUUACAAUUUUAACUUUAAAAUAAUAUUGAUUUUCUAUCAUAAGAACCAAUUUUUGACAAAAUUGGCGACUUCAUAUUUUAAUUUACAAAGAAUGAUCCAAGUAAAACAGCUAUAUAUAAUCAUCAUUACUAGUAACUACAUACUUAUGGCCAUGAAGAUAUUGAGUAGAAAGAGGACCCCAAAUAUAAAAAAAAAUAAAAUUCAUAGCAUUGACUUGCUUUAUUAUUACUAAGCUGAAAAGGAAGUUUAACGUGCUUUGCAUAAUGACAAAUAUCAAAGACCGAGUUUUCAUCUAUGGUUACAAAAGGAAAUGUUUUAUGCAAAUUAAGCAACAUAUGAUUAGACAAAUGUCAUAAUCUAAAGUGCCAAUGAGCUUCUUGAGGAAUAAAGGUGGAUUGAGGUGAAGCUUGCGUAGCAAGAAAAUACAAUCCCUCAAUCAAAUUAACCGAACCAAUUACUUCUUUCUUGAAUCAAACAUUUAUCAUUGUUAAAGGUUACGAUGCAAUCAAUAUCAACACAUAGUUCAGGAACAAACAACACAUUUUGUGCAACUAAUCCUGGUGAAAACUGCACUGUGCCCCGGAUAUCUUGCUAUUGCCAUAUGGUCAUUUGGUAACUUGAUAUCUAUUGGUGCAAUUUUCUCAUAAGUAUCAAAAGAUGUUAAAGAAUAUAUAUGAUCACUAGAGUCUACUAUCCAUGAUCCAAUAUUUGAGUGAUUGAUUACAUGUGAUGCUAAAUUCACCUUGCUAUUAGAAAGAUGCAUUAAAAUUAGCAUUAGAACCAGAUGAUCAUGCUGUUCUUUUGUGAAACCAUAUGAAUUAUUGCCUUUGUAAACCUUUGAAUAGUCAAUGUGCUCCCUUUCUUCAUUCAAUUCGACCGAAGAGCUUUCUUUCCACUCAAUGAAAGAGCUUUGAUAAUCACAAGUUUGUUCGAAAUUCCGAUCACAAGUUGGUUUAUUUAUAAUGUAGUUUUUUUAGAGUAAUAAAAUAUAAUUUUAUUAAGUUCAAGAAGGAGUACACGUUCAGAAUGACACUUUACUACCACUGGAGAAGUGAACGAUACUUGAGUGCCGUUCAACCAACGACACUUGCAAAAAAGAGAAAUUAUGCAGCGUGAAUAACAUCUUUCUACCUUUCAUUGUUUGUUAUUCCUUACUUUAUUUUCCAAAUAAAAAAAGUACACGUGGUACUAAAUUCUAACCAAGAAAUAAAAUACAAAAAUCACCCUACCCACCACAAAAAAGAAAAAGAAAAAGAAUUGUUCCAAACUCCACCCAAAAGCAAAGCAAAAUGCAAAAAUUACUUCACUAAACAAUCAAGAUGUAAUGAAAACCAUUCAUAGACAAGGCACCCCCAUUUUGUUAAACAAAAGCCACAUUCAAGACAUAAAAUCAACCUUAGAACAGAAAAUGUAGUCGUUCCUUGUCUUUCAAAUUGUCCAAAGUACCAAAUGACAAAUCAAACAAGCCUUUUCUCCCUUUCUAUUUCCUUGCAAAAGCAGAGAAACUCUCUAACAAAGUGAAAAGGUCUCCCAGAAUUACCCAUACCAUACCACACCACACCAAACCUUUACUACAAAUAGCUCCUGCAAACCGACACUUUGCAAACCAAUGGUCUUCGGAUUCUGAUUCCCCCUCACACCAUAAGCAAGUGGGCUGCUGACCCCCACCCAAGAAUAUUACACAAGUGAUUAUAAAUAGAAUUAACCGAAAGGUACCUUGAGAGGUUGCUAGACAUAUCCAACCAUCCUAUUGUUGGGUCAAUUGCACUUCUUAAAUCAAGCGCACCUCCAUUUCUCAAACGGCCAAUGCGAAUGACCAUUUACCCAGUUCCCUAUCUCGGAAACUAAACACCCUUGUUGCUCUGAUCUGAUAUAGCAAAUAGCCUAGGAAACGCUACCGUAAGGGUUGUAGCUCCAGACCACACGGCAUGCCAAUAUCCAUAAUCAUCUUCAUUUCAUUCAAUGCUUCUUGAGCAUUUUCUUCAUCGCUUUUUAAUAACACAAGUUUUUUAAUGAUUUAAUUGCUUCCCUCUUAGAUAGUCAUUUAUUAGUUUCAAAUCCAAAAUAAUCUGAGUUAAACUGUGAUACUAAUAGAAAAAAUACAUUUGCUGAAGGGUUUUCAUAUCAGUAGAGCAAAUAGUCAGACUAGAUAUCUAUGAGCCACAUUAAAAAAUUGUCCAUAUAAUAGUAAUAUAUCAACUAUUUUUUCAUGCACUGGCUUUUUCUUAGUUUUCACAAACAAGGGAAAACAACAUGGUAAGCUGAAUUCUAUGGUUCAUACAUGGAGGUGAAAUGAAAGAAUACGAGCAGAGGACUUGAUAUAUAUAUCCAUAUAAUUUUAUUCCUUGGAUGUUUUCAAAUUUGUUGCAAGUUCUUCGAAGGUAAAAAUAAAACCUUUUUGUCAACUUGUGAUGAUGAAAGCUAAGGGGGCUAAUCGUAGGCAUGCUUGAGGAUAUUGCAUUGCAGAAACUAGUGGGGCUAUGGAUGUGCACUAGUGCGAAAAUGAAAGCAUAAUAAAAAGGAUUAGAACCUAUAUAUAUAUAUAUAUAUAUAUAUAUAUAUAUAUAUAUAUAUAUAUAUAUAUUUUAUAUUUUGCAUAUAAAAAGAAUGUGUAAUAGGAUUAGAACCUAUUACACAUUCUUUUCCUUACAUUUACAUGCUUUAUUGGAUGGAAAUUUGUAAUUGUUUUAGUAUGUAAUUAAAAUUGUGUUGCACAGUUCAUUUCUAUUAUGAAAUCAAAUUUCAAAUGUGUAUAAGAGCAUGUUUGAGAAAUCAAAUUCAAAUUUGUAUGAGAACAUAUUUAGAGUUGCAGAUCUUAACAAGUCUAAGCAAAGUCUAAAUUGGAUGAUUCACAAUUUUAGUCUAGACAACUUUCAACACUUCUUUUUUACAAAUUCUCAAAAUUAUCACAAGUUGCUGAAGCUAUUUAGUAACAGGGGCUUUACCUAAAAAUUGGUCAACUGUUACUAAAUUUAUUUAGUAACAUUUUUCUUGAUUUAGUUACAUUUUUCAACUGUUACUAAAUCUUGUGGUGGAUUAACAUGUGACACUAUGUUUUGUUCUAGGAAACAUAAAUAUAACAUUCAAAAAACAUCUUACCUUAAGACUGUUAAAUAAUUGACCAUUCUGAACUUCUAGUAAAUAGAUGAAUAAUUAAUUGCAUCGUUUUUACCUACUUGAACUACAAGUUAAUUUGAUAGGAUGAAGAAGCAAUCAGAAGGAUUUGCCGAUUACAUUUCAAUAUUCUCUGUUUCAAUUUUUGCAAACAAAUUAAAAGGAUGAUAAAUGACAUCAAUGUUAUAGAAUUGAAAAUGCCACCACUGUGAUUUUAUUUGCAUCUCUUAAAAAAUCUUAAAGCAUUUUCUUGUUUCCUCUAUAAGCUGUGAUGGUGGGAUUUUGUUCAUGAACAGAAAAAACCAGUUGACAUAUAAAGAAUUGUGGAAGAAACUUUAUUUAUGAAUGAAUAGAAGCCAACAAAUCCUAUACACUCUACCAUUAGUUCAGACCUUCAUACAUAGAACAACAAUUUAUAAAAAGUCUGAUUUUAGUCAUUUUUUCUUUAGCAUUUUAAGGACCAAAAAUGCUAACGGAAAAUUCUUAUCGGGACUAAAAAUGCUGACUGAAAAUUUUACAGGUACUAAAAAGUGCGAUUUUAUUUUGAAGGGACUAAAAAUAAAAUUCUAAAUAUUUAUAGGGAUCAUUUACUUAAUACACCAUUGAUAAAGCACAUAGACACCUCUCUUAUGAGAAUUAAGCUACUAUAUGUGCAUAUAUAUACAUAAAUUUUUGUAGGCGGAGUGUGAAGGGUGAAAACGUUUGGAAUGAAUUGCAAGUGAUAAUGAAAAAUGACACAGAUACAGACAGUGGAUGCAAUAGCAAGAAAGAAUUAAUUGAAUAUAGGAAUAAAAUCUUAUCUAUUAGAAAAAAUGGAAUUACUUAAUAAUCCAGAAAGUUGAAGCCAAAUUACUUGUUAGUGCAAGAAAAACAAGUGUGCUAAUGUGGAUUCACAUAGCAACAUUCUUAAGCUUACUUAUAAAUGUACUAAUUUGGAAUUUGCGGCUGUGACUAUAUAUAUAAUUAAAUGAGAAUGUUGAGUUGGCUUAAGUUGUGUAUUUGUUUCAUAUUCAUGCAUAAUAUUGUUAAAGAAAAUUGAAUAUAUUAUCCUUUUUUAUUAAGAAGACUUAUUUUAGGGUGGGGUGAAGAAUAGUUUCUUUGAACAUAGUAACCAAAUUCACCUGGUAGGGUUUUGUGAGCAUUUUGUUCAAGCAUAUAGAAGAAAUUUUAUUGUACGUACUCCAUGUGCUUUUAGUUUGCAAAUUAAGCAAGAGAAGGAAAUAUGUAUGCGAUUUUGACAAAAAAUGUGUCAACAUAAGUUCAUUUUUUUAAGGGUAAAAUAUAUUCAUGAUAGGUUACGUUUCUAGAUAUGAAAAUGGUUUUGGUGUUUAAAUCAAGAAGAAUAGCACCUUUGACACUUUGCUUAUAACCCAAGAAAAUGCAUUUCUUAGCUCUAGAAUCUUAUUUUUUUUUCCUAUGAACCUGUAAAGUGGAUGCAUAGGAGAGUGAACCAAAUACUAUUAAUUCAUUCUAGUCAAGAUCAUGACCAAACCUAUGAAAGAAAAGGAGACUUAUUUUGCGACAAAGACUAUGAAUACGAUUUAUGUGGUAUGUGGCAAGUAAAACAACAUAGGACUAAAAUUGUUUAGGUAAUUUUGAUUGAAAAAGUAAAGCUCUCCCCACAUUUAAAAUGUAUUGAUGCUUUCUUUCUACUCUCCCAUUUUGUUGGGAGUCUUAUCACAACUUGUUUGAUGUUCUAUCCCUUUAGCAAGAAUAAAAUUCAAGCAUAGAAAACUCAGUACCAUUGUCAGUUCUUGCAGUUUUAACUUGCCAAUAAUAUUGAUUUUCUAUCAUAAGAAUGUAUUUUUGUACGAAAUUGGUGAUUCAUAUUUUGAUUUACAUAGAAUGAUCCAAGUAAAACAGCUAUAAUCAUUAAUACCAGUAACAACGUACUUAUGGUCAUGAACAUAUUGAGUAGAAAGGGGACCCUAAAUAUCAAAAUGAAAAAAUUCAUAUCAUUGACUUGCUUUAUUAUUACUAAGCUGAAAAGGAAGUUUUCUGUGCUUUGCAUAAUGACAAAUAUCAGACUGAGGAAAUUUAUCAGGCUUGAGGUGAAGCUUGUGUAGCAAGAAUAUACAAUCCCUUAAUCAAAAUUAGCCGAAAUUAUCUUCAAGCUCCUUCAUCUUGAAUCAAACAUUUAUCAUUGUGAAAGGUUAUUAUGCAAUCAAUAUCAACACAUAGUUUUGGUACCAAUAGCAAAUUCAGGAAAAAAAUAACACAUUUUGUGCAAUGAAUCCUAGUGAAAACUGCACUGUGCCUCAAUAUCUUGCUAUUGCCAUAUGACCAUUUGGUUACUUGAUAUCUAUUGGUGCAAUUUUCUCAUAAGUAUCAAAAGAUGUUAAAGAAGAACAUACAUGAUCACUUGCAUCAGAGUCUACUAUCCAAGAGCCAAUAUUUGAGUAAUUCGUUACAUGUGAUGCCAAAUUCACCUUGCUAGAAGAUGCAUUAGUAUUAGCAUUAAUUAGAACAAGAUGAGUGGAGUAAAUUUAUCGGCUGAUCAUGUUGUUCUUUGGUGAAACCAUAUGAAUCAUUGCCUUUGUAAAUCUUUGAAUCAUCAAUGUCCUCCCUUUCUUCAUUUAAUUCAAGCGAAGAGUUUUCUUUCCACUCAAUAGAAGAUCGCUUUGAUAAUCACAAGAUUGUUAGAAUUUCCGAUCACCAGUUGAUUGAUUUAUAAUGUAGUUUUUUUUAGAGCAAAUAAAAGAUGAUUUUAUUAAGUUCAAGAAGGAGUACACCUUCCGAACGACACUUUACUACUAUUGAAGAAGUGAACGACACUUAAGUGCUGUCACCAACGACUCUUGCAAAAAAGAGAAAUUAGGAAGCGUGAAUAUCAACUUUCUACCUUUUGUUGUUUGUUAUUCCUUACUUUAUUUUCCAAAUAAAAAAAAGUACAUAUGGUACUAAAUUCUAACCAAGAAAAAAAAAUACAAAAAUCACUCUACCCACAACCCAAAAAAAUAUAUAAAUUGUUCCAAACUCCACCCAAAAGCAAAAUGCAAAAAUUACUUCACUAAACAAUCAAGAUGUAAUGAAAACCAUUCAUAGACAAGGCACCCCCAUUUUGUUACCCAAAAGCCACUUUCAAGACUUAGCAUUAAUGAAAUCAACCACCUCCUCCACUAUUGGAACCUUAGAACAGAAAACGUAGUCAUUCCUUGUCUUUCAAAUUGCCCAAAGUACCGAAUGACAAAUCAACAACAAGCCUUUUCUCCGUUUCUAUUUCCUUGCAAAAGCAGAGAAACUCUCAACAAAGUGAAAAGGUCUCCCAGAAUUACCCACACCACACCAAACCUUUACUACAAAUAGCUCUCGAAAACCUUGCAAACCAAUGGUCUUCGGAUUCCGACUCCCCCUUGCACCACAAGCAUGUGGGCUGUUGACCCCCACCCAAGAAUAUUACACAAGUGAUUAUAAAUAGAAUUAACCGAAAAGGUACCUUGAGAGGUUGCUAGACAUAUCCAACCAUCCUAUUGUUGGGUCAAUUGCACUUCUUAAAUCAAGGGCGCCUCCAUUUCCCAAACAACCAAUGCCAACGACCUUUAACCCACUCCCCCAUCUCGGAAACUAAACACCCUUGUUGCUCUGAUAUUGCAAAUAGCCUCGGAAACGCUCUUGCAAGGGUUGUAGCUCCACAACAAACGGAAUGCCAAAAUUGGGUUAUGGCGUAGUGCCUUAUCAAUAUCUAUAAUCAUCUUCAUUUCAUUCAAUGCUUUUUUAGCAUUUUCUUCCAUCGCUUUUUAGUAACAUAAGUCUUUCAAUGACUUAACUGCUUCUCUCUUAGAUAGUCAUUUUUUAGUUUUAAAAUGUGACACUAAUGGAAAAAAUAAAUUUGAUGAAGGGUUUUCACAUCAGUAGAGCAAAUACCCAAUAAAUCCACAAAAAAUAUUAGUCUGCCUGUCUCCUGAAUCUAGUACUAAGAAACGUGGUGGAUUUGUACAGUAUAGUUAUAAUUAGGUUGGUGCAAUUCAUGUUCCCUUGCUGCAGGCUUCAAUUCAUUUACCUCUUAAAUCACUGAAAGUCUACUAGCCGCGGAACCCCAACUGCUCAUUCCAUCGGUAUCACAAAAGCUAGAGAAAUUGCUUCCUUCUGAAAAUAGAAAGAGCAAAGAUCAACGCAUUAUACUAUAACUAUGUUUUCUUCUAGGAAACAUGAAUAUAACUUUCAAAAACAUUUUACCUUAAGACUAUUGAAUAACUGACAAUUCUGAACUUCUAGUAAAUAGAUGAAGAAUUUAUUGCAUCAUUUUUACCUACUUGAACUACAAGUUAAUGUGAUAGAGAUGAAGAAGCAAUCAGAAGGAUUUGCAGAUUACGUUUCAAUAUUUUCCUGUGUUUUAAUUUUUGCAAACAACAGGAUGAUAAAUGACAUCAAUGUAACAGUACUGAAAAUGCCACCAAAUCUUAAAGCAUUUCCCUGUUCCUCUACAAGCUGGGAUGGCUGGAUUUUGUUCAUGAACAGAAGUAAAGCAGUUGCAGACAUAUAAAGAAUUGUGGAAGAAACUUUAUUUAUGAAUAGAAAGCCAACAAAUUUAUAAUUUAAUGCUGAUACACCAUUGAUAAUAGCCCAUAGACACUUCUCUAACUUCAAACAAUUUUUUUUCUUCUUCUUCUUUUUCUUAUUGUCAUAGAGGAAGAAUUUCUACAAGAAACACGGUGAAGAUUCAGCUAUCCAAAUUCUCCAUUCCAAGCCUUCUAGAAAGGUGUGGCUUGUGAUAAUAAUUAAGGGUGUAAACCAGCACUCUUAAAGGUUUGUGCUUAGAUGAAUGUGUAUAUUUAAUUUCUAAAAGAAUAUAUUGUCAAUAAAGGUAAUUUUUUUUGGUCUAACUUGGGGAUGCCAACUACCCAAUACUCAAAUCAACUCACUGAGAAUACAACACCAAGUGGGGAGCAAGGUUUGGCAGCCUAAUAUCAGUGACCAAUCGAUUGAUUGAGAUUCAAUCAUUAUACAUAGAUUCUUGUCUUGGCAAAGUAACAUUCUAAAUACUACUUCAAAAUCAUGUAUUCCAUUUAUAUGUAUGUAUAAAAGAGAAUAUAUUUUAAGAAUUAAAUAAAAGAAAAAACAAUUAUUUUGUUGACUAAAACAACGACAUUCACUCAUUCAAAUUGAUAGACUGCGUCGAUUGAAAACAAAUUAAAAAUUGUUAAAACCAUAAGAGAUGAAUUUGCGAACAACUCACAACAUCCAGGUUAACGUCAAAAUACCUACAAAUUUGACAAAGCCUAAUAUGAUGGUAUUAAAGUGUCUCAAAUAUCCCGCCUCAGUAUUUGUUACAUUGAAGACGCCAAUUUCAUUGAUUUAAUGGGCAUCUGAUCAAAGUUAAUAUGUCAAUUUCAACCGAAAGAACACCACAAAAAAUAAAAUAAAAAAAUAACACCUCACGAAGGUGACUAACAAAACAAACCUAAUUCCACCCAAAGUCUCAAUCAUAAUAGUGUUUUCCAAGGUGAAUCAAUCCCAACCCUAGUGUCUCCCGUUUAGAGAAAUCUCUAUAAACCCUAGUUUGUUGUUUGUUUCUAAACCCUUGUUUUCAGCCCCCUCUGUCUCUCAAGGUUUACUAUGGUACAAGGUCUAUAUUUAUAGUCAAAGUAUCCCUCAUAAAAUUGGAACAAAUCUAGCCCAUAAAAAUAUGUUAUACUUUUAUGCUGUUUUGCAGAAUUGGCCGCCGAUUUUCACCAAUCGGGCGUCGAAAAUUGUCGAAUGCAAAGGUUGGAAACCAGUCAAAAUCAGCCACCGAUUUUUCUAAAUCGGGCCCUGAUUUUGCACUUCGAGAAAUCCAAUUUGAGUAAUUUAUCUACAACAAUCUCCACCUUGACUCUAAAUUAGUGAUAAUUUCAAUUUAACCAUCAACCACCAUUGUUGCUCUUUCCCUUGCUUCCCACUACACCAUGUAGCUCCACAAGUUUUCACCCUACCUCUUCAACCAUCGGAAUGCUUCCGCCUUCUCUAAGACCAUCCUUGCAUCCAACUAUACUAGGAAUUUUAGGUAGUUCGACAAGUCUACACCAUAAACCUCUUCAGCCUUCAGAGUGAUCAAAUCCGUCCUUCUGAAGAUCCACUUGCUUCCAAGUACCCUUGGUCUUUUCUCGUAAUCCCACAAGCCAUGCUAUACAUUCCUCAAACACUAGAAUGCCUUCUGUCUUCAUGAAGAAUUCCCUUGGUCACCACUAGAGCAUAGCACCCAAGGUCUCCAUAGUCGUACCUCCACCUCAAGCUGAACUUUCUCUACCUCAACUUCCAAAUGCGUACAUCCCACCAUGUCUUUCACCUUGAAACUCCACCUAAAAGGCUGAUCACAAGUAUUCUUACCUCCGCCUCUUCAGACUAACCACGAGUAUUCUUACAACUGCCUCUCUGGGCUGAUGUUGAGUGUUUAACGUCUCUCUAGAAAACUACCACUUUACAAGGAAUCAUUCACAAGGUGAGAAACAUCACCUUCUUCAUCCUCCCAGCAACAGACCACCAAAGAACCCACAAAACAUCAAGGAUUUUGUUGAACUCCGUAAGUUGCUCCAUGAUGGAUUUUGUUGCUUCAUCUUGAAUGAGUAGAGUUGUUGCUUUAGGAAUUACCAAUGAGCCAAAGACUUUGUCAUAUGCAAAGACUCCAACUUUGACCACAUCGAUGCCGCAGUUUGUACCUUCGCUACAUCUAUCAAAACUUUAUCCCCGAGGCACAAGACAAUGGCACUCCUGGCCUUGUCCACCAUCCCCGUCUUCUCCGCUUUUGACAUGGUGACCGGUAAAGCUUCACCCUUCAAAGCUUUCUCACACUUUUGUUAUAUUAACACCGCUUUCAUAUUUACCUUCCAUAACCUAAAAUCAUUAUCUCCAAUAAAUUUCUCAAUAUCCAACUUCGAACCUAUGGUACUUGAUUAUCGUUUGAUCCUUGCCACACGGUGGGCGCCAAUUAUUGUGAAUUCGUUAAAAAAAUCACACCAAUAAAAACUUGAUAUGUGGAGAAAAUUAAUCAAGCAACCAAAACAAGUGGGUGACAGUUAUAAACACAAGCAAAAGUAGAAAACCACGAGAUAAAAGAAUGAGAGAACACACAAAGUUUGUUCACCUAGUUUGGUCCAAUACUGACCUAGUCUAGGGGAGAGAGCAGCCCUCCGUUCCACUAUAAUGAUGAGUAAGUUUACAAAGAGAUAUCAAAGGGUUACAAGAACUAGCCUUCAAACCUAAUUCUACCCAAAGUCCCAAUCUCUUCCCGUGACCAAAAGACCUAAUCCUAAUAGUGUUUUCCAAGGUGAAUCAAUCCCAACCCUAGUGUCUCCCGCCUAGAGAAAUCUCUCUAAACCCUAGUUUGUUAUAUUUAUAGUAAAAGUAUCCCUCAUAAAAUUGGAACAAAUCUAGCCCAUAAAAAUACAUUAUAUUUUUAUGUUGUUUCGCAUAAUCGGGCGCCGAAAAUUGUCGAAUGCAAAGGCUGGCAAACUAGUCAAAAUCGGCCACCGAUUUGUCCAAAUUGAACCCCGAUUUUGCACUUCCAAAAAUCCAAUUUUGAAUCAGUUCUACAACAAGGUGGAUGAAGAAGAUCAAUAUAGAAAAAAGUUUGGAGCGGGUUCUAGGUUUACACCCUUGUAGAAAGAAUAAAAAAGCUAACGAGUAUUUCAGGACACACUUUUUGGGUCUUAAAUGGUAAACUUUUAUGAAAAUUUGUGUAUUCCAUGUAAUAGAAAUUGAAGUUUCUUUUAGUGAAUAAUUUUUUAAUUUAUAAUCAUUUAAAAUUGUGCCGAAAUAGUCGUUAGCAAGAAAACAAAUAUAUCAGGUAAGAACGCAUUGAUAGUUUAUGAAAUUCUGUGUGCAAUAACCUUCAAAGAAACUAAAGAACAAGACAACUUACUUUAAAUUUUUUUCUUUUGACUACAUUGAAUUAUUAUAUUUAUUCAUUAUUGACCGUAUUAAUUUUUUUUGGUCAAGGACGAUAUUAAUUAUUUUAUUAAAAUAAUAAAUAACAAGCAUAUAAGUAGGUGCAGUAUUACGCUCUCCAUAAACCUAAUCAUCUCUCUCUCUCUCUCUCUCUCUCUCUCUCUCUCUAUCUCCCUCCCUCUCCCUCUCUCCGCCGCAUCCUCAACUUAUAUCUCUCUUCUCGUGCCCGCAGCACCCUCAAUUUUCAUUUUCAAAUAAAUGGUUUUCAACUUAUCCUCCAAUUUUGAAUGCCAUAUGUAUGAAAACGGAAUUGAUUUGCUUGGUUUACGGUUGAACAAGCAAUGAAUAUUGCCAAUUUCAUUUUGAAAGAAUAUUACAACAUGCGUCUUCAUUGUGGAUUUGUCUUGCGGAAUGAUUGUUUAACCCAUUUUUUUUUGUUUUUCUGCAUACAAGUAUCUCUAUAAAUUUCUGAGCUAUUAGCUCACAAUACUCUCAGUUGUUAUUGAAAAUCUAAAGUUUGAGAUUUUACAAUUGAUUGGAAAUCUCAGAUGGUGUUUUGCGGGAGCAUGGUGGUAUGAAAUCGAAGUCUUCUUACUCGAUCGCGAGAUGUAUAUCAGGAUAUUUGUCGAGCAACUCGAGUGUAGUGAGAAACUCUUGACGGAAAUAUCUGAUGAUAUUUAAACUAGAGAACAACAGGUUCUUGCGGAGCAUAGAGGAAUAUUGGCUCAAUGAAAUGGUUCUACGGAUGGAUCUGAACAAGUAUUGAGAUAACACCUUGAACACUUGGCCAUGUGAAAACAACAACGGGAAAGCGAGUUUACCGAUACCUAUCUCAAGACUUGUUCAGAUCCUUCCGCAGAACCAUUCCAUUGAGCCAGUAUUCCUCUUUGCUCCGCAAGAACUUGUUGUUCUCUAGUUUGAAUAUCAUCGGUUAUUUCCGUUUUCUCGACAAAUAUCCUGCUAUACUUCUCGUGAUCGAGUAAGAAGGGUUCGAGUUCAUACCACUAUGCUCCCUAAAAUCACCAUUUGAGAUUUCCAAUCAAUUGUAAAAUCUCAAACGCUAGAUUUUCAAUAACAUCCGAGAAUGGAGUAUUGUGAGCUAAUAAUUGCAACAAUUUAUAAAGAUACCAAUAUGCAAAAAAUCGAAGAAACGGGUUAAGUAAUCAUUUUGUAGACAAAUCCACAACGAAGACGCUUGUCGUGAUAGUCUAUCGAAAUGAAAUUGGCAAUGUUCAUUGUCUGUUCAACCGUAAAUCCAAGCAAAUCAAUUAUGUUCUCAUGUAUUUGGCGUUCAAGAUUGGAGGAGAAGUUGAAAGCCAUUGAUUUGAAAAUGAAAUCCAAGGGUGUUGUGGCUGGCAGGGAAAGAGAGAUAUAUGUUGAGGAUGCAGCAGGCAGAGAGAGAUAUGUUGAGGAACAAUAUUUAAGUCCCUUUAAUGUCAUCAUAUUAGGCUUUGCCACAUUUCUAGGUAUUUUGAUGUCGUGUGAUAUUAAGCUGGAUGUUGUGAAAAACCUUGCUCCCCUACUAUUAGGGUGCUAAACCUUGCUCCCCACUUGGUGCUAUUUAUAAUUGAACUAAUUACUUACACCGCUAACUAUCAUUAUUCUUAAUAGCUCCUCUCAAACUCAAUGUAUGAUUGUACAACGAUAAUGUUUAUAUGAAUAUGAAUAAUAUUUUUUAUGAGUAUAUGACUAUGAAAAAUAAUAUCUCUCAAAGUGUACAAAAGAAUAUGAGCAUGCUCUUACAAUAAUUACAAUGAACUUAAUUACAAAGAAUUAAGUACAAUAACGGAGGUAGUAAAGAAAUAGCUAUAGCACAACAUAAAUGAUCAAAGACCAGAUGUAAAUGGCACGGUAGUUGUAGCCAACCAUGUUGGUCCAGCAAGGAGUCCAGCAACCGUAAACUUUGAUGCUUCCUUUCGGUUUGUUAUCACAUGAUAACCAGGCCAUUUUACUCUAUUUGUUGUUGAUGAACCAGGUCCAUAGUUUUCAUACUCUCCAUAAUACAAUGUAUCUUGAGCAAAAUCUGUGUCACCCCAUGGAGACCAACCUAGGGGGCUCACUAAAGUGUCCAUAAAAGUUUUCAUCACCAUAACUCUUGAGAAUUGUUGCCAAGGCCUUCCCAAGAAGGUUUUGUACUUGUCAACAACAGGCUUUAGAUCUGAUGCAGCCCUAAUUUGACAAUUGUGGAAUGAAAUUCCAGUGUUUUGGAAUGGGUCACCACGACCUUGGGCUGUGAUCAUGUUAGCUUGGCCAUCCAAAGGCUUUCUUGCGAAAAUGUUACAGUUUUGGAAUACUACUGCAGCGUUGCCAAAGAUGAAGUCUACGGUGCCAUAGAUGAAGCAUUGUCGGUAGAAUUGACGUUGUGCAUGAGCCAUCAGAGUGUCUUGAUAGCCCGAUAUAGCACACCGAUAGAAGACAGAGAGAUCGGAGGCUGAUCGGAGCGCCACAGCUUGGCCUUUGUGAGGACCAGCAGUAUUUUGAAAGGUAAUGUCACGUGCAAUGAAAUGAAGUCCAUCAAUGCCUGAAUUUAAAAGAUUCAAGAGAAAUAUGUAAAAAUUAGAAACUAUAAAUAACAUUCUAAACUCUAAAGUGUUCGUGUUAGACAAGUUGCAAGAAAGCCAUUAGAGAAUUAUGAAUAUCAUAUAUAGCUAUGAUAUAAAGAGCACAUUUCCAUGACAUCUAAUUUUCAACACUGAUUUACUAUUGAAUUUUAGGGCUUUAAAACUAGAAAAAACUAAAUAGGGCUUUUCAACACUGAUUUACACAAAGAUACAUGUAGAUUGAUUUUAUUUUUCCAGUCUCUAUCUUUCGUUGUUAGUUCGACUUUUUCAAGCAGUGAAUAUUGUUUUUCUCUUAUAACAAGAACAUAAAACAGGAAAUGAAAUAUAAUUCACCUGCUGUUGCAGAGCUAUAAGUGGUAAAACCACCUUGAACACUUCUAGAACUUGUUAUUAUGGUAUUUUGCAUCCCAUCACCAACCAGCAUAAUAUUGUCAUUAUGAACAGCAACCUCAAUGUUCUCUCUAUAAACACCUUUCUUAACAUGUAUCACAAACCUUGUCUUAUAUUUUCUCUUAGCAGCAGCAUUUAAAGCAGCUUGCACAGUCUUGUACUGACCAGAACCAUCUUUUGCCACCACAAGAUUGUACUUUACUGGACCCUUUGACUGCAAAAGCUUCCUUUCAUGCACAGAAAACCAAUUUGGAAAUGACCCUUCUUCUGUUUCUGCAAGUGACGGAUCCAGAAAUUUUGAUUAGUAUGACUAUAUAUAAAAGUACAUAAGCCAUAGUGUUAUGACAUCAAUAUUAUCAUAUGAAUUAAAUUUAAAUCUGGAGAUUACAAAAUUUUAACAUUUUUUUUAAGAAAAAAUUAAAACAUUAUAUACCUAAAAUAUUGAAGAUACUUGAACAUCUACAAAUUAUAAUUGCUCUGUGUCUUCUUAUUUUAAAAUUCAUUUUUAUAUACCCAUUUUUAACCCUAUCAUAUUUAUAUUACUCUAUGUAUGUCACAAAAUAAACAUUCAAUAAUUUAUCUUUCAUUUAAUUCUUCCUAAAUAAAGUUAUUGAAUAAUUUUUUAGCAGUACAAUACUUAAUUUUAAAUAGAAAAAAAUAAAAUCAUUGUUAAUACCUUUGUUAUGUUUCAGAAAAUGCAUAUUGAUGGCUAAGAUGUUCCUUAUCAUCUCAAUGACAUUGGUUUGCAUAAUGAAAUUGAAAUCUUGAGCAUUGAGUUCUAAAGCUCCACUUUUACAUGUUUCAAUAUUUGUGAGAGAAGUUGUGAGCCAUGUUUGUACAUCAUUCGGUGAACAAUUUUUGCUUGCAUUGUUUAAGCCUUCAAGUGUACGGUUGAGAUGAAAAAUUGUGUUUUCAACUAGCUUCAAACAAUCACCAUGAACCGUUUUAUGCACCGAUGAGUUUUGUUGUUGUUGAGAAUUGUCUUGUGCUUCUUUUUGCAUGGUAAGAGCUUGUUUUAAGGCUAAUUGAACAAGCAUUUCCCUGAAUUCAACUCUAUGUUUGAUUUUGAAAUGAUUGUUCAUUUGUGUUGUGUAGUGUUUGCAUGGCUUAGGAUGUGGUGUUAAAUUGCACCACCAAUCUAUUUUGCUCGAGGAAGGUCCUUUUCUUGAUGAGGCUAUGGAGAAAAUUGAAGAUACGAAAACGAGCAUAAAUAAUGUUUUUCCAAUGAUUGCCAUAAUUCAAUUGUAGAAUAAUUGAAGAGUUUGAAAUAAAGAGUUUAUGUUGCAUAUAACAAAUGUGUGUAUAAAUGAUGCUUUAGUUGACUUGUUUUUGGAUUUGACUUAUGAGAAUUAAUCUAUAUAUAUGUGCAUAUAUAUACAUAAUUUUUGUCGGUAGAGUGUAAAGGUUGAAACGUGUGGAAUGAACUGAAAGUGAUAAUGAAGAAUGACACAGAUACAAACUAUGAAUUCACUUGCAAGUGACAAUUAAUUAAAUAGGAUUAAAAUCUUAUCUAGUAGGAAAAAAUGGUAUUACUUAAUAAUUCAGAAAGUUGGAGCCUAAUUACUUGAUAUUGCAAGAAAAACAAGUGUCCUGAUGUAGCUUCACAUAGAAACAUUCUUAGGCUUACUUUUUAAUGCAUUAAUUGGGGCUAUGACUAUAUAUAAAUAAAUUAAUAUUUUGAUGAGAAUGCAUAGUUUACUUUAGUUUUGUGCUUAGUCCACAUGCAUGCAUAAUGUGGUUUGGUUAUGUCAUACUUUGUACACAGUACACAUUGUGUGGCUGUUUAGCUAAAUGGAGAAGAAGCUUGCAGCUCAAGUUAACUAAUACUGAGUUAACUGAUAACAAGUUCAACACACUCCCUUAAGCUUAGCAUGGUAUAUGUCAGACAUGUUAAGCUUGGACAUAAAAGAAUUUAAAUUCUUAGGUGGCAGGCAGUGGUUUAGUAAGGAAAUCUGCAAGUUGAGAUUGUGACUUGGUAGGAAGCAACUUGAAUAUGCUUUGUUGUAGAUUUUCCCUAACAAAAUGGCAAUCAAUUUUCAAAUGCUUUGUUAUCUCAUGGAAAACUGGGUUAGCUGCAAUGUGAAUUUCACUUUGAUUGUCACAAUAAUGCAUUGGUGGUAAGGUUGAUUUGGCUUGCAGUAUGGUAAGAUAUGUUCAUGAUGGGUUAUAUGUCUAGAAAUGAAAAUGAUUUUGGUGUUUAAAUCAAGAAGUAUAUCAGCUUUGACAGUUUGCUUACAACUCAGGAAAAUGCAUUUCUUAGCUCUAUAAUCUAAUUUUCUUUUUUUACGUACCUGUAAAGUGGAUGUGUUGCGAAUUCCAUAAGAAAACCACACCAAUAACAAACUUGAUGUGUGGAGCAAGGAAUAAUCAAGCAACAAAAACAAAGUGUAUGGAACAAUUAUAAACACAAGUCAAAAGUGAAAAACAACGAGAGAGAAAGGAAGAGAGAACACAAAAGAAUUUGUUGACCUAGUUCGGUCCAAAUCGACCUAGUCUGGGCGAGAGAGCAGCCCUCCGUUUCACUAUAUGAUGAGUAACCUUACAAAAGAGAUAUCAAUGGGUUACAAGAAUAAGUCUCCCGCUUAAUUCUACCCAAAGUCCCAAUCUCUCCCCGUAACCAAGAGACUCAAUCCUAAUAGUGUUUUCCAAGGUGAAUCAACCUUCAAACCCUAGUGUUUGUUCCAAAGAGAUAAACUCUAUACAAACCCUAGUUUUGUUGUUGCCUUUCUAAACCCUUGUUUCAGCCCCCUCUAUCUCAAGGUUUACACUGAUACAAUGUCUAUAUUUAUAGUAAAAGAAUCAUCAAUAAAACUGGAACAAAUCUAGGCUCGAAAAUACGUUUCUGUUUUAUUUUUUGCUGUCAAAGUCUGCCACCGAAUGCUCCAAAUCGGCCACCGAUUUUUGCCGAACCUGAAGCUCAAAUAAAACAGGUCAAAAUCGGCCACUGUGUCCUGAAAAUCGGCCACCGAUUUUCAGCUUCCAGAAUUCCAAUUUCUUCAAUUUUGAGGCACUUUCACAAUAGAAUGCAUAGAAGAGUGAACAAAAUAAUUUUAAUUCAUUCAAGUUAGGAUGAUGACCAAACCUGUGAAAUAAAAUGUGUUGAUGCUCUUUUUCUACUCUUCCAUUUUGCUGGGGAGUCUCAACACAACUGGUCCUUUAGCAGAAUAUAAUUCAAGCAUAGAAAACUCUGGACCAUUGUCAAUUUUUACAUUUUAACUUUACAAUAAUAUUGAUUUUCUAUCAUAAGAACCAAUUUUUUUACAAAAUUGGUGACUUCGUAUUUUAAUUUACAAAGAACGAUCCAAGUAAAACAACUAUAAUCAUCAAUUGAUAAUAGUAACAAACAAUUAACAUCAUACUUAUGGCCAUGAACAUAUUGAGUAGAAAGGGGACCUCAAAAAUAAAAAUGAAACAAUUCAUAGCAUUGACUUGCUUUAAUAUUACAAAGUUGAAAAGGAAGUUUUAUGUGAGUAUGUAAUUCAACUUGUUAUUAAAAUUUGUAUUUAAUAUUGAUUAAUUCAAAUAUGAAUGAAGUCUAAGUAAAGAUAAACUUGUUAGAUUUAAAAAAAUUUAGUUUAGAUAAUUUUGCGACACUUUUUACAACUUCUAAAAAAUUAUAAAUGUAACACUUUUUUAUUGUUACUAGUGAUAUAAAAAGUAUUACAAAUAAUGUAACAUUUGCGACACUUUUUAAUUGUUACAUAUAAUACUAUAAAAUGUAACUAAAACUCUUUUGUAACACGGACUUUACUUAACAAUUGUUCAAGUGUUACUAAAUUUAAUUAGUAAUAUUUUUCUUGAUUUAGUUACAAUUUUCAAGUGUUACUAAAUGUCAUUAUUUUUUUGAAGGAAUACUAAAUGUCAUUAUUGUAGUAGUGUACUAAGUUCUAACCAAGAAAUAAAAUACAAAAAUCACUCUACCCACCACCCAAAAAAAAAAAUUAAAAAAAAAUUGUUCCAAACUCCACCCACACUACUAAAAAAGUAAAAAUUAGUGAGGGAAAUUUAGAGAGGGAAAACGUGAAAUCCCUCUCUAAUUUCGUCACUAAAUUUUACGACUAAGGAAUUUAUGAGGAAUUUUAUUUUUUCCAUCAUUAAUUUCCCUCCCUAAUUUUACUUUUUCUAGUAAUGCCAAAAGCAAAGCAAAAGCAAAAAUUACUUCACCAAAACAAUCAAGAUCAGGUCAUGAAAACCAUUCAUUGACAAGGCACCCCCAUUUUGUUACCCAAAAGCCACUUUCAAGACUUAACAUUAAUGAAAUCAACAACCUCCUCCACUUUCAAUUGAUAAAUCUAGGUACGACUGCAAAAACUAGUGUUAUAGUAGCGAGUUACAACCUCAAAUUAAUUCAAAAUGGGUUAGUCCUUGAAAAGCAUUAAGAACAAAGAUAAAACAAAUAAAUAUAAUAUGAAUUGCGCUAAGAAAAGGACUCAUAGGUCAUGUGGUUCCAACCAUUACAAAAAUGUUCAUCAUUCAAUCCUAAUUUAUGAAAGUUUAGUUACACAUGAUAACUUGAUAACUGUCAUAAACAACAUAAUUCAAAGGACGGAAGCGAAAUACAUAAGUUGCGGUGUUGAUCCUCAAACUUGUUUCCAAACCUUCAAAAACACGCACGAGUCUCGCGCAUGGACAUACUACUGUGGCGUUAGCAACUACUCAUUGGUUUGGUGUCCACCUCAAGUGUUUCCUUCUGCGCCUCGCGCAUGCUGUCGAGAGAUCAAGGAGAUGAGCAACUGCCACAGGCGAUGCAUGGCCUCAUGCACCUCGCGCAUAGGACUUAAUUUUAUAUAUAUUUUUAAAAUGACAAGAUGCUUAUUUGUUACUUAGUUUCUGACAUAUUGACUUUUUAAACAUAGAUCCGCUGGAUCAUCAAAGUUGAACUUGUAAAGUAGUACAAAAUUAAAGAAUAUGAAUAAUUAUAUCUCUCUCAAUAUACAAAUUAAAGAAUAUUGACACAUUUUCUUUUAAGAAUUACAAUGAAUUUAAUUACAAAUAACUAUGUAGAAUAAUUGAAUUAAUGAAGAGAUAUAGCUAUACCAAAAUACAAAUGAUCAAAGACCAGAUGUAAAUGGCACAGUAGUUGUAGCCAACCAUGUUGGUCCAGCAAGGAGUCCAGCAACCGUAAACUUUGAUGCUUCCUUUGGGUUUGAUAUCACAUGAUAACCAGGCCAUUUCACCCUAUUUGCUGUUGAUGAACCAGGUCCAUAAUUCUCAUACUCUCCAUAAUACAAUGUGUCUUGAGCAAAAUCAGUGUCACCCCAUGGAGACCAACCUAGGGGGCUCACUAAAGUGUCCAUAAAAGUUUUCAUCACCAUUACUCUUGAAUAUUGUUGCCAAGGUCUGCCCAAGAAGGUUUUGUACUUGUCAACAACAGGUUUUAGAUCUGAUGCAGCCCUAAUUUGACAAUUGUGGAAUGAAAUUCCAGUGUUUUGGAAUGGGUCACCUCGACCUUGGGCAGUGAUCAUGUUUGCUUGGCCAUCUAAAGGCUUUCUUGCGAAAAUGUUACAAUUUUGGAAUACCACUGCGGCGUUGCCAAAGAUGAAGUCUACGGUGCCAUAGAUGAAGCAUUGUCGAUAAAAUUGACGUUGUGCAUGAGCCAUCAGAGUGUCUUGAUAACCUGAUAUGGCACACCGAUAGAAAACUGAGAGAUCGGACGCUGAUCUUAGCGCCACAGCUUGACCCUUGUGUGGACCGGCGGUAUUUUGGAAGGUUAUGUCUCGUGCAAUGAAGUGAAGUCCAUCAAUACCUAAAUUUAAAUGAUCCAAGAGUAAUUAUUUAAAAUAAAAAAUGAAAGUAAUUGUAUGCAUGUAAGAAAGCCUCAAGUAUAAUUUAAAUAUUAUAAACCUAUCUUAUUAUAAAAAUUUAGAACUUCAAAUGAUAAAAUAAAAAGAGAUUAAAGGAGAUGGAAUAUAACUCACCUGCUGUUGCAGAGCUAUAAGUGGUAUAACCACCUUGAACACUUCUAGAACUUGUUAUUAUGGUAUUUUGCAUCCCAUCACCAACCAGCAUAAUAUUGUCAUUAUGAACAGCAACCUCAAUGUUCUCUCUAUAAACACCUUUCUUAACAUGUAUCACAAACCUUGUCUUAUAUUUUCUCUUAGCAGCAGCAUUUAAAGCAGCUUGCACAGUCUUGUACUGUCCAGAACCAUCUUUUGCCACCACAAGAUUGUACUUUACUGGAGACUUAGACUGCAAAAGCUUCCUUUCAUGCACAGAAAACCAAUUUGAAAAUGACCCUUCUUCUGUUUCUGCAAGUGACGAAUCCAAAAUUUUUGAUUAGUAUGACUAUAUAUAUUCAUAUAAAAGUACAUAAGCGAUAGUGCUAUGACUUCAAUAUUAUUAUAUGAAUCAAAUGUAAAUCUGGAGAUUACAAAAUUUUAACAUUUUUUUUAGGAAAAAAUUAAAACAUUAUAUACCUAAAAUAUUGAAUAUACUUGAACAUCUACACAUUAUAAUUGCUCUUUGUGUCUUCUUAUUUUAAAAUUCAUUUUUAUCUUCCCAUUUUCAACCCUAUCAUAUUUAUAUUACUCUAUGUAUGUCACAAAAUAAACACUCAAUAAUUUAUCUUUCAUUUAAUUCUUCCUGAAUAAAGUUAUUGAAUAACCUUUUAGCAGUACAAUACUUAAAUUUUAAGGUUAAAUAUGUUUUUGGUCUCUAUAAAUAUAUCAACUUUUCAUUUUAGUCCCUCUAAAAUUUUCCUUCAAUUUUUAGUCUCUAUAAAAUUUUCAAUCUUCAUUUUUGGUCCCUCGUUUAAAGUAAACUCAUAUGUAGAAUUCAUAUUUUUAGAUAAAAUUUUUCAGAAAAAUGUAUAAUAUUAUAAGGAUCACUCCCAAAAAAAAUUAGAAUUGUUUACCAAAACAUGAAUCUUUAUAUUUUUGGCGGUAAAAAAUUCAUAUCUAAUUCAUGUUUUGUUAAAAAAUUCUAAUUUUUUUUGGAGUGAUUUUUACAAUAUUCCAUACAUUUCUACACAGUUUCAUUAAAAAAUACAAAAAUUUACUUAAAAAUAGGGACCAAAAAUAGUGAUUGAAAAUUUUAUAGGGACUAAAAGUUGAAGGAACAUUUUAGAGGGACUAAAACGAAAAGUUGACAUAUUUAUAGGGACCAAAAACAUAUUUAAUCCUAAAUUUUAAAUAGAAAAAUAUAAAAUCAUUGUUAGUACCUUUGCUAUGUUUCAGGAAAUGCAUAUUGAUGGCUAAGAUGUUCCUUAUCAUUUCAGUGACAUUGGUUUGCAUAAUGAAAUCGAAAUCUUGAGCAUUGAGUUCUAAAGCUCCACUUUUACAUGUUUCAAUAUUUGUGAGAGAAGUUGUUAGCCAUGUUUGUGCAUCAUUUGGUGAACAAUUUUUGCUAGCAUUGUUUAAGCCUUCAAGUGUACGGUUGAGAUGAAAAAUUGUGUUUUCAAAUAGCUUCAAACAAUCACCAUGAACCGUUUUAUGCACCAAUGAGUUUUGUUGUUGUUGAGAAUUUGCUUGUGCUUCUUUUUGCAUGGUAAGAGCUUGUUUUAAGGCUAAUUGAACAAGCAUUUCCCUGAAUUCAACUCUAUGUUUGAUUUUGAAAUGAUUGUUCAUUUGUGUUGUGUAGUGUUUGCAUGGCUUUGGAUGUGGUGUUAAAUUGCACCACCAAUCUAUGUUGCUUGAGGAAGGUCCUUUUCUUGAUGAGGCUGUUGAGAAAAUUGAUGAUAAGAAAAAGAGCAUAAACAAUGUUUUUCCAAUGAUUGCCAUAAUUCAAUUGUAGAAUAAUUGAAGAGUUUAAAAAAUAAUAAGAGUUUAUGUUGCAUAUAACAAAUGUGUGAUAUAUGAUGUUUUUGUUCACUUGUUUUUGGUUUUGACUUAUGAGAAUUAAACCCUAAACUCUCUAUAUAUAUACAUAAAUUUUUGUAGGCGGAGUGUGAAGGUGUAAACGUGUGGAAUGAAUUGCAAGUGAUAAUGAAAAAUGACACAGAUACAGACGGUGGAUGCAAUUGCAAGAAAGAAUUAAUUGAAUAUAGGAAUAAAAUCUUCUCUAUUAGAAAAAAUGGUAUUACUUAACAAUUCAGAAAGUUGAAGCCUAAUUACUUGUCAUUGCAAGAAAAACAAGUGUCCUAAUGUGGAUUCACAUAGCAACAUUCUUAAGCUUGCUUAUAAAUGCACUAAUUUGGAUUUUGCGGCUGUGACUAUAUACAUAAUUAAAUUAAUAUGUUGAUGAGAAUGUUGAGUUGGCUAAGUUGUGUGUUUAUUUCAUAUGCAUGCAUAAUGUUGUUAAAGAAAAUUGAAUAUAUUAUCCUUUUUGUUUAGGGUGGGGUGAAGGAUAGUUUCUUUGAACAUUGUAACCAAAUUCACCUGGUAGGGUUUUGUGAGCGUUUUGUUCAAGCAUAUAGGUGAAAUUUUAAUGUCCGUACUCCAUGUGCUUUUAGUUUGCAAAUUAAGCAAAACAAGGAAAUAUGUAGGCGAUUUUGACAAUUUAAGCAAUUGAAUAUAUAUAUAUAUAUAUAUAUAUAUAUAUAUAUAUAUAUAUAUAUAUAUAUAUUUUUAAAUAAUUUUUUUUUUUAAGGGGUCAACACACGCUCAUGUAUAUAACUAAAGAGCUUUGCUAUUUAUCUAGAGAAUUUUUAUCAAAAAUUAUCAAGAAAAUGUCUCAACUAAUUAAAUUUGUUAUUUUGCGGAAAUCAAAGGAGGUAAUGGUGUGUAAUUAAAGAAACGUGUUAACAAAUACACUGUCUUGGAAUUUUUUUGAUAAAUUUUGUCACUGUAUCUAUCAUUUCCCAUAAAUUAAUUAAUUGGUUACAUCUUUAUAUUAUUAUCAUUUGUUAAUCUAGUUGUUUCCAGGGGAUAAAGUCUCCAUUAAUCCGAAGUUUAAGUUAGAGAUAAAUAAAGUCUAACAAUAAAUUAUUUUACAUAUGAGUAUUGAUUUUUUUUACUUUUUAGUUUUUCUAUAUUCUAACUGAUUUUUAUAGCUCUAAUAAUAACUAAUGAUGAUCGUUUCUCAUGGUUAACCGGAAGGAAGAACUGAAAUUUAAACUUUAAACCCAAAAUAGUUUUCUGAAAAGAAAAAGAACAAAAGUAGAUUUUCAUUCUUAUCUAAUGCUAUAGUCAUUUUCUUGCAUGCAUGCUUUCUUAAUUGUUUUUAACUUAUUUUUCCUUUUCUAAAAAAAUUCAACUUAUAAAAUAUUUAGUAUUCACCACUGUUUACACAAAGCAGCUUAUGAACUCCUAAAAUACAUAAAUCUUUCCUCACGAGUAAUUAAUUAAAGAAACACGGAUAGGUAUCUUGCUGUACUGAUUUGCUGCUUGAUUACGUUUGAGGCAGAAAAGUCUAAACAGUUAUUGCUUUUAGGCGUAAAUCUUCAAUGUGUUCCUCUAAAAAGUUUGAUAGUACUUUUUUUUUAAGAAAAAAAGUUUGAUAGUAUAUCGGCAUAUUAAACGUAAGAGAAGAAAAAGAUGGACAUCUCAUCCAUCCAACAGAGCCAACCCGAGGGUAGGAUUACUAAAACUCUCGUUUUAGAUCUACCAUAAAAAAAUAUUUUUCAUCAAUUUUAUAAGUAAAAGAGUCUCAUAUGCAGACAAAAAAAGGCUUUAUUUAUCAAUAUUUAUUUUAGGUCUCAUUUAUUUUUAAAGAUUAUUGGGCGACCCUGCCACCCAACCUACACCUCUUCUCUCUCAUGAUUUCCCUUAUCUUUCUCCCUUUGCUUUGUGUAUUGGAGGGUGGGAAUGUGGGACUCAUCGGAAUUGUAGAAUUGGUAGAUGAGGUGUUUAAAUAUCACCAUCCUAACGGUAAUCCCACAUUAAUAUUAAAGAUAUAUAAAAUGGUGUUGGUAUGUCAAGUGUAAGUAAGAAUUUCAUGAAGAAAUAGAUGUUGAAGUUAAUGUAAAUGAAAUGAUUCAUAUACCUAAUGUCUUAAGGUAGUGUCCCAUUUGAUUUGUGAUGAUCCCCAUAUCUCUCAUCAAGACCCAACAGUGGUAUCAAAGUCAUAUUUGAUUAAAAUUAAUGGUGGCUGACUCCUAUCGACAAUAGGUUUUCUUGAUAAUGAUGGGAAGGUCACAUGUCAUGUUGAUGUUGAGUCCUAAUGACUAUGCAAGUUUCUGGAGAUGAAAGCUUUUGUUGUGUCACUGAGGGGAGCUAGGGGGACCGUCCACAUCGAGGCUAGAACAACCAUAUAGUGAGAGAGAUACCGCACUCUUACCCAAAACCUUAAGCCAAUGGGUUUAUGGGUCCUCUUACUUAUAAUGUGUUUAACCUUUUAUUUUUCUAUCCGAUGUGGGACAUAUAACUCACACUUGCACACAGCAACAACUUUCAGUCGAGGGGGAGCAAUUGCAAGUGAACAGAUUGACUCACACUAAGGGUUAGGUUUUUGGCAAGUCAAGUAGUGUGAAUAAGAAUCCUAUAUUGGAUGUAAAAGCAUACCUUGAUUAUUAUAUAAAUGAGAUGAUUUAUAUAGCUACCUUAAGAUUUUAGAGGAAGAUGUGAUUACUAAUUUUAUUUGUGUGGUUGCUCUAAACUCAUGUGAUGAUUUCUCAACAUCAAAGUGUUACCUCCAUAAACAAAUUUUGGUAAAUUUUGUUAACGUAAAACUUAUUUUAUUUUAUUUUUUUGAGGAAGAAUUUUUUUUUUCUUAUAUGCUAAUUCACAUUGUUUUGACAGUUUGGGUUGAAUUGAUUUCAAAUAGAUAAUUAUUAUUAAAAUGGGUAUUAUAUAUGUAUAUAAAUAUAGAGGGGCUUGCUAAAAUUAACACACUCCUUUUUAUAAAAGCCUAUCUUAGCAAUAUACACCUUUUGACUUGAAAAAAAAAAAAUCAAAAUUUUUCUUUUUGAUAAAGUUCAAACAAAGGGGUAGUAAUGUUGUUUGGAAUAUAAAAUAAAUUCCCCAAAUUUGAUCUCUCAUUCCAAUAUGUGUGUUGGAAUGUUUGGGAAUGAAUUUUCUGAAUUGAAAUCCUCUUAGUUUUUCUUAAAUGUUGUAUCACAACCAUCAAAUUAAGUCUACAAUUUUUUUAUAAUUUUGUUUCUCUUUCUCUUAAGAAAAAUUGAGAGGAUUUUAAUUAAGAUCCAUUUCCUCAAGGUUCUUUUGUACUUUUAGGGUUCGUUUGUAAUUUUAGAAAGAAGAGCACGAGAGAGUUUUUGAGGUUAAAAUAUAGGCGAAAAUAGAAAAAUCAUUCAUAUUUUUUUGAAAAGAGUAUUUUAUUUUUUUUAUACAAGAAUAUGUUUUUAGAUAAUGAUAAAUUCAUGUUUAUGGUAUUUUUUUUUUCAUAUUUAAGAAAUUUGUAAUAAAUAGAUUGAAUUUGAAGAAUCUGUAUAAACAUUCUUAAACCCUAUUAACCCCAAAUUCAAUACAAUUUUUUCAGUUUCACUCAAUUAAUAAGAUUUUGUAUUAUGAAGAAAAAUGAACUACGUGAAGCCCCCUCUCGAUGUAUAUUUCUUCAACUUGUUUUUUUUUUCUUUUCUUUCCAAAGCCCUCCAUUCCCUUAUCUUUCCCUCCAAACUCGCAAACUAAGUUUUAUUUACCAUGGUUUAUCUCGAUCACUCUUGUUUUUCCAACAAUGAAAUUGAUUUUUUUUUCUUCAGAUUUAAUCUUUUUUCUGAUCAUCCAAAAGCGUUAUAAUGGAAAUCGGGAAGCCAAAGCUUAAUUUUUCAACAAUGUAUGUUAAUUAACAAAUUUCAUCAAACUAGUCAAAAAACAAAUUCUAUGAAGAAAAAAAAAAUCAUCAAAUAGUUGUUGAGUUCUUGUCAUGAUUUACCACCAUCAUGCUUUGUAUCGUCGUUGCACCGUCUUCGAUCUCGCCGCCAUGCUGUGUCAUUAUUUUCUCCUUUUAAAAUUGGUUUUCUUAAACUUAGUCAUGUCAACAUUAAAUGGAAAAGAAGAAAAGAAGAACGUACGUUAAUACUGGUUUUUUUUUUAUGUUGGGAUGAAACAAGUUGCUACAGCAGCGAACGGUGGAACAAAGUUGUUGCGAUGAAACUGUUCAUGUGUUUCUUUUACACAUUUUGAAGCUUUAAAUCAAAGCCGUUGAAAUUUUUAAAUCCACAUGGUGUGGCACACAUCUAGGAAAGCAACCGAAUAACUGGACAAAUUGAAAACUGGAACAGAUCAGGAUUGCUGAAAUUUACAAUAGGAAAAUAGAGUUCAGAUCUGCUCCAGUUCCAACUUACUCCAGUUUUCCUGUUCUUUUGACGGAUGAGCGACACGUGGCAAAACAAUUAAUCAAAGGUGCAGAGAACAUGUUCUCAUUAACACCAAAGUAGUUCGUAUCAGCAACUUUUGACGGGUUACAUUCUAUCGUCGCUGUGUAUUUGUUCCUUCUCCUCUUCUUUCUCCAAGGACAAGGUUAUUUUUUCAAUUCAACUAAUUUUUGUUUUACAAUUUUUCCAAUUUCUUUUGAAAUCGUAGGUUGAGAAAAGAUUGUAUUUUUUUCUUGGAUUUUCAAACUUCACUUGCCACUGCAGCAUGAAUGGUUUUUAUUGCCAACAUAAGGUAAUUAAGGAAGAUUGUGAUUUUCUUCCAAUUGAUAGCUCCAUUCUGUGGUAAAUUCCAAUCCAUCAAUAUCAUUAACAAAUUCCAAAAAAGAAACCCCGUUUAGUGGCAAAAUCAAAUUUCACUAGAGAAUCAAAAUUCAUAACAAACAGUUCCAUUGUAUUCAACCUGUGCUUGGAGAGGUGACAGAGGUGAGAUGAAUUAUUUAGCAGGAGAAGAAAGAGGGCAUCUUUCAGAAAGAAGAAGAGUCCUGAAUUUUCUGGUUUUGUUCCUUUCAAUAUGAACCGUUGAUUAAUUGUUUUGCCACGUGUCGCUCAUCCGUCAAAAGAACAGGAAAACUGGAGCAAGUUUGAACUAGAGCAGAUCUGAACUCAGGAAAAUAGUAUUUGAAAUUGAGUAAUGUUAAGUAAUUUAUUUAUUGUGUUAAUUUGUAUCGUUAUAGUAUGAUGUGAUAUGUUAUCUACAUAUGUAACACAAUAAAAAAAAUGCUCUUGUCCCAACGGAAAACGCUCAUAUCCAACUGAAUGGACGAAAGAACUCUCACGUGACUUAAGUCAUGAUAGGUACUUUCAGUGUGAGUUAACUCACACAUGUUAUAAGUCAGUGUGAUAACUCACGCUCUUUUGGUCGGUGGCGUGACUUAACUUACGCUGCUUUGGUCGGUGAUCUGAGCACAUAAAACACGUUUUUUGAACGGUGUUUAAUUAUUCAAACUUGAUUUUACACGUUUUCAACUGCAUUUAGUGUAGCUAUAACUUAUGUCUUCAUUUCCCCUAUACAUAUUCUUCCAACCUUCACCAUUUCAUCACACCAUCAUCUCAUACUCUCUCCUCCUCUUCCUUAUACAACAACAAUGUUUUUCCAUCGUUAGCCUUUCAUAGAAAGAUGCCUCUUUGAAAAAGUCAAGGAUUGUAUGAACGGUCAAUGGAGAUGGCAAUACACUGCAAAGAAGUACGGUUUGUAUGGGUGUCAUGUUGGUUUGUUCGGGUGCAAGGUUGACCAGCAAGGUCUCUUUCACAUUAGACAAGAAACAUAUAUUAUCCCAAUCCCCUUCUCCCCCACAAUCUAUUUCUAAAGUAGAUGUAGUUUUACCUCAAUCCCCCUUCCCUAGACAGGAAACAUAGUUUUUUGUAAAUGUAUCGAUAUAAUAAUAAAAUGAGAUUUUAUGUUAUCAAUAUUGUUCUUUUAUUUAUUUUUGUUUAUAUUUGCAUUUAUUUUAUGAUUUUGGCAUCUAAAAAAUAUUAUUUCUUUGAAUACUAAUUAAACUCAGCGUGAAUUCGAUCAAAGUUGUGUAUUGAAUAAAUUCUAAUAAAGUGGCACAAGUACACAAAAUUAACUCAAAAAAUAUACAAUUUUAAUUAGUUUUAAUUUAAUCUACAUUAAAUUAUUUUCUCUCUAAAUAUAUGCGGUAUCAUCAUGAUGUUGGACUUAAGUUUAAUUUUGAAGUUUACUAAAAAUCUUGGCAUUUAACUGUCUUAUACUUAGUGUAAAGAUUUGCAGCGUUCUUUGAAAACUCAAAAGAAUGGAUAUUACACAUGUUUUAUUCUAUCUAAUGAGUUGUACAAAUUUUCCCAUCAAAUUCCCACUUAUAAGAUGAGUAGUGACAAACAGAAAUGCAUUCAGAGAGGUUUCUUUUAACUUAAUCAUACUGCCCUGCCAACUAACAAGUUUCAAUUGACAGAGGAGCAUGAUGAAGUACAAAACAUCUUAGAGGUGCAUUCCCUUAUGUCCCACUCAUCUUAUAUGAAGGAAUCUGAUGAAAAAAUUUGUACAACCAUUAGGUAGGAUACAAAAUAUGUUUUAUCCAUUCUUUUGAUUUUUCAAAGAGGUUUGUAAAUCUUUACAUUCAGUAUAAGACACUUGAUCAAUACCAACAUCUUCAGCAAAAUAACAAGAAUUAAACUUAAAUUCCAACAAAAUAAAGACACUACGUAAUAAUAAUGCUACCUAAACAUAAUUUUAUGGCAGAAACAAACUCUUAAGAAUAUCUCCAGGUGAUCUGAGCAAUGUAUCUUCCAUCUCAAUCCUCGGGAACAUGCGUUCCUGAUAAUAUCUGGAGAACAUGUUCCUCACGCAUUCAUCGUCUAUCAUCGUUAUCUUUUCGGUCUACAAAUAACCGGGGCGUGCAUACUGAAGGUCCUCUAGCGUCCUUAUGUCUCCGAGAUUGAGUCCUCUAUUGAUUUCGUUCAAUUGAUCAUUCCGAUCUUUUGGCGUGGCAUCGACCCGACCCGAACCUUGAACAGAUAAGGGUUUCCACCAUUGAAACGUACUUGAGAUUUGAACAAUUUGUUCAUUGUUUCAGAUUUACACCAUAAGAAAUUAAACAAUCAAUGAAAAACUCAUUCAAACAUUUCAUCGAACACUUGCAAUGCAAAUUAUACAUAAACCCUAAAACUCAUAACUACAACAUAAACAUGCAAACAUCUAAACAAUUAAGAAAUAUAAGUCAUUUAGAUGUACACAUUGUAUCAUUUCUUGCCAAAAAAAUCAAAAUUUAAACAAACCAUAAAACUAAAAAAAAUUCUAAUUUAAGAGGAAAAAUUUAACAUAUAAACAUAAAAGUUAAUGAUAUUUGAUUAUGAUAACUUACUUGUUAUUGGAGUGUUGUUGGAUUUGAAUUUGAAGAAAAUAAGGAUUUGUUAAUUUGAGAGUUUUUGGAGAUUUGAGAUGAGAAAUGAGAAAAUGAGCUGCUGUCUGACCUUUAAAAGGGCACACAAUGUGGCUUAACUCACGUUGGCCUUAAGCGUGACUUAACUCACGCUGAUUUAACACAUGCGUGACUUAACUCACACUGGGAACAUUUUUGGAAGUUUAGUUGGAUCUGAGUAAAACUUGUUGGAAGAAGAGCAUUUUUUGGCACAAUAUAUGGAUGACACAUCAAUGACAUCUAAGAGGGUUCAUGUUACCUACAAUUAAUCAAUAUUUUUAGCAACCAUUUGGACAUUAAGUGACUGUGUUCAAGGGCCAUUUUCUAAGACAUAUUUUACCAACUUUCAUUCCCUCUCUCCCUCCCCUAGCUCGCGCUCUCUCUCUCUCUGUCUAUCUCUCCAUUUCUUUAUUUUUACACUUCUCUCUCUGCUUAUUUCAAUCCCUCUCUUUCUGUCGAUCUCUUUAUCUAUCGAUCUUCAUUACUCUCUCUUGCUAUUUAUCAUUCAUUUCUCAGUUUUUCUCGAGUCCCUCUUUUAUGCAUCUUUCUUUAUAAUCUUCAUCUCUUUAUUUUUCUCCCUCUCUCGCAGAAAUUAGUAAAACACUUAUCUACCUUCAAUCCAAAUCAUGCAAUUGCACCUAUGAGUAAUUAAACAUCAAAGGUGUCAUGGGAAGAAAAUGAAGAAAUAAGAAAAACCAACUUGAAAUGAAUAAGUCACAAGUAUAAUUGAGGGUGACAGAGUGUGCGGUUAGACUCAAAUAAAUAAUUAAGGUAUUUAGUUUAGAAGUGAAAUCUUUACUUUUUAAGUAAAUAAUUGAUUACUUUUAAGGGUUCGUCUGGCUCGGACUUCAUCUGGUUUGGAUUUGGAACAAAAAGAAAUAUAUUUUUUAUGAACCGAUCUGCGAAUUGAUUAAUUAUUAAGUUUGCUUAAUCUGCAAGUUAGCUUAAUCAUUAAGUCGGUCCGGAUUUGUUACGAGUUUGCUUAAUCCGCAAGUUAGCUUAAUCAUUAAGUCGGUCCGGAUUUGUUACGAAUUCCUCCUAUAAAAGAGAGCUCGCAUAACUCAUUUGACAAACCAAAGAGUUCUAUUGAGAUGUCGAGAACUUUUUCUGUCUUCCCCCUCUCCAGUUCGUGUUAACGAGUUGUUCUUCUCUUCAUCUUCUCUUUUCGUUCCUUUGGAUUUGAGAGUGUUCUUAAGACUAAAGUCGCUUUAGGUAAAAUGUUCAUUCGAAAUUAAGAAUGGUCUUAAGAUCAUAGUCCCUUUCAUAAUAAUAUCUGUCCCUUUGAAAUAAAGAAUACAUUUAAGAUCAUAUCUCCAUUUUGAAAUAAUAAUGUCUCAUUAAAACUAAGAAUUAUUUUAACAAUAUAUAUAUAUAUAUAUAUAUAUAUAUAUAUAUGUUAUUUCGAUAAUUUUCUACUAUUGGAGAAAUUAUUAAAAAUCAGAAUGGUGGUAAAACCAUAUUUGAGUGGUCAUAUUAUCAUAGUUGGAGAAGUUAAAAAUUAGAAUGGUGGUAACACCCUAUUAGAAUGGUUUUAGUAUUAUAAAAAUGGUUUUAAGACCAUAUUAGAGGUGUAAAUGCAAUAGUUAACCGUACAGUUGUAUAGCUAGACUAUAUUUGAGUGGUCAUAUUAUCAUAGUUGGAGAAGUUAAAAAUUAGAAUGGUGGUAACACCCUAUUAGAAUGGUUUUAGUAUUAUAAAAAUGGUUUUAAGACCAUAUUAGAGGUGUAAAUGCAAUAGUUAACCGUACAGUUGUAUAGCUAGACUUGUUUUAUCCCUGAAGACGGGGUGGUUGAUAGUCUGUCUUUUACAAUUUUUGGCAGUGUCGCAAAACGUCUUAAAGAGAAACUUAAUUGUAAGUAGUUGUGACCUACUUCGAUAUAUAUUCUCUCUCAAAAUAAAAUUUGAAAAUCUAAAUACAACCGUUUCAAAAUCCAAAAACAACAAUAAAAAAGAAGUAAAUACAAAUAUUUUUAUAGGCAUUCUUUAAAUCUAAAUGUCUUCUAUCCUUUAAACUAAACCACCAUUACCUCACCCAAAAUUUUUUAUUAGGGAAAAAAAUGGAGUUGACGAAAUGCAGCAUGUUACAACUUAGACGUCUCUGAAUCAUAAGUUGCACAUGUCACCCCCUCGUGAAUAUAGCUACCCUGUCGCCACAUUUUUUUUUAUAUAUAUACUCGUGACCACAAGGUUUUAUUUCUCAUCGUUUUUGAAUGAAAACUUGCCUGCACGAUCAUUCGAGUUUAUAGAUAAUUCAUUUUCUUUUUUUUAGGGAAAGUUUAUAGAUAAUUCAUAACUCUUAUGGGUUUUACACUAUUCUGUUUCAUGUGCAUGUAGGAACCUAAUUAUGUGUCCCACUCCAAUGCCGGCGGGUCAUUUAUUCUUCAUUUAUAUUUGUUGUCGGUAAAGGUCAUAUAGGUUAUGAUAUGAUCAAUUAAUAUUUUGGUGUCAAACUAAAUAAUAUGACAUUUCUGAUAAUUCUUUAUUAGAUAAUUGUAUUGCAAAAAAAUUCCUUGGAUUGAAUGUUAUAUAUCAUGCUCCCUCCGCUCCUAUAUAUAAGACCCUUUUGCCAAAAUCACGGGAAUUAAGAUAGUAGAUAUUUAUAUUAAAGUUGUUUGUAAUCACUAUUGUUUUUACAAUUUUAUCCUUUAAGAAAAAUGUUAGUUUAUGUUUUCAACAUGUUAUUUAUUGUUGAUUGAAGAAAAAGAUGUAUAAUAAAUAGGGGCAUGUAUGUAAAGAAAUAAUUAAUGUAGUUGAAAAUAACAAAGAAGUCUUAUAAAAAGGGACAAAAAAAAUUCUUAAAAGGGUCUUAUAGUUAGGGAUGGAGGGAGUAUAUAUCAUAUCUAAAUAUAUUUUCAUUAAUCGGAUAUCAUUUUUCAUAUUAACGAGAUACGUAAAACUUAACAUGUUGCAUAAAAGUUUAUAAGACGUUAAUUUUGAUGUAAUUUGGUAACGUAUCAACUGAUAUCUAAUUAAUGUUAAAUUUUGUGGAUAUAAUUUAUGUAAUAAUAGCUUUAAAUUUAACUUUGGCUUUUGUAAUACGGUUGCAUGAUAUAAAAAUCAUUGGCGGUGCCCUAUGAAGUUUGACAUGGUGUCAAUUAUAGUUUAUAUAGACAGCGUAUCAUUGAGUGACCACGUGGCUAAUGAUUUUCAUAAUGAAAUCCUUCACUUCUCAUUCCUAAAAUUUGUACAUUAUGAAUUAUGAUCUUACACAAGUCAAUUAAAAAUCAUCACUUAUCAUGGGUGUAAUAUUAGUAAGUAUUUAUGCCAAUAAAAAACUAUUUGCAAUCUGAAUUACUUUUUAUUCCAAUAAGUAUUUUUAACAUAAAGUUUACUCAUUUUCGAAUCUAGCCUUGAACAUGCAGCCGUGUUAAAACUUUUAGGGAGAGUCUACCGUCCAUUUGGGUCCCACAAUACUUGAGGGAUUAGUUUCCGCAGUUGCGCGCGGAGGAUAUCCGAUUUACACCAAAAAAUAUAUUGACCAAUUUUGUAAUGGAUGUUUUAAUUUUUAUUUUCUCUUUAUUUGUCUAUUAUAUUUUUUCUUUUUGCAAUCCAACCUGUAAUUGCGAACCUUUAUUUAUUUAAAGUUAGGAAAAAAAAUUGCACAAACCAAAAUGAUAUAUAUUAAUAACAAUGUUGAUCCACCCUGCACAAGGUGUGCUAAAAAUGAAUCAUCGAACAAGAGUUACAAAGAACAGGCGCCAAAUAAAGUGAGGCACCAUCGAAAACAAUCCAAAAAUAAAUUACCGGGCAACACCCAUACACAGUAGCGGGUGUUUCCACCAAUCGAAAUAACUGUAAACAAAGGAUGGUUGCUUAGCUUUCACCCACAAGAAAGAAGUAAUCUUGAUUUUUUCAAUAAGAACACAAUGAUGUCAAGCCGCAUCUUUAAAAAUACCGUUAAUCUGAUCCUUCCAUAUGACCGAUGCACAUGCAAACCAAAUACCUUUUAAAAAAGAACGAGUGCACCGCGGUAAUCCCACCAUAUUGGUAAACUGAAUAUGAUGUUCACGUAACUCACAAGGAGACACCGCAUAUAAGCCUAACCAGUUCCACACAUGAUACCAUAAAUUAGUGGAUGUAUCACACUCCAAAAAUAGACGUCUAGAUGUUUCCAGAACCUCGCAACCAGCCGCACACAAAGAGUCUGUUGCUGAGAGUAUAUUCUGCGUCAAUAAAUUUGCUCACACUGGUAGUUGUAACGCCCUCUUUGAAUUAUUUAAUUAUUUAAUUGAGUCUAGAGUUUAUUAUGAUCAGUUUAUAUUAUAUUUAUAUGAUAUAUGUGUGAUUUAAGAGGUUUAUAUGAUUGAGGUGGUUUUAUGUGAUUUUAUGAGGAGUUGUGACUUAUUUUAUUGUUUAAUAAAAUAAGAUUUGAAAAUAAAAUAAUUAUUGAGUUUAGGGGUUGUUUUGAGAUUUUAGAGAGUUUUGGGGGAGAAAGAGAAAUAAGAUAAGAUAGAUGAAGGAGAUAUAAAUAGGGAAAACCUAGUUUAGAAAAAACAUAACGUACGAUCAGUUUUUGGAAAAAGGGAGAAAAAGCCAAGAGAAGAGCAAGAAGACCUAGAGGCUGCGAUUUUGAGUUAUAAGGUAAGGGUGAGACUAACUUUGCAAUUCUAUUAAGUCUGUGAUUCAAUGGUUAGGUUUAACAUGAUGUAGGAUGAGUUUUAGAGAAUUUGAAAACUAGGUCAAAAUUGUAGAAUUAUUGAUUAAACGGUGGAAACUUGUUAGAUUGAUGUAGAAACAGUUACUAGACCUUAGAUAAUGUGUAGGGUGAAUUCUGGAAUCAAUGUUGGGCUUAAAAUCAUGAGAAAAGAUGAAUUUUCGUGAAAACUUCACUUCUGCCCGAGCCAACAUUCAUCGCUCGCCCUCGCGAACGAUGAUCCUCGCCUCGCGAGUGAUGAAGUUCAUCGCUCGCCUCGCGAACAAUUUCCCCUCGCCUCGCGAGUUGCACGUCGCAGCUCGCCAUAGCGAACAGUUGAACUCGCCAUAGCGAGCAUGACCAGAGAGCUAUUCAGAUUUCGUAAUUUUGACUUUUGAGUUGAUCCUUGGAUGUUUUUGAGUGCCUGAACAUGUCUGAUAAUGAUUAGGAAAGAUUAGAGAAUGAGAUUGAACCUGAGAAGACUUUAGAAUGAAUUUUGUGAACUGAACCUGAACUCGCCAUGGCGAGCAGAGGCUCUCGCCUCGCGAGUACUUGUGUUACAAACUGCCUUGUUUAAGUUAAAUGCGAUCCUUGUCGCACGAGUUGAUGUGAGUUGAUCUUAGAGGUUAGAAACUAAGUUGUUUAUCUUGUUGUUAUUGUUCCAGUAAGACUGAUGCAUAUGAAUUGAUGUUGUUUAUAAUGUUGUAUAUACAUUAAAUGGAUUAUGUUGAUAAUUGAGAUAUUGUUGAUUGUAUUCGAUAUUGUUAUAUAAUGAUGAUUUGCAUACUGCCUAUGUUGUUGUUGUUAUUUAACUAAGCAACAUAAGUUGGUCUAAGUUGAUGACGAUGUUGUUCCAAAUUAUUGGACUUAUAAGAUGAUGUUGUUCUAAGUUGUUAAGAUGUUGUGUCCAUGCAUUAGCAUUCAUUGUUAGGGGCUUGAUGCCCUAGAGCCUUUGCUCAACCACGUUGGGGGCUUGAUGCCCUGGAGCUUUAGCUCAAUUAAGUUGGGGGCUUGAUGCCCUGGAAGUAUAUUAAUACUUAUUACGUUGAGGGAUUGAUGCCCUGGAUUGGUACCACAUGCAUAUAAGAGGUCGAAGUUGCACAGUCGCAUUUGUCGAGUCAAAGAUGAUAAGUUGUGAAGUUGUGAUUGCUUAUAUGAACUCUGAAUGAAGUGAUAAAUGAUACAUUGUUAUCUAUGAUGAAUAUUAUGAUGGUUUAAUGUUGUUAAAUAUAAUUGUUGAAUUAUAUGCUUAAUAUUUUUUUUUUUUUUUGUGAAAUCUCACCCCUUCUACUUGGAAAUGUUGCUCUUCGUAUGAGUAACUUGCAGGUGAUCGAGAAUAGUUGCUUUGCUGUCGUGAGUGGUUAUCCCUCACUGAGUCUUUAGGUGCUCUGAUACGUAACGGGAUGGGAUCUUUUGUGGCUAUUUUCCAUUUCUUACGUAUUUGAUUAUGAUUUCAUGACUAUGUCGUUUAAACUGAAUUUAUGAGAUAUUGAUAAGGCCUGCGUGCCAAGACUUAUUUAUGUUGAAGAAUUUAAUCCGCUGCGAAUAUGUUGAUGAUUUAUGUUGAAGGAUAAUUAGUCAAUUAUCUCAUUUAUGACUUUUAGAAGUGUAGCAUUCCGUUAUGUGUUGAAUACUCUGAUUAUAUGUUUGAAAUUUUUAAGUUGGGAAAACGGGGUUUUACAGUAGUCUAUCACGAAGAAGGCGCCACACAAACAAAGACACCUUCGUCAGAAUGUUCCUAUGCCAGACAUCAUCAACAAGCCUCCUAUCCACCUGAUCCCCAAAUUCGGUAAUAAAUCGAUAUGCAUCCCUCACCGAAUAACCGUGUGUAGGAUCUAGAAGCCAACUCCACCUGUCAUUAACAUCAUCCUGCAAAACAAUGUUAUGUAAUAAUACUAAGCAUUCACACUUUCCUCCUCCCAAGCUAACAGCCGACAUCUCCAUACCCACGCUCGUCCCCCUUCACCCCACCCCUCUCUCGCCAUCUCCUCCACCGCACACUCUCCUUAUUUAUCGCCAAAUCAAAAAGACGGGGAAACCUGAAUCGCAAAGGCGUGUCCCCCACCCAAUGGUCGAACCAAAACAAAAAACUGCGUCCAUGACCCACUACUCGACGGAUAUUACGUUCAAACCAAUUCCUCACUCCCUCACCUACUCCCCCACGGACCUUACACAACAUCCUCCACCAUAACAAACAAUGUUUACCUCCCUCCUUUAGUCGCCCCCCUUCCUCUCCAUAAUGUGAUUUUAAGACACGAUACCAUAACCCUCCUUAUCAAUCAACAUCCUCCAAUACCACUUCCCUAACAGAGAAAAAUCAAACUCUCCCAACCUUCGCACCCCUAACCCUCCGUCCUCCUUAGGAACGCAAAUAGAGUCCCAUUUAAUCCAUGUUAUUUUCCUAGUAUCCUCACCUGGAGGGAUUUAAGAGAGGUUUUUCAAAAUUUUAUAAUCCUCUUAGCGGAACAAAUCCCAUUGAAACGGAUCUUGAUUAAAUCAUUAAUCACAAAUCAAACAGAAACUUAAACACUUUAAGAUUAAUGUGUUUACCUCUUGAAGAGCAGAACCUUUGUAGAAUAAAUAUUUCUAAUCACGAGCAAAGCAAAGUAGCGAUACCUCUACUUAGUCCACACGAACAGAACUUCUCCGAUGACCGGUGCAAGCCAAUUCUAACGGAGAUUCAAAGAGAACAAGGUUUAGAGAGCGACGACUAGGGUUUCACAACUUUUGUUAAUUAGGUUAAGCACUCACAAAAAAUUAGUAAUGCUUCAACACAAGGGUUCUAUUUAUAGAAUCACUUGUGUGGUCAGCAAGACAACACUUAAAUGCACCGUACCUUACGGUGGACCGCGUUUCUCUAUUUUUCGUAAAUUAAAUAAUAAAGUCAUAUUUAAUUAUUUAAUUACUAAUAAGUCUCACUUAUUAUUUUAUAAAUAAGUCUCACUUAUUAUUUUAUAAAUAAGUCUUACUUAUUUAUUUCUCUCAUUUAUCUGUCCUUAGUGUGUGACCCUAUAGGUUCCCGUAACGUUGGCAAUAAUAUUAAAUCACAUAUUUAAUAUUAUAAACAGUGAGCAUUAUCUAGCAACACAACACUGCUACCCAAGUGACGAAAAUGUCAUGUGAUCUGACGAAACCUUUCUGUGAUAAUGAUCAUGUGUAUAAUUACUCUUUUGCCCUCAUGUCUAUAUUGAACACAAGGCAUAGACCGUGUCAUCCUUGUCUAGUUCAAAAUUGGGCCCGUAGACAUUUCACCUGUUAUGUAGGAGGGGAAAAUUUCAUCUAGAUCACUCAUGUCCCUCAGCAUGAUUCAUGGAGUACUCAUCAACCAAAUUUAUAGUCAUCCUGUUACGGACAACGUUUGAAUGGUGACAAAGCACUCGACUCCAACAUCUAGGGUAUAUAGUGGUUUUAGGUCGAAGGGUGGAAUACACCACUAUCACUAUGGGAAUAUCGUAUGACACUUUUCAUAACUUUUAUUAUGUAGUAUUCUCAUGGCGAGUCAAUCAAAUAUAAACAUUACUCCUAAUAUUUAUAUCUAUGUGUAGACUUGAUAACUCUUUAUCCAUGAUCUGUGAGAUGUGAUCAUCAGUCUAUCCACAUAAUAGUCUCUAUGCUUUAAUUAUAUCCCUUUUCUCAAUAAAGCUUGAUUACGGAUACUUUAAAAAUAGUUUCCUUAUGUUUAACGGGGUCUCACAAUUAAGUUAAUUAUACUUAAUGUUCCAUUAAACAGACUAACUAUUCUAGGGACUUUAUUAUUUUGAAACAAAACAAAAUCAAUAAAGAAAUGUCUUAUUAUUAUAUAUUCACAAUAUAUAUUUAUAUCAAUAUCAUGAUACAAAGCCAAACCCAAUCAAUAUAGACCAGCUAUUAGGGCUUACUCCAACAUCACCCCUCCCCCAAUGGGCAGCGCCAAGUACACAAACUCCUACAAUCCCCACCAAUGGGCAGCGCCAUCUACACAAACGGAAUAGAUCCCCUUCUACAAUUCAUUACCAACGCUGCCUCCGCUAGCCAAGAGUCAGUCACAUUGAUACCCAUCAGCAUACUUUUAUGGAAAUUCACCUUCAAACCCGAAAUGUCCUCAAACAGAAGCAACACUGCACGCAUGGAACGCACAUUCUGCCAAGUUUUUUCACCUAUUUAAAGUUAGAAAAAUGAAUAUGUUAGAUAAAAAAUAUUACAUAAAAAUUAUGUGUGUUUUAUUAUUUCUACGUACUAUAAAAGGAGUCGAUAUGUCCACAAGUCUUAACUCAACUAGCAAAAAUGUCAAAAUUUUAAGGUUGGAUGUUGUGAUCGUGGUUCGAAUUUUGACUCCCUCGCUUAUGCGUGCGAGUUUAAUGGUUAUUUGUUAUUUCUUUUAUCUAAAAAAUGGGUCAAUAUUGUUACUUAUUUAUUUUAUCUGAUAACUCAUAUUUUUUUUAUUACAAUAGCAUUAAUAAUAAUGGCAAUCUUAUUAAAUCAUCCAUAUGUUUUCUUUUGACAAAUAUUAUUUAUAUGUUUUUGAAAAAGAAUAUCUAGAUCUAAGAAACUUUUUUAACGGCCAUAUGACAUGACAUUUUUAGUUAAGUAGGUUUUUUUCAAAAGUCUUGGACUUGUCUAUUUUCUAAAAUAUUAUCCCUAGCCCGAAUCUUAUGUAGGCUAUCUCACAUGCCCCCUAUGUUAACGGCAUCAUAUUUAAGAGAGGUUGAUUAUCAUCUUAUUUAAGUUUUCUCUUAGAUAUGUUAUGGUUACCUUGAACUUGGAUAUUCCUUUGUUUUAUAAGAUGAUUUAUAGCAAUGCAUAAGUCCAAAAUUUACGGAGGAUUUACAAAGCAUGAACGAGAAGAUAUAAAAUUUGAAGAAUACUCAUUUUGCAAAUGUGUUUAGUCAAGAGAUCAAUGUUAUUUCACUCUUUGAAGAUGAAACUCACUAUAAAGUAAAAAAAAUGUGAGACUUUGCAUGAAGGGAGAAUUUGUUACGUCAAAGUGGAUAUCCAUCCUAGUUUCACAAAGAGUAGUGUAAAGAAAGAGAGGUAAUGUUAUUAUAAAUAUGACAAGUUAGUUUUCUUCACCACAUCUUCAAUCUCUUGAGUCUACUAGAGGCUUGGGUAGAUGUAUGUCAUAAAAGGGUUUGUAAUUUUAUCGUGCAAAAAUUAAAAUUGAGAGGUUUGCGAUUAUGUUCUUAUAAAAAUUGCAAUUGUGUGAGAAUUGAGAUGGUUUGCUAUUUUACAUAUGCGUUAAAUAAUAUGACACUAAAAUGUCACAUUAAUUAGUUUAGCUUAUAGGUUUUAAAUUAUCUCAAUAAAUAUCUAUGUAAACAAAAUUAACAUCAUUGAGUAAGGGUGAUUAUAUAUAGGGCAGUUUUUGACCUAGAAUCACUCAUCUGCAAUUUUUUUUUCUUCCUUUCUUUCAAUCUAAAUAAGUGGUUUUCACAUAUAUCAAGAUUUUCUUGUUUUUUUUGUGAUUUCGUCGUCUGAGUGUGGCGUUGUAUUGUUCUCCGUCUUGUGCGGUGUUGUUGAUUUCGCGUCUUGUUGAUGUGUUCUUUUAGUUCCUAUUGAAAGAUCGACUUCAGACAAUUACAGAUUUAAUCAAUGAUUAUGGCGUCAACUUCUACGGAUUCAAAAAUUUGAGUAUUUUGGUGACUUGGAUUUUAUCAUUAUCUAUUGGUAGUUUGCAAGGUCGUUCCUAUGAAAUGGGAGGCUCGGCUCUCUAUUUAAAAUAGUUCCCCAGUAAAAUAAAAACACAAUUUGUUUGUGUACCGAAGCUUCAUUAAAAAAUCGGAGUUAUAAGAACUUCUAAACAUGAAACGAAAUAAAGAAAAAAAUAAGUGAAAUUUACUUAACAGUUUCGUUUGGAUUUGUCACUCCUCCGUUAUAGGAAAGGGAAAACAAAUGGCUUAUGCAAAAAAGAAUUGAUUGUUGCGAAGCUUUCAGUGAAAUAGAUUUUCAAAUUGAAUGAUUAAGUGAUUAUACAAAUUGGGGGUGAUUUGAUAGCACCAGAUUUAUGUCUAGAAAAGAGAACUAGAUUUUAGACAAAACUUAAAUGUGUACCGAUGAAAGAAAGAAAAAAAAAAGUAACGUAUAUUUUUUUAUUUAAUGGAGGGUGGGUAUUAGACUUAAUUUUUUUUUUUUAGACCCAUAACUUUUUGAGGCCUGACUUGGUUGAGCACCUUAUACUCUUGCAAGGCCGGGCCUGGUAGUUUGUCAUUGUAUGCAUUAACUAUGGUGUUCUGAGUUUGUUCGUAGACUCACUCUUUAUGUUUUAGCGAUAUUGAACAAAUUAUUGUAUAUGAUGUACUCUAUCAAUUCAAAUGAAUGAAUAUUUUUUUGUUUUUUUUAAAAAAAAAAUUACAUCAUUGCAUAGAAACUAAUCUCAUUAACUAUUGCCAAUGAAUUUCAAAAACCAAAAUAAUGAUAUUCAAAUCUGAAUAUAAGUCAAAAGCAGGCCACGAAAUUUACUAAAGACAAGUAAUAGCAUCCUCUCUUUCUUAACUUACAUUUAUACCAUAAACUAGUCCUAGACUAAUAUGGAGGAAGACGUGCCUUAAAAUAUUCAUAGAAUACACCUAUAAAUCACAAAACAUAAAGUCAUUUAGAAAGGACAUAAACUCACACACAAAUACAAGAAGAAGAGCCAAGAUCUAAACAUGGAAGCCAACACUUUUGCAAGUUUUUCUUUAGGUCAUGUUCUCAAAUUUGCAAUUUUGAUUUUGCUAGCAAUAUCUAGCAUCACUUCAGCAUGUGAGGACAAUUCUACAAUCCCUACCAAUUCCCCCAAAACAAACCUUUCAUACACUUCCAAUGCUCCCUCAAAUUCCACCAACACCAAUGAUUUCAAAACCUAUAUAAAAAAUUCAUGCAAUUCAACCACAUAUCCAUAUAUAUGUUACAAAUCUUUAUCUCCCUAUGCUUCAACAAUUGAGGCAGAUCCUCUAAAAUUAUGCAACACUUCUCUCUCGGUUGCAUUAAAUGCGGCUCGCGAUGCAUCCUCCGCCAUAUCAAAGCUUCUAAACAACGAUGAGAAUAAAUUGUCAAGCAUUGGUGAAGAAGUUGUGCAAGAUUGCCUUGGCAAUGUGAAGGAUUCAAUAGAACAGUUGCAAGAUUCUCUUGAUGCCAUGGCACAUUUGGAUGCUUAUUUUGAUAGAGAAUUUCAGAUUAGUAACAUGAAGACUUGGGUUAGUUCAGCCAUUACUAAUGAUCAAACUUGCUAUGAUGGGUUUGAUGAUAUGAAUGUGGAUUCUACACUUGGGGACAAGAUUAGAAGAAGAGUUUUGAAUGUGGCAAGGAAGACUAGCAAUGCUUUGUAUUUUAUCAACAAUAACAUAUAUUAAUUAAGGUAUAAGUUAAUAAAUUGAGGCUUUUUUAAACGGUUUUCUUUUGAGUUUGGUAUGUUAUUUGUGUUCAUAGAGUGAAAAUUGAAGUUAAAAUGGUUUGUAAUCAAGUUAAUUAGUCUUAAAUAUGUGCUUUUGAUCGAUUCAUGGUCGUUUUUGGUUUGAAUUCCAAACAUGUGCCAAGCGGGUUUAAAGGAAUUGAGUGGAUGUAUUAUAGAGAUAUUUAAUCAUAAUCUAAUUUAUUUGAUAUUUUAUGUUCCAUCAGUUUGUUUUAGUUUUUGUUUUUUAAAAAGUCGGCUUCCAAAAAGUUAUUUUGAAUAAUUUAUCUUAAAAAUCAUUCUUGAUAGGUGAUUUAAAAAGAAUCAUCACAUCACAGUAAACAAAAUACAAAACAGUUUCUAUUUCACUUAAUAAUUUUUAAAAAAUAAUUUUAAAAUUAUUAAAUGCUAAAAUCAUAUAUUUUAUAAUUGGCAGCAAACUAAUCUCUAAUCUUUCAAUAUACUUUUUUUUUUUAAACUAAAAAUGAAUAUAUUAAUUGAAUCACUCAAUCCUCCUAGCACAAAGAGUGUCAGGAAAACACAAUGGAAAAGAGAAAUAUGUUACAUCAAAAUCGAAAAGAAACAAGAAUAAAGAGUCAAAAACAAAACUUACUAGAAAACAACUGAUCAUGAACAAAAACAAAAAAAAAGGUUAGACCAUCAUAUCUGAUAGUUAAAAACAAAAUUAACGCUUUCGGCCACCAAGAACAAUGAUGAAUCUUAAUGUGAUUAGAUUUUCAUAUAGUCAACCAACAACACUAUAUAACCAAGCCUCUUGGUGGUGCUUAGAGGUUCAAUUGGUUCUUGGCCACCAAUACCCAUGCAUGUAUCACGAUAGUAAUUAGUCCUUGUUUAGAAGCUUUAGAGUAAUAACAAAAAACUUGACAACAAUGUUGAUCAUAUUCUUGUUUGUAUUUUUCUUUGAAUUGAUGAAAACCGCCCAAUCUGGCUCAGACGUGACAAAUGGUCACUAUAACACCAAGCUUACAAUUUUAAUAUUAUUUUAUAUUUCAAUAAUCAUACCUAACUAAUUCUAAAUCAAAGGCAAAAGAUCAAUCUCAGAUUGCACGUCAGAUAAGCAUUAAGAGCAGUAAUAAAGACAGUGAUAAAAUGUUAUAGAAUUUAUUUAUAGCUAGUCAUACCAAGUAUUUAUAUUCAAUUCCUAGCUAGUUAUACUUAAUCCCGACAUAAAGAUAAAAAAAAAAAAAAAAAAAAUUAAUCAGCAAAAUUUUAUUAAAAAUUAGGUCUCUGCACAAGACAAACAGAGACCGAUGUCACAGAAAGUACAAACUAAAGGCGUCGUAUAUAGGCGGAACACCCGAAAUAAACACCCACAAAGACACCCUUGCGAUCAACACUCAUAAGGACAACACCCACCAAAAUAAACAUCACCCCCUAAAACUGACUUCUAUGUUUAACAACCACUAAAAAAACGACAUUCAUAACACUCAUCGUCACUACUCACCUCAAAAGAACACCCUUGAAAAAGAGGAACCAUUCCUUAUCACCAACACCGAGCCAAAUUCGAGGAACUCCUUUUCUAAAGAUCAUUCAACUUCCGCCACCGCUUAACCUCCGGUCCACCGAAAGAACACCAAAAAAGCCCAAAACCAAACUUGAACCAAAGAACUAACUCCUGAUCUCGAAUCAAAAGUGAUCGGCCCACAAGAGUUCAGGACCAAAUCAGAAGGACACUCAUUACCCCCCGGUCGACCAGAGAACCACUGUAGCUCGCCAAACAAAAAUGUUGCUAAAACGCCAACUCCCGAUCUUGAAGCAAAAUAAUCGGCCCAUCAGAAUUCAGCACACAAUAAGUAAGACAGACAGCAUGAUUUGCGAUAGAGCAAACAUCAGUCAAAAAGGAAAAAAGCUCAGCUUGAAUGACAGACACCCUCAAAACACUCUAAACACCAUAACAACCUAAAACUCAAACAAGAGCUAGCGACAACGAGUAUGGACCCGAAUAACAGAGGCAACCUCCAAUAGAAAUCAUCCACAACAACCACCCACCACCGAACCUAAGCAACACCAACCACCACCACACUUCAUCACCCCCACCACCACCACACAUCAACAACACCACUCAACACCAUCACCACCACCACCAAAACUGAAUAACCUCCACCACCACUGCAUCACCACUACCAACACUGCAUUACAACGUUGACAAACCUCCUCACGAAGAAACAGGCAGCAACACAAACAUAAAUAUGGAGGAAGACGAAAUCCAACAACAAAACACGGGCAUCGACGCCGGUUUGAAGCGAAAAGACAACCCAGAUCGUAACAAGGUUGCCGCCAGUGACAAGGAGAAGGCGCAACGGCAUCUGACAACAACAAAAACGAAGGAUGACAUCGCCGAAACAAACACAAAAAAGACACAAACGGCAACACCCAAAAAAAAAUCAGCAACACCCAAAGAGGACGGUGGCGCAAAACCACCACCCACUCCUUCGGCAACCAACGACAUCACAACACAAACAGAAAACAACUAUACGACAUUAAAGGAACAAAACAGUCCCCCCGGAGAAGUCGGAACAGCUGACAGAAACACACACUACACAACCACAACCACCCACCUCUUACCCGCUAGUGAACCAUUAACGACCACCCCCAUAACGACCUCUCACUGGCGCAACAGACACACCACUUAACCACCACCGAUCCACCCCAUAUCCACCACCGAGUCACCACCAAUCAACCACAAAUAACUUAACCCACCAAAAACAAGCUCGAAAACAGCCAUAAAAGGAACAUAUCUGAACACCACUCAAACACACCAUGGAAACCAUACAGAGGAGAUGAAGAAACCACCACAAAUCACCUUAAAAACCACCACCACCGCAAGUUAUGAUCUGAGGAAACCCAGCCGCUGGCGCACCCACCAGAGACCAGAGGUGAUGCGGAUGGUUUUCCAUCUUCGCACCACCACCCACCGCCGUUUACAUUGAGAACCAAAGAAAUUUGGAAAGAAGGGGCGGCAGAGAUAAGGAGUUAGAGAGAAUCCAGAGAAAGGUACUUUUUAGAGAGAGAAAGUUUUGUGUUGACAACAUAAAGAGAAAUUAACUACACAUAUUGUAUAAAUCUUAUUCAUUCAUGGAUCGUGAACUCGGUUAGUUCUCAGAUUGUUCAGUCUUAUUUAUUAAGAAUGUUGUUGAUGUUUGGAAAGAGUUAAAGGAACAAUUUUCCAAGUUUGAUCACAUUCAUGUUGCUAAUCCAUCAUCAAUUCUUUGAAACAAGGUUCACUUUCCGUUACUGAUUACUUCAUUGCACUACUACAAUAAUGGCAAUUAGUAACAAUUGAAAAUUGUAACUAAAUCAAGAAAAAUGUUACUAAUUAAAUUUAGCAACACUUGAACAAUUGUUAAGUAAAGCCUGUGUUAUUAAAGUGUUUUAGUUACAUUUUAUAGUACUAUCUGUAACAAUCAAAAAGUGUCGCAAAUGGUACCUUAUUGUAACAUUUUUUGUAUCACUUGUAACAAUAAAAAAGUGUUACAUUUAUAAUUUUUGAGGAGUUGUAAAAAGUGUCGCAAAAUUGUCUAAACUAAUUUUUUUUAAUUUACCAAAUUUGUCUUUGCUUAGACUUCAUUCAUAUUUGAAUUAACCAAUAUUAGAUACAAGUUUUAAUAACUAGUUUGAAUUACAUACUCUAUAAAAGUUCCCCUCUUCUCUGUUCUUAUUCUUGCAUGACGAAAAUAAACUAUGCAACACAAUUUGAACUAUACAACACAAUAUGAAUUACAUACAAAAAUGAUUACAAUUAUGUUUUCAUCCAACACAAUUUCCCCCUUCUCUUUAAGGUCAUCAAGCUGCACAUGAGAAAUGCAAGCCUUCUCUUUAAUCUCCUUUGUCUUGUGUCGUUGCUUAUCCGCAAUCAUCUUCAUAAUGUUCUGCCUGCAAGAUUGCAGACAUCCCUUCCUUAUCUCAUCACCAGUAUUGUGCAACAAUUUUAAUGCAAAGGACGAUUCUGUCAUGAAAAUCAUUUUCAAUUGAAACUUACCAAGCUGCAACGUUCAUACCAUGCUCAACAAGGAUACUAAGAAAAACAAGUGUAAUAGCUAAUAGAGAUAAUCUUAGAAUUCACAAUUCAAUUAGAAUAAACAACAGCAGGGGAAUUUGCAUUCAACAGAGACUUCAUAGAUAGUGGAGACAUAGACUUCAUACACGAGCUUUUGUAUCUGAACAUGAUAGGAGUUUAACUCUAAUAUAGAUAAUCUUAGAAUUCAAAUCAUAUAUCAAUUCAAACAUUGUACAGUGAUAGAAAAGUAUAUAUGGCACUGGGAACACAUUUAAAGGAACUUGGUGGCUGUCAUAGAUUCAGUGGAGGAUGUCUUCCUAGUGGCCACUAAUCUUAAGGUGUCACAUGAAUAACAAUUCAAUUCUAGUGUUUUGCAAACAAAUCCUAAAAAUAAAAAUAAUAAUGAACCACAACUGAAGAAUUCUAUAUUUUGCAGACAAGAAUCAGAAUGACAAUUAACUAACAAUUCAUUAUUUGUGAUGAUCAUUAAAAUAAGUAUAGCAACCACUAAGACCAACACCAGCAAGAACUAAAUCAAACCACAACAUCAAGAGACAAAACUAACCAGAAGGAAUACUCAACAUUAAUAGUUAGUUUAAUAAUUCUAAAUAAUGACACAUUACAAUGCCAAAGGACACCUAUUUUCCAGAACAAGUACAUUCAAGGCAAGAAAAUGAACCGUAAAAUCCAAGGGUCUGCAUGUUCGUAAUAUUAAGGUUAGCUGCAGCUUUAAAAUCACAGUAUAUCAUAUCCGCUGUAACAAGAGCUGAGAAAAUUUCACAACAAAAAACCCCAAUUACGAACACAGGAAGUCAGAAAGGAACGAGAAAACUAAAUCCACAAAAAAGACAAGGAAACGUGAAGAAAUCAUUGUCAAAGUAGAGAUAACCAAAUGAAAGCUUAACAACGGCAGCCAAUUGCAGAUUCUUGUGCUCCAUUAAGGUCCCCUUUAAACUAAGUCCUUGCUCCAAUUGCAGAAUCUGUGAGGAAUACCCCAUUUUGGAGUGAAUAUUUUUAUUCUUGUUUAUAUAUAACCACAAACAGCAGAAAAAUAGAAAAAAAAUUAUAUUCUGCUACAAUGAAUCAACCAAUGAUGGUUAAGAAGAAAAGAUAAAUUCAGGAAGAGAACUUGCAACUACAACCAUUUUGUUAUUGACCUAGCAAAUUUUACCUUGUCCCUGCCUUUUUUUCUCUUGAUGUGCUAUGCUUUGCUCUGUGGGGAAGAUAUACUCAUGAGGAAAUUAUUCCGUCCGCUGCUUAAUAUCUUAUUAAAAACUAAACCUAAAAUAAACCACAAAAUAUUUGUACACGGUUAACUGUAGCAUUAACUCCUCCAUUCAGCUAACCUACCAAAAUAAAUAACUUUCUAAGGGAAACUAAACCUACAGGGUUGUAAGAAUAAGGCUCAAUCGCUCAUAUAACUUCUUCCUUAAUUAGUUCUAAAUAUACUCUUAAUCAAUGUAUUCAACAUAGCUCAAACAUCGGUGAACUUCAAAAUCAAAACCAGUAUAUCAGAAGAAAAUAAAUGCAUUACAACCACAAUGUAGCAUAUAAAUAAAGAUGAAGGAAAAAUACUACAAGCAAUGCAAUGCACUCCACAAUCAAUAGCUUAAUAACUUAUUCAUUUGUCAUGCGCACAUAACAUGAUGAGCAUAUAUACAAUUACGUUCAGAAAGAAAACAAAAGUAAUUUCUCAUAGAAGUAAAUCUGAAAACAAAAAACAUUAUAAAUUCACAAUUCAAACUUCAUAGCAAACAAGACAUCCUUGACGUGAUAAGAGUCUCCGCUCUUUGAGAUUAAAAACGAUAUCGAGCUGCGAGGCAACGACUUAUUAGCACCUCAUCACAGUACUUCAAAUCGACCUCUCUCAGUUGUGUGCAUUUUUCAACCACAUGCGUCACUCCUUUGUCUGCAACACCUUCACAAAAUUUAAGUGACAGUUGCAAAAGCCCGCUGCAACUCUUUGAGAUCCAAUAGAGUGAUAUAUUGUCAACUCUUGUAAAUGACAAGUCCAACACCUCCAGUUUGGGAACUUCAAAGUUCAAUGUACGUAGCUUCAGUCUUAGCGAGUUAAAUUCAAAUGUCUAAUGUUACAACAUAUCAUUAAAACAUGAACAAUACCUUCUUCAGAUAUGUCUUUGCAAUGGCUCAAAUCAAGUAGCUGUAAAUUUGGGAAACAAUCAGCAAUGAGGAACAGGUCAGUGCGAUUGAUAGAUUCAAUGAAGGAACACGUGAGAGAGGUUAAAGUUUUAAUGUUUUGAGAGAAAGCUUGCAACCCAUUUGUCGGGAUGGUGGUUUGCACUGAAAAAACGAGUGAUGUGAGUCUCAAUGGAAAACUAGAGAUUUGGCAUAGAAGCUUGUUGAGGUAAACCCGAGUAACAAAACUUAAUACCAUAGUCUAAAUCUAGAACAAUUGAUUACUAUAUCUAAAACUAUUUCAUUCUCUGCCUCAUGUAACAAAGCUUAAAAUUACAAACUCAUUUCUAUGAACAACAAACACUAACAUUAUUACUACUACUUCUCAACACAAAACUUCAGUUAAAUUUCUUAUACUUACGCACGCGGCAACAUCAAUCAAACACAGAUUUCAAAAAAAUACAAAAUUGAGUUUGAAGAGUAAUCAGCAAAUUCUAAACAACUUUUUUUUCAAUCAUAGAUCCACUAGAACAAAAAUUGAGUUAAAUUGCGAAUGAAAAUCAUGGAUCUACGACUGUGAAGUUAAUUUCGAUUCAAACUCAAACAAUUGAGUUAAAUUUCAAUUCAUAACAAAUCCACCAAUCCACUCUAGGAUAAUUUCUUAUUCUUUGGCAACAUCAAACACAUGAAUUUCAAAGAAAUUAUAAAUCACAAAUGCCAAACAGAACAAGAAGAAUUUGAGUUAAAUUGUGAAACGAAAAUUAAACACAUAGAAUUUCAAAACAAAAUUCAAACAAUGUGAACGAAAUAGAUGACUCAUAACAGAAAAAAAAAAAAAAAAAAAAAAAAAAGCACGGAUCUAAGAUAAUUGCGAUGAAAUCUAAGCGAAAUCAAAAAAAUGCGCGAAAAAUGCGAAACCGAAGAAGAAUUCGAGUGUUACCUGCUUGAGCGAAAGAGGAAAAAGGAUUUGUGAAAUUAGAUCUGCAACUGUGAAAUUGGAUGAUGACGUUCAAUGGAUCCGCGACCGUGAAGCUCGAUCGGUGAAGUAUGAAGCUCGACGGUGAGAUUCAGUUCCGUGAGAAGCUCGACAGAAUGAGAAUGCGUGACGGUGGAGGGUGAGAGGGAUGAAUGACGGUGUGAAAUUCGUCGGUGAAGCUUAACGGUGGUCGAUGGUGUGAGCGUGACGGUGGUCGAAGGUGUGCGACGGUGGAAAAGUGGUUCUGCUGAAUUGAGAUCUCGGUGAGAGAGAAAAGUGAUUUUUGAGGGAAGAGAGAGAAAAGUGUUUCUCAAUUGCUUAUAACACUUUUUUUACUUUUUUUAUUUUGACUAUUGUUGACUAAAUUUUUUAACAUGUGAAUGAAUAAUGAAUGGGUUGUUGCUUGUAUUUUUUUUUUUUUUUUUAUGGAUGGUACUUGUAGUGGAUGUAACACUUUUACUCAAUUGUUACUAUAUCACUAUAUCAGCUAACAAUUUUUCAAGUGUUGCAAUCACCAUGUUACUAAAAGUCAUUAUUGUAGUAGUGUUCAGUUAAAGAUUAUUUGGGACGAAUUAGAAAGUUAUUGUCAUCUCCCUACUUGUACGUGCCAUCAUCAGUGCCAAUGUUUAGCUAUGCCUAAUCCUAAGGAUUUUCAUUUAGAGGAUCAUGCACUACAAAUCCUCACGGGUCUUAAUGAUCAAUUUUCCGUCGUUCAAACACAAUUUUUUUCAUGGAACCUUUAUCAUGUCGUAAUCGUGUUUACUUUUAACUCUUGCAAGAAGAGAGUAAAGUUGUCUUUGAAAGCAUUAAUCUUGAUGAAUCCAAAUCUCUUGUUAAUUUUUCUGACUCAGAAGUUUCAUGGUAAAAAGAAACCUCUUUUUUCUUAUGGUUAUAAGAGCGGGCUUUGCACCUUUUAUGCAUGUUAAGGUCACAUUGUAGAUACUUGUUAUAAGAAGCAUGGAUUUCCACCAAACUUUGGUCGAAUUUCUUCUGUGAAUAAUACAGAAUCAUCGCCUGAUAAUGUGUGUGUGGCUAGAAAUGUUGAAGAGCCACCAAAAGUUCAAUCAUCUUCAGAACCAAUGUGUUGUAAUCAAAUGCUGAAGAGCCACCAAAUACUAAUAAUUUACCCUCUUUAUUGUGUUGUAAUCAAUGCAUUUAAAUUUAACUUAAUUUUUUUAUUAAUUGAUUGUACAAAAUUCAAAAGAAUGUUUCUACUUUUGAGUUUUUACAUCCUAAAACAAAAGUAUUAGAACAUCCAAAUUUGAUAUCAAUUCCAAGUUUCAAAAACUUCACUAAGUUUUUUGAGACUUCAAACUCUCAUAUAUAUAUAUAUAUAUAUAUAUAUAAGGAUAUUUUAGCAAUUUACUUAAUUUAUUAUCGAAUAUGGGUACCCACAAGCACCAGUAUCAUCAAAUUCAUGUUUGUAUCAGUAAAGUAACGCAUAGUUAAAUACAUUUUUAUUAUACAUGUGGAUACAUGUUUAGCUACCUGCGCUUGUGCGGUUUUGCCCGUGACAAAUUUUACCCGCGUGCAUGAAUAUUUUUGUCAUCCCUAGUUCCAUCAUCUCUAAUUCAUGUGAUUCUUACUCUUUUCAAUUUCUUUUUAUUUAUUUUUAAUUCACAAAUUGAAGUACACAUUAGUAGACUUAUUCAAAUAAUCUUUUUAGUUUACUAUUAUUAGAGACGAGUCCUUAAUAGACACUUUUAUUAAAAUAUUAUAAAUAAAUGAUACGUAUACAUAGGACUUAUUUAAAUACCCUUUUUAACUUACUAUCAUUGUGGAUGUUCUAAAUACAUUUACGUACAUUAAAACUUUUUUAAUUUCAAUUUUUUAAAUGAAAAUUGAUUUUAAAACAAAUAAUUUGUUGACCGAGACAUGUCACUUUAGCACUUAACAUAGUUAGAAAGAAAGAAAAAAAAGGAUAACCGUGCAAACUACAAAUCAUUAAAGAGUUAAAUAACCAAUUUAAAACUUAAAAAAGCACCGGACAUUCAUGCAGAUGCUUUGGUUUUUGUGUGUGGAUAGUUUGGAACGAAAGAAAUAAUGGAAUAUUCAAGAAUACCCAACUUAAUAUGAUAGAUCUUGUAGAAAAGGUUAAGUAUAAUUCAUUGUGGUGGCUAAAAAGCUAACAAUGGCAACUUUAUUUAUGGCACGAGUAGAUGGUGAUCAAAUCCGUUACUUGUUUGGAUAUCAACUGACUUGUUUUUGUAAUUAUACACUGCUUGUUCUUUGGGGUGGUUUCUUUAGUACACUUUAUGCUAAAUAGGAUUCAUUGCCGUUGUUAAUAUAUUCUAUUUUUUAUUCUUAAAAAAAAAAAAAAAACUUAAAAAACAUAAAUGACUAAUAUGAUACAAAUAUAAAAAAUUUAAAGGACCUCGUUCUGCAUUACGUAUAUUUUUCUACACAUUUAAUUACUUAACAUGAGUUCUACAUGUCAAAAUUCUCUCUAUUUUUCCAUUAUCAAAGUUUUAGAAAUAUAAAUACAAUAUUGUGAUAUUUGAUGGUUCCAAUUAUAUAACAUAUACCACAAUGUUCUUUAUUAUAAGGGGAAAAUAGUUUUUUAGAUUUAUUUAAUAAAUAAUGUAUUUAGUAUAUAUUAGAGAUCAAAUAUAAUAUCAUUUAAGCAUGAGUUUUCUUAAUUCUGGUGUUUUGAAUCAUUCAACAAUUAGUAUAUUUUGCCCUAUAACUCGGUAUUAAAUAUCCAGUUAUAAAUGAUGCAUUUAGUUUAUAUCAAACAAUUUUUUAAAUUCUCGUGUUUUCUUAAAACAGUCAUAUGGAUCGAUGUAAUAUUUUUUUUCUUUUUUUACGUCAAAGACAAUUUCAUUAAUAAAAGUCUGGCAAUAAAAUAAAUGACAAGACUACAUAAAUACAAGGCGGAGUCUCUUUGAUCCAUUUGCAAUCUGAAUUAUGAAGAGCAUAUUUAGUGAAAUAAUUAGCAACUUGGUUGGCUUCACGUCGAACAUGCAAAAAAAUUAAACUAUGAAGCAAACAUUAAAACUAAUACAAUCUCCAAUAAUAGAGCAAACAUAGGUGGAAGAUUAUUGAUGAGCAUUCAACGCUAAGACCACAUUAGAAGCAUCUGAUUCUGCUAUGAGAUUCAAAAAAGAGAUGUAUUUUGCAAAUUUCAAACCCUUCCGCAUAGCCAAGGCUUCUGCAACCUCUGAAUUUGGUAAUGAAAAGACUAGUCAGCAACUAGCAGCAAGGGUAUCACUUUCAUUAUUUCUUACUACAACAUCAAUACCCACUUACCAUCAUCUAUCAGACCUGAUGCAUCAACAUUAAGCUUAUAGAAAUCACUAAAAGAAUAUGUCCAAUGAACAUCAUAUAUUGGCAAAAUUAGACCACCAACAACAUCAUACAAACACUCUUAAAAUUUACAAUAAAUCUUUGUACUUUUUAAACUGUGGCAACCCCAUCAACAUCAGUCCACACAAAAUAUUUAUAUUUUUUAAGAUACUAAGUUGAUUUAUCAUUAAACCCCAACAAAAGUAAAAAAUUAACAAGUUGUACGUAAAAAGAAGUGGAAAAAGACAAAGUCGGUUGAAAGGUGGGAUUAUUUUAAUUUGAGUAUAUUGAAAAGUGGGAUUCACAUAUGGUCAAUCUCAACAAGUUAUCAUUUCAGACUUGGGUUGCCUUUUUAUAGUACAGAAUAAUGGUGACCUUUUGAGCAUUCAUAAAUUUAAUUCAAAAUAUUUUCCUUUUAUUUAAAUAUUUAAAAGGCUAGCUCAGUGAUAAGGGUCUUAUAGCUUUAAAGAUAUUUUUCCUUUAAGCCCUUUAAGUUAUUUAAUUAUAAUUUUUAAUUCUCAAAUAACUUAUAUUUUUAAGAUCUAAAAUAAUUUAAAUUGUUACAAUUAAUUAACAUAAUGGAUCUAAGUGGUAUAAAAAAACUUAAAAGAUCAAUUUAUUGCAAUUAAAUACUUUAAAGGACCUCUGAUGUAAUUUAGCUUAAAUUAUACUACUUCAAUUCUAAAUAAAAUCAAAACAAACUACUUCUUCCGGUCACAUUUAUUAACAAACACUAGACCUCAAAGCCACCUCCACGAUCUAUUGUUCUAUUUGCUAUCAGAUUUCCAUUAUCAAAUCACCCACCAUUUAUAUUUAUGCACCAAAUCCAUUGAUGUUGAGUUUGAGGGAUGUGUUGAAGAGUCUCACAUUUGAUUCGUGAUUGCCUAAAUAAAUGAUUAUAAGUGAUAACAAUCAUCACAUCACACUUCGCUUUUAUGGUGUUGAUUUAGGCUCAACCACAAAUUUUAAGAUCUAUCACCCCCAAUUUAGACUUCAUCAAAACCAUCAUUCAUGGAAAAUUCAUCAACUGACCCUCCAAAUAUUAUAUUGAAGGCACUAUACACUAUCAAACUCAAAUUGGUCCUCUCUUUGGCCAUCAGAUUUUCAUGCAAACUGCGCAUGGAUCCGCACAAUUUGAGUCUUAAGUCCAAUUUAGGAUACAAAUUGUUUUACAUAUUUAGUUUUAGUAAAAUAUAUAUAUUAUAGCAAAAGUAUAUUGGUGAAUUGCUAGAGAAAUUUAAUAUGGAAAGUUGUAAUUCAAUCUCAAAUCCAUCAGAGACUAACUAAAAGUUAGAUGAAUGCAAUGAAUAAGAGAAAGUGGAUUCAACAGAGUUCAGACAAAUGAUUGGAUCAUUGAGAUAUCUUUGCAACAGCUGGCCAAACAUUUGCUAUUCAAUCAGUGUGAUUAGUAACUUGGUGUUUUUGAGGCAAAUGUUUUGUUACAUUAAUUUGCUAAGAAUUCAAUAAGGCAUUAAAAUUUGAUAGAUUUGAGUUUUUAGGAAGAAACUUGGUGUUUCUCAACAUUCAGCAGUUAUGAAUUAAGGGCGAGCGUUAAGAUUUAAUCCAUAACUGCCAUGUAGCAAGUUAGUUAGAAUUUUGUUACAAAACUUCUUAGUUAGUUUGUUAGUUAGAUAGCUUGUGCUACAAACAAGUGUUAUAUUUGCCUAUGAAAGUCUUUGUAAGGUGUACAUUCAAUUCUUAAUGAGAUUCACAAUUACAAGCAAACUCUCUCCAUUCUCUUCUCUGUCAGUCUUACAAGUUUGUUUGUUAUUUUCUCAUCUUGCUUAAACCAGCUUAUUCUGAAAAGCACUUAUGUUACACAUAUUGAUCAAAGCUUGAUCUAACAUGAACACUUUCAACUCUAUGCAUGAGAUCGCUACCCAAACAAGUGUUCAUCAUUGCAAAACCUUCAACUUUCACUUUCUUUUUUCUUUACAUUAAGAGCCGACAAUGUCUAGCUUCAAUUCCAACGACCAUAGGUCGUAUUUUAACAAACUAAACAGGUUAAAAAAUUCCACAUGUUAAAGAUCUACAAGAGCCCUAAGGAAAUUUUGUCAUUGAAGCAUUUUGUGAAAAUGAAGCUUUUUCCCCUAUAAAUCAGGAUAAGCAAAUUAUUCUUUUCAUGAAAUUUAGUUAUUCUUGCUGUUGAUGGACCCUUUGGUAGACAAUCUCAAUUUCAACCGCAUCAAGAGGUCACAUAUUUUUGAGGUGGAAAAAAAUCCCUCCACAUACGGUACCUUACAUUGAGAAUGAAACGAAUAGCGAAAACAAAGAAAAAGUACAGUUGCAAAGUAUUCAAAAUACGUUUAUAAUUUAUUUUGUGAAAAAAAUAAAUACCCUAACUUUUAAUUUUAUGGGUGUGUCAUUCAUUACUCAUUGGUGUGUUUUCUUCCAAUGUUAUAUUGAAUUUUCUUAGGUGUGUUUGAUGUUGAAAUGAAAUUUGUCUGGAUCCAAACAUAUAUUAUGGUUGGCAGUUUGAUGUUUGCAAACAAUAUUUUUUUAUAUAUUCAACAACCAUAUUGCCCCUAUUUAUGGUGACGGAGAGAGAACUCUAUGAGGAAAGAGAUAAGAGAAGAAGUGUGUGUUUUUGUUGUGUGAGUCGAAUAUUUUCUGCAAAUAACUGUGAAAAUUAAUUCUUCGAGUUAGAUAGGUUUAUAAUAGGUGAUAUAAUUUUUCCUUAAGAGAUUUAAUACUGUUAUAUUUUUAGGAUUUGAUUUGUACCAGAACCUAUGAUUAAAUUGAAAGAUAUCUCUUUCUAUCUCAUUCAAAUGUUCUUGGGUAUCAGAAUUGUGUGCGGUAAUAUGUAAAUUAAAUAUCCUAAUUUUUAUUUCCAUAUAAUCAGAACCAUUAACUAUAGUUUUCUAAUUAAAUAGUUGAAGCCACCAAGGACCAACCUAGUAUCACAACCGCUAUCAGAGUUUGAUUCUCCAAUUACACAUUGACUACCAUAAAACUUGUGUCUUAAGAUUUGAUAAAAAAAAAAUUGCGUAUUAAAUUGACCAUCUUUUUUAAGCUACAAAAAAUUUAUUGCAAGUAAUAUAUUUUAUAUUCUAAAUCCAUCAAUGUAUAAAUUUCACAACAUUAAAAUUGAAUAAAGAAAAUAAAACUUCAACCUUCCAAUUUCACAUAUAGUAUGUUAAAUAAAGUUAGGUUAGGAACAAUACAUCCCUAGAUCCAAAAAUUAAGAUGAGUACAAAAAAGAAAAUCAUGAUAUAAAAAUAGUAACUCUAUUUCACAUUUAAAAAGCAUCACAAAGAUUCUUAUUCUAUAUAUAGAUGUAAUUACACAUUACACACAUCACAAUAAAGAAAACAAAACAAAAAAGAACCACAUUAAGUGUUUCUCAACAACCUUAAAAGCAAAAACUUCAACUCCUAGUGUUUAAUCUCUCCCUAGUGAUUAGUACCAUAUUGAUUAAUGAGUGAAAGAGCAUUACUAGUAACCUGAGCAAGAUUAACCAUUCUUGAUCUAAUAGAGGUUUUCAUUCUUCCAUCAAGUGCUUUUCCACCAAAGCCAUCACUACAAGUACUUGCAUCAGUCAUAGAUGAGCUAACCCAUGUUUGAACAUUACUUAUAUGCCAAUUGAAAUCUUGACCAUUGAUCUUGCAAAGUUUAAGCUCCUUAAGUGAACGGCUAAGCCUAUCAACACUAUCAGUAAUUUCUUCAACACAAUCAUGAAGAGCAGCAUAUUCUCUUGGUUUAAGACCUUUAAACUUUUUGCACUUUGUAACAAAGCCUUUUGUGGAUUGAGUUUUGUUUAGGCUAAGUGAUAAAGCUGUUUGGACCAAUUGAUGAGGGUCUUGUUGGAUUGUUGUUGCAUAGACAGAGAGAGAUUCAACACAAAGUGUUGGGUAUGAUGUUGUGCUACAUGAGGAUUUGAUGAAGUUUGUUGGUGUUGAAGUUGCAAUAGAGAGGAGAGUUAAGAGAAGGAAAAGAAGGACAUUUGUUGCCAUGGUGGUUGAGAUUUAGUUAGAGAGAAAAACACUAGAUUUUGUUGUGGUUAGUUAUAUGACUUGUGAGAAUGAGAAUAUGGAUCGAGAUAUUAUAUAGAUAUAGAUGAGGGAUGGGAAUGUGAGUCAAUAUAGUUCACAUACCAUGUCAUAUGCCUAACUUACCAUAACAUAUGCCUAACUCUAUGUGGUAGGGUCAAUAUAUUACUUUCUUUUUUUUUAGAGAAAUAUUACUUUUGUUUUAUAACAAGGAAAAUAAUAGAGUACUUUUGCAAAUCGUGUGUUUAAACGUAAACUCGUUUGACUUUACGUUUUUAAGUAUUAAAAUUGUGUAAAUUUAAACGUAAACUCAUUUUUUGGUAAAUUAGAAAGUUGAUCGAAUUUCACCAAGUUAACAUGGUUUAAAAUCGAUAAAAUCGGAUAAACUCGUCCAAGUUUGCGAGUUUACCUUUUAAAAACACAAUUUUUUUGUUUGUUUUGGGACAGUUUUCAAUUAAAAUUCAAUUCAUUUUUAUAGGGCAACCCAAUAUCACAAUGUUAUGAUCGCGCGACACUUCUUUUUUUCUUCUCAAAAACAUACAACAAAAUUUUGCUCUUCUCUUCUCCUUCAUCAUCGUUCUCCAAACUUUGAUCCUAACUUUCUUCUCAAAAUCGAUUCCAAUGUCGGAGAUUGUGAUGUCGGAGAUUUUGAAUAGUUUUAUUAACAACUUUAGACACUUGUAAACUUGCUUUUGUGGAUGGCUUAGAGACUUAUGAAACUUAUGAUUUUGUGCGUUAAUUUUUGUAUUUUGAUGCUAAGUUAAGCAUAAUAUUUUAUAAUGAUAGUUUGUUAUAAUUUACCUUUGUAAGUAUGUCAUAUUUUACAUUAUUGACCUAUUUACAAUAUUAUAUUAGGUUAUAUAUUUCAUGCAUAUAAUAAAUUUUACAUAAUUUUCAUUUUAGAUAAACUCGUACGAGUUUUCGAGUCGAAUUUACCUUAACAAAACGAAUUGAGAUAAACUUUCAAGUUGCAAAACUUAAUUUCUUUAGAGUAUAAAAAUGUCUCAAUAUUUUUUUAUUGAUUGAUGAGGAUAGGCACACUAUCACGGAAACUGUUGGCGCUAUGUUCUGUUAUCACAAACAUGGUAUGGGCAAUCAAAUAAUUAAGGCUAUAAUAUGCUUUUAGUUCCGAUAAAUAUAGCGAGUUUGAAUUUUAGUCCCUAGUAAAAACAAAAAAUUAAAAUCAUUCCUGCAAAAUUCUCUAUUUUUUAAAAAAGUCGUUGGCUCCACUUUUCAGCUUAUUUAGCACAUUUUUAUCUAGAUGGCAGAUGAUGAUUGUACAAUCAAGUACAUAUGGCAUACAAAUGGCAAUUAUUUUAUUUCAACUACUUAAAAACAUUUAGAAAAAAUCAGAAAAUAUAUUUAUGAAAUAAAAAAAGUUUAUUUUAAUAAUUUAUUAAAAACAACAUAUCCCUUCUACUUCACCCUCCUCUUCUUAUUCGCAGAUCUCUUCUGCAUUCCUCUUCUUCUUCACCUUCCAUUCAAUCAUAUUCAUCGAUUAAUCUUUCUUCAAAUCAAAAUUUUAGAAAACGAAAUUCAUCUUCUUCAAAUUAAAAUUCUUUUGUUCGCAAAUUCAUCCAAAUCCAAAUUAUGGAGACACUGUGUGGGACGAAAUACAGUGUUGGUCGAAAUCGAAAAAGAGGAUGAAGUACAAAGAGGUUGAAAUCGAAAUCGAAAUAAAAAUUAUAGAAACACAUGAUUGAGGAUGAAUUGAACAUCUGAUGUCUACAUCGAAAAAGAGGAAGAAAGGGGAAAAAUCUAAAACCCUAUAAUUUUCCCAUUUUCUGAUUUUGGGUUUGUGAUGAAGUUCUUGAUGAAUUUUUGGGGUUGGGAUUGAGUUUGGGAUGAAGUUCAUGAUAAAACACAACUGUUCUACCAUUUUUCAUUUAAACUCAAAAUCUAAUAAACGAACGUCUCUUUCUCAUGCAAAUCUUAGAAUUUAACAAUGAUUUGUUUGCACUGAAAAACAAAGUUGUCGACGUAUAACAGUUUUUUUUUUUUGUUUUUUGGGGCCGACGUAUAACAAAGUUGUCCACACAUAUAUCUUAAUGUGAUCGAAAAAUCCCAAAUAAUACAAUAGAUUUGUAAUUAAGUUCUAUGCUUUUUAACGAGAUGAUUGAUGGGUUUGGAUUAUUAUCCAAAAUAAAUUAAAAAAUAAAAUAUCCUGUUCUGUGAUGACCCACUUGGCAAAAUUAUUUUAACACUCGCAAAUCAUGCAGCGACAUGGUCCCUUGUAUUAUUUUCAACCGACAUUAGCAUAGUACGAUAUAAAUCAGCUUUCGUUAAAUUAAUAGUAUUACUUUACUUUUGAUGAACAAAAGAGGCUUUACCCAAAGCAAGAUAUAUCAAUUAUGAAGUGUUAUUUGAACAACUAUUUUAUGGGACAACACGUAGGAUUAUCAAAAUAUAUAAAGAAAUAUAGUUAUUGAACCAAAAACUAAAAUAAUGUAGAGAGAAAGUGAAAAAUCUAUGUAAAUAUGAGAGAUAAAGUUGUAUAAAAAUUAUUAUAAAAUGGUUGUUCAAAUAUCAUUUAUUUAUUCAAAUACAAACUAAUCCAAAUUAAAUCCGUAAAAUAAUCAAAAAAUUGAAAACAGUACAAAAUCAAAUAUUAUUAGAUAUGUUUGUAUAUUUUAUAAAAAUCAUUCAUAUUAGAUCAGAAUUUAGAUUUAUUUUUCAAAACAGAAUCAAACUAAACCGAAUCACAUACAUGUAUUUUAAUGUCUAUUUCUAAUUUUUAUAAGUAUGAUAUAUUACAUUAAGCUAUUACUUUUUUCCUUUUUAACUCUUUUAACUCUACAUAUUAGUUUAAUUUAAUCUAUUUUAUUAUUAUUUCAUAUGUUUCAAAGAUAAUUGAUAAUUGUUAUUCCGUAGAAUUAAUUUUUAAUAAAUAAUAUAUUAUAUUACCAUAGUUAUAAACUUAGUUAAAAUAGAAGUUUGCAUGCAGCAGAAUGUUACAUCUUUGAAUAGCUUUAUGGAGAACAAGUGGUCAAAGGGAUUUUUAACACAAUCAUCCUAGUUAACAUAGGGAUCCUACUUUCUCAAGAUUAACAACUACUCCCUCCGUCCCAAAUUAUAUGACGUUUUGGAUAGGGGUGUACAUGGGUUGGGUUAAUCCGGAAAACCCGGUCAAACCCACCCAAAGAAAACCAAAAAAAUGGGUUGGGCCGGGUAAAUGGGUGAAUGUGGUUUUAAAAAUUGAUAUACCCAUAAAAUAAAAUGGGUUCCGGGUAAAACCGGACCCAAACCCAAAAACCCAUUUUAACCCGGAAGAUGAGCAAUCAAUACAUAUAUUCCAAUUUUUCUCAAACGUUAAUACUGAAAUUUUUUUUUCUUCUCAAGGAGCAUUGAUACUAUACACAUUCCAAUUUCAUAAGUUCAGUUUCCAAAUAGUGUUCACCGAUACAUAUUUCAUUUUGCCAAUUUUCAAUUCAAUGUUCAAUUCAAUAUAUAAAGAGACCAACAUUAACCAACCAGUAAACCCAUCUACCAAAAUCAAACUCAUUCGUUCCAGCAAUAACAUACUAUUUAUGAAAGAUUCAUUUCACACAUUGCAUAACAAUAAUUUCUCGUUCCAGCAUACCAUUUUUCUUAAUCCAUAGUUGUUUUGCAUCAUCAAAGUAAGCUUGCUUCUUGUGGCUAAAUUGACAGUACCAUAUCUAACUCAUGUUCAUUUCUUUUUUUAGUUUGCACAAAAGGUGCUUGAUGAAAUGUCUACUUCAUAUCAAUAUUUUUUAAUGUUUAUUUAUAGUAUCUACUUAUAAGUUAGAAUUGAAAAAUACUUUAAUAGUUUGAUUUUUCGAUUCUCUUUUAUUUUAAUACUGUUGUACAUGAUUGUUAAUGCAGGAGAACAUGGAUGUUGAUGAUGUUCCUACAAAUGCUGUGGAAAAUCCAAUUGAUGUUGAUUCUGAUCAUGACUUACAAGGUGAAGCGGCAGGUGACGUCGGAAAAAAUCGUAAGCGUUCUCGUGCUUGGGAUCAUUUUGUACCAGACGGUAAAAGGGCAAAGUGUAUUUACUGUAAUAUGACGUAUGCUGCUGAAGGUAAUACACAUGGAACCACAAAUCUCAAUAAACACUAUAAGAAAUGCCCCAAGAAUCCAAACAGGGUAAUUGACAAGGCACAAAAAACCCUUGUACUUGGGAAGCAAGUAGAGGGUGAUAGUAAUGUCUCUUUUAAGCUUGUUGAAUUUAAUCAAUUAGAGUGUAGAAUGGAGCUUGCUAAGAUGAUUAUCAUUGAUGAACUUCCCUUUAAACAUGUUGAAGGUGUUGGAUUUAAAGGUUUUAUGAGUCGUGCUCAACCUCGUUUGAAAAUUCCUAGUCGUGUCACUGUUGCUAAAGAUUGUAUGGAAUUAUAUAAGGAAGAAAAAGUGAUCUUAAGAUCUUUGUUGUCUCUCAACCAGCAAAUGGUGUCAUUGACCACUGAUACGUGGACCUCAAUUCAGAACAUGAAUUACAUGUGUGUGACAGGUCAUUUCAUUGAUGAAGGGUGGGAAUUACAAAAAAAGAUUUUAGGCUUUGGGUUAAUUGCUAACCAUAGGGGUGACACCAUAGGUAAAGCCUUAGAAAAAUGCUUGAAAGAUUGGGGAAUUACUAAACUGUGCACAGUUACAGUAGAUAAUGCUAGCUCUAAUAAUGUUGCUCUAUCUUAUUUGACUAGAAAUAUGAGUGCUUGGAAUGGAAAUACCUUGCUUAAAGGGGAGUAUAUGCAUCUGCGGUGUUGUGCCCAUAUCUUGAAUUUGAUUGUUUUUGAUGGAUUAUCUCUUAUAGAUUCAUCCAUUUCUAAGAUCAGGGCUGCUUGCAAGCAUGUUAAGUCAUCUCCUUCUAGAUUGGCAUUGUUUAAAGUGUGUGUGAAAGAUGCAAACAUUUCUAGCUCACAAAAGGUAGUAAUUGAUGUAGCAACAAGAUGGAAUACCACAUAUUUAAUGUUGGAGGUAGCUUCUAAAUAUGAAGAGGCAUUCAACCGCUUGGAGGGUGAAGAUCCUUCAUAUGUGUCUGAACUUGAGGUCGUAGGAGGAACUCCAACUGUGUAUGAUUGGAACCGUGCCCGUGUGUUUAUCAAUUUUCUGAAGAUAUUUUAUGAUGCUACCCUAACUUUUUCCUCUUCUUUACAUAUAAGUGCUAACUGUUUCUUUAGAAAGUUGGUGAAGAUUCAUACUGCACUGUCAUCAUGGAUUCAAGGUGAAGAUGUUGUGUUGAAAAACAUGGCAUUGACUAUGAAAGCUAAAUUUGAAAAGUAUUGGAGUGAUGAGAAUAUCAAUUAUCUGUUGUUUGUAGCUGUUUAUCUUGAUCCUAGGUACAAGAUGGAGUAUCUUGAUUUUUGUUUUGGUUGGAUGUAUGGGGUGGAAAAGGCUAAAAUGAUAAUUGCUAAACUGCAUGAACUCAUAGGCAAAUUGUUUGAUUAUUACAAGUCAGUGCAGCCUAUUGGUUUUGUUUCUAGUGAUUCCUCCUCUAGCUCCACUAAUACAAUGCAAAGUGAUGUUGUUACUUUCGGUGUUGGAGGUAAUGUGGAUAUGGAUGCUUUGCACCGAAGAAGGGUUAAAAGAAGGCAAAGUGAACAUAACUCAAGUGAGUUGGUAAGAUACUUAGAAGAUGAGGUUGAAGAUGAUUAUGAAGGAUUUGAACAUUUGAAAUGGUGGAAAAGUAAGAGCACAAAGUACAUUGUUCUUUCUCUCAUAGCUAGGGAUAUAUUAUCGAUUCCGAUAUCUACUGUUUCUUCUGAGUCUGCCUUUAGCACUGGAGGUCGUGUUAUUGAUCCAUACCGUAGUUCUUUGAAAGCUGAAACAGUUGAGGCUUUGAUCUGUACUCAAAAUUGGAUCAAGCCUGUCACAAGGUCUGUUUUAGAUGAAAGUAAAGCAUUUGAUGUGCUGGAAUUUGAAACAGGUAUUAAUUGUUUCUUAGCUUUUAUCUUUUUAUUUUAUCUUUUAGUUUUAUUCUUACAUUGUUUAUUUUUUUAUGUCAUUAGAAAUGUCAUAUUUGAAUGGUCUCGAGGAGUUUGCAGCUGAAUCCCUUGACGAGUAACUAGGUAAAAAUCUAAUACCAUUGUUUCAUGUUUAUACUAAUUUUGUCUUGUGUGAUUGGUGUUCCUGUUGUUGAUGGGGUAGUCUAUUUCCUGUUGUUGAUGAAGUUUACGUUUUUUAGUUGCAUACUACUACUAUGUGUUUUUCUUAUGUGCCUUCAAUUAGAGCCUGACUUACAUAUUAAUGAAGGUUGUUUGUCACUGUCAUGAUGUCCUGGCAGGUUUAGCAACUUGGGUUAUAUUGAGUGAUCUUUUGAAUUGGGAUUACACAUGUUUGUCUUAAUUUUUCAUUAACAUUUCAGAUUUUUCUUGCUCAUUAUUAUGUAAUGUAGUGCUGAGAUUUUCACAAUGGAUAAAUGUAUAUGUUUCUUGCUGCAUACUUUUGAACUCCAAUCUAUGACAUAAUUAUCACUUAUGUAGUAUUUAUGACAUGCAUACUUUUGAACUCCAAAUUGGUAGUCUAUGAACUAAUGCUUUAAUUUUUAUUAUCACAGUUUGGUGGAGAUGGAGAAUAUAAACGAUGAAGUCAGGACUCUUUUGAAUUGUGGGGAAUGUUAAUGAUGACAUCAAGACUCGUUUCUUGUUAUGUUUUGGGCUCUUUUUUGUAUUUGAUGAGACAUGAUUUUGGUUUAUUUUGACUUGGUUGUUGCAAUUUGUCUCUUGAACAUUUGUUGUUUUCUUUUGCCAAGACUUUAGCUAAUUUAAGAUGAUGCACUCUUUGAGUAUUUUUAUUCUAAUGCAAUUUUAUGUUAUGCAAUGUCUUUAAAUUUUUGAGUUAUUUUUAUGAAAAAAUUAUGAUGACUUGUCAUUUGGUUUAAUACUACAAAAAAAAAGAAGCAAAAAUUAAUUCGGGUAACCCACUACCCAACCCAAUCCAACCCGGAAAUUAGUGGGUUUACCCAAACCGGCCCAAUAGUUUAACGGAUGGACAUUUUAUCUCACCCAAACCGGAGUACCUUAUAUGGUUUGGGUUUUGGAUUUGGCCAAACCCAACCUAAACCGGCCCACUUACACCCCUAGUUUUGGGCAUUUCACACAUAUUAAGAAAUACAAUUAAUAUUGUGUGGAAAAGAGAUAUUAUGAGUUGUUUUACAAAAUUGUCCUUAAUAAAUAAUAUGGGAAAGAUAAAUGAAAGAAUUGAAAGAAAAGAGAGUAAUAAAUAGCUAAGGUUAUAAUAGGAAAAGUAACAUUAAUGUUGCAUUGGUAUUGUAAAGCGACGUAUAAUUUAGGACAAAUAUUUUUCCCUAAAGCGACAUAUAAUUUGGGACGGAGGGAGUAGUAACUAAAUUAACUACGCAACAUUAUAUUCUAAAAGUUGUUGAUCUGAAAUUCUUGGUCAUGUUGUUAAACAUUUUGAAGCCAAUAGUUACUUCAAAUAUACAUUGUAAUGCAUGAUUAAUUUUUUAAAUUUUAUUUAAAUUUUUAUGUGAACUAAAUAAAAGUUCUUAUAAAUUUUUCCGCACUUGAGAAAAAUUAGUUUAAGUUCUUCUGAAAAUGAAGUGUUACGCUAGUAAAACGGCUAUAGUCAAAAUCAGGAAUUGUACCACAAAGACAGUCUAAGGCAUUGUCAAAAUCAGAGUCCUUACCACUUAUCCAAAGCCUCUACUGGCAAGUACAUUCCUAACUCACCAACCAUAGAUAAAGAAGUCAACCUCCAUUAAAGAUCCCUACAUAUAAAACCACCACUAACCACAAUGUCUUUAUGGUGAACUCCUCGAUAAAACCUUUAUCUAAACUAACAUCCUCUUUGAGCAAAUUCUCCCACAACAACAUGUCCUAAAGGAACGACAACCCACGAUACUUAUUACCAUCACAUGAAGGUUAAAAGAUCGUCGACUAUCGAUUAUUCCAUUCAAAGCCCAAUCUUGGUCCGGACCUCCAAAUAAUGUCUAGUGCUUUGGCCACCUCCUCUAAAUCCUUUACAAUAGUCUCAUCAUCAAGAUACCAAGCAUUAAGAAGAAACUUGCAACUGUAUAUGAUAUUUUUGUGAAAGUGAAUCAAAAUUGGAGUUUUAAAUUUGUCAAAAUCAGUGGCCGAAUGGAGAAAUCGGGGCCUGGUUUUGACGGUGUUUUUCAGCCUUUUCUUUACGUGGAAAAUCGGUGGCUGAAGAGAAAAAUCAGGGCCCGAUUUUGCCACCAGAAAAUAAAACAGAAAUGUAUUUUCGGGCUUAGAUUUGUUCUAGUUUUUUGAGGGAUACUUUUACUAUAAAUAUAGAACUUGUAUCAAAAGUAAACCUUGAUGUAGAGAGUCUGAAAAUAAGGGUUUAGAAGUUAACAAGAAAACUAGUGUUUGUAUAUAGUUUGCUCUUGGCAACAAACACUAGGGUUAGGAUUGAUUCACCAUGGGAAACACUAUUAGGAUUGAGUCUCUUGAUCACGGGAAGAGAUUGGGACUUUGGGUAGAAAUAGACGGGAGACUUAUUCGUGUAACCCUUUGAUAUGUCUUUUGUAAAGUUACUUUUGGAACGGAUGGCUGCUCUCUCCACCAGACUAGGUCAGUAUUAGACCGAACUGGGUAAACAAAUUUUGUGUAUUCUCUCUUUCUUUUCUCUCGAUGUUUUCUAAUUUUUUCUUGUGUUUAUAAUUGUUCCCACGUUGAUAUUGAUUGCUUGAUUAUUUUUCUCACAUCAAAUUUUUUACCUUUUAAAUUUUUUAAAAAGCAAUUAUUAAAAUUUUAAACAAAAUUGCUCCUUAAAAUCUUAAACAAAUGCUUUGGUUAUUUUAUAGCUGAUGUUCCUCCAUGUUGCUUUAAAAUGGCCGAUGUGGGACAGUAUUAAAAUGUUAGUUUGAAAGCUUAAACUAGAGAAGUAUUUUACAACAUUCUUGGUUUUACCAUUCAUUCAAAAUACUCUUCCACUUCCAUAUAUAUAUAUAUAGACACGCUGUCGAACCAACCCAUAAAUCAAUCGAGUCGAACUAUAUACAACUCAAGUUCAGCUUAUUUAUUUAACAUACAAAAUUUUCAGCUUAAGUUCAACUCAUUUGGUUCAUGAACCAAGUUCAACAAGAUAAUUGUUGAAUCGAAUUCUGAACUAUUGUCGAGUUGGUUCGGUUCAUUACAAACCAAGCCACACAUAAUUGUUAAACUAAUAUUAGGAUUCCUAAUAUUACAUCCAUGGAUUCAGAAAUUAAGAUGAGUAGUAACAGCAAAGGUGCAAACAAGAAAAUCAUACAUAAAUAGUAAACACUAUUUCACAAUUCAAAACUAUCACAAAGUUCCAUAUUCAAUAUAUAUAUAGAUGUAAUUACACAUUACACACACCAAAUCACAUAAAACAAAAAAGGAACCACAAUUAAGUGUUUCUUAACAAUCUCAAAAGAAAAAACUUUGAUUCCUAGUGUUCAAUUUCUCUCUAGUGCUUAGUAGCAUAUUGAUUAAUAAGUGAAAGAGCAUUACUAGUAACUUGAGCAACAUUAACCAUUCUUGAUCUAAUAGAG